ACGGUGGUUAUCGCCCAUCUCUCGAAGCAUUUCCAUCAGCAAAAACUCAACCUCCCACCGGGUCCAAGGCAAUGGCCUAUAAUUGGAAACUUAAACCUCAUUGGCACCCUUCCUCAUCGUUCACUCCAUCAACUCUCCCUAACAUAUGGUCCCCUAAUGCACCUUCAAUUCGGCUCCUUCCCAGUUGUCGUUGGCUCCUCCGUGGAGAUGGCCAAAGUUUUCCUCAAAACCAUGGACGGCACAUUUGCAGGGAGGCCUAAAACUGCAGCCGGAAAAUAUACCGCUUAUGAUUGCACCAACAUGACUUGGUCCCCUUACGGACCAUACUGGCGCCAGGCACGUAAGAUUUUCCUUACGGAAUUAUUCAGUGCAAAAAGACUCGAAUCAUAUGAACAUAUUCGGGUGGAAGAAAUGAAUUCGCUUCUGCUACAGCUAUUCAAGUCAUCAGGCAAGCCUGUCGUGUUGAAAGAUUAUCUUUCAACAGGAAGUUUGAACGUGAUUAGCAGGAUGGUCCUGGGGAAAACAUACAUUGAUGAGUCUGAGAACUCAAUUGUCACGCCCGAAGAAUUCAGGCAAAUGAUGGACGAGGUGUUUUUGCUGACUGGUGUGUUUAACAUUGGUGAUUUCAUACCUUGGAUCGAUUUCUUGGAUUUGCAGGGGUAUAUCAAGAGGAUGAAAAUCUUGAGCAAGAAAGUUGAUAGGUUUCUGGAGCAUGUUCUCGAUGAACAUAAUGCCCGGAGGAAGGACGAAACUGAUUGUGUCAGCAAGGACAUGGCGGACGUCCUUCUGGACCUUGCAGAUGAUCCCACUUUGGAGGUGAAGCUAGAGAGGCGUGGAGUCAAGGCAUUGACUCUGGUAUAUGUUACUUACAAACUGCAUAACGCAUGCUGUCAACUUUUAAACGACUGAAAACUUGAGAGAAAAUAGUCAGUGAUCUUUUGAACUUGAGAGAAAUCUUUUUAACUAAUUUUUUAAAAUUACGUUUUCAUUCAGAUAUCACAUUCGGAACAUUGAAACAUAAAUAAGUUUAAGAACUUCAAUGAUUGGACUAAGUUUCUUGCUGCACUUUGCGUAAUGAUUGAACUCUAGGACCUACUUGCUGGUGGAACCGAGACCUCAGCGACUACAAUAGAAUGGGCCAUUUCGGAGCUACUGAAAAACCCAGAAAUAUUCAACAAGGCAGCCGAAGAACUCGACCGUGUUAUCGGUCAGAAUCGAUGGGUGAACGAGAAGGACAUGCCAAAUCUUCCUUACAUAGAGGCUGUUAUUAAAGAAACAAUGCGUAUGCAUCCCGUGGUCCCAUUGCUAGUGCCAAGAUGUGCUCGCGAAGAUUGCAAAGUUGCAGGGUACGAUAUUCAAAGGGGAACUCGAGUCAUCGUCAACGUUUGGUCAAUUGUGAGGGACCCUGAAUUGUGGGAGAAGCCAGAGGUAUUUUGCCCCGACAGAUUCAUGGGAAAGGACAUUGACUUCAAAGGGCAAGACUGUAAGUUCUUGCCAUUUGGUGCUGGAAGAAGAAUGUGCCCAGGGUAUAGUUUAGGCCUCAAGGUUAUCCAAUCUAGUUUGGCCAAUCUUUUACAUGGAUACAGAUGGAAGUUGCCAAAUGACAUGAAACCUGAGGACCUGGACAUGGAAGAAAGAUUCGGCAUUACUACACCAAGAAAAAUCCCACUUGUUGCCAUUGUUGAGCCUCGGCUUCCUCGUAAUCUUUAUUGACUAUGAUUCACUACGUGUAUGUUUGAUCUCCCAGUAUCAUCAUUAUCAACUUGUGUUCAAAUAAAUCAGCUCUGCAAGUUUAGAAUUUGUAGCUGCGCUUAUAUGUGUUUGCCAAUUGCCACAACGCUACAAAACCCUUGUAGUUGGUGCAUGGCAUAUACGUAAUCACUGAGAUUGUUAUGCGUAUUGAAGUCCAAAUUUGUUCGCAAUUAUGUGAAACUGUGAAUAGGCACACCCCUGAUGUUUCAAAUACAUUCUAUAACACUCUGAUGCUAAUUUAAAUCUGCAAUAGUAGGUUCACAGUCAAAGCAAUGUGCUCUCUGCCAUCUUUCCUCUUAGCAUCUUCCAUCAAUUCCUGUGCACCUCUAAGCCAUGCCACUGGAUUGGUGCUACUUUCCGUACUUGUUGGGAGGAAGAGAGAAAGAGAGAGAGAAAAAAAAAAAGGGCAAAUUACAUUUUAGCCCCCUGUGGUUUUCGAAAAAACCACAUAACCCCCCAUCGUUCAAAAAGCUAUACAUAAACCCCCUGUGGUUUGGGUUGAACUGGCAAAUAGACGGAAAGCAUCCACCGUAACGAUUCGUGGGCAAAACGCGCCUGUUCUUCUGGUAGCAGUAGGAAACAUACCCAUAUUACCCCUGACCAAUUUGACGUACCCAAUAAAGCCUAGAUGGGUGCUCCUCAUCUCUUUCCAUCUUCCGAAAUACUUUGUAGCUGACUUUGCACUGAAUGUUGGUGAAGGAACCCAAGAUAGAGAACGAAGGAAAUCUGAAGGUGAGUUCUAACAUCAAGGUGCAGUCUUUUCCUUUUCCUGAAAUAUGACUUGAAUGGAUUAUUAAUUUUUUUUCAAUAAACUAUAGAUGUCAUGCUCAAGCAGUGCUGGUGGAAGUACUGAAGAUCUAAGGUACCAAUACCUAUUUUGUUCAUGUGGGAGAAAAGCAGCGGUAAAAAUUGUUGAAUCUGACAAACCUUCAAAAGGAAAGCUAUAUUUUGUUUGUGCGACAAGAAGUUGUGAAUUUUUCUCAUGGUGCAAUCCAACAAGGAGAAUAAGACAAAAUUACACUAGUGAUUUGAAUGUUACAAGGAGAGACAUAUUUAGUGGAGAAUCAAGUAUUGAUAGUUCAGAAGUGGAAGGCUUGCGCAUGGAUGGUGGUUUAUAUUUGAGGAAAAUGAAAAACAUUGAAGAAAGCUUAGGAGCCAUGAAGAUUUGCGUGGGUGCUUGUUUUGCUAUAUCUGUGCUAUCAUUUCUCAUUUUGAUGUUUAAGUGAAAAUAAUUCAGAUGAAUUGUGGCUCUAAAAGUGUUGUAAAUCUGAACCUGUUGUGUUCAAUGAAUGAAUGAAUGAAUCUGCUUUGGUAGUCAAUUGAUAUAAUAGGCAAACAUGAUUUCCAGUUGGUAUGAACCUGCUUUGGUACUCACAGGCUGAACUUGGUACUCAUCGAGACAGCAUAGCCAAAAAGCACAUACAUGAGCUAUCCAAAGUGGACAUUUGCAAUGGUUUAAAGCAAAAGAAAGUAUCUCAAUUAAUUUAAGGGAUAAUUUCAGAAACCUCCCCUGAGAGUUGGACGGGUAACUAGUGUGUCAGAGAGUUGCCAUAAUCUCCUUAAACCCGCAUGCGGGUUUAAAGAGUAUUCGGAUAUUCUCAUAUGCACCUAUGCAAAUCGAACCAACCGGAUAUCUUAUCCGUAUCCCAUUUUUUUAAAUAAAAAUCUUAUAAAUUUGAAAAAUAAAAUCAAAUUUAGAUGUAUUAGGGUUUUAAAAAUAUUAUAUAAGUGAUAAAAAUUUUAUAAAUUGUAAAAAUAAAAUCAAAUUUAAAUAAUUAAAUGUUAUAUUUGCAUAAGAAAUAAUACAAUAAUCAUAAUAAUGAUAAUAUAAUAAUAUUGGUGUAAUAAAACUGCCAUUAAUUUAAAUAUUUACUUAUAAUGCCCAAAGAGUCUAAUUACCAAUUUUUUCUUCUCGCGCUCAAAUAUAACAUUAACCCGCAUGCGAGCUAACCUUGAAAUAGAAAAAACACAGAAUCCCGCUUGCGGGUUUCAGUGUUAUUAUGCAGGCGGGAUUUUAACCUGCUUGCUUGUAAACAUGUACCACAUUGCUCUGAAAUUAUCCCUUAAUUUAACUACCAUUAUAGCUAUGCGGCAAGAGUUCAAGUAUAGACAAAUAAGGAGCAGUAAAGGUUCAGACUAAGUUCUAAAGCAAAAAAGCACACAUCAAAAGCCAAUUUCCAAGAUGCCUCAAGCAUGGAACCAAAUUCUGAAGCAUUGAACCAAGCAUUGAACCAAAUUCGUAUGACUUACUUAACAUGGGCUCACACCACUGAACUUUGGAUUCAUUUGACAAUAUAGCUGUCCAGAAGUUCAUAACCAAUUUUUACAAAACAAAAUAAGGUACAUAAGUAGCUAAUCAUUAAGUCCAGCAGACACCAAGAUUCAACAAAAAGUGUAGCAACAACAUAUUAACAGUAGACACCAAGAUUCAACAGAAAGUGUAGCAACAACAUAUUAAAAAAAAGCAUUUGCAGACAAAUAACUUAAUUGAAUUACAAACACGUUUAGCCCUCUUAGUCCUCACAUUCUAGAAACACGUUUAGCUUUCUUAGCCCUCAAAUUUUCCAACACACUUGCAACUGUUGGUACAAGUUUUCUGACUCUAGUUGAUCUUCUAGUAUCCAAAAUGGGUUCAACAGCAGAAGCAGUUCUUGUAGUAUCCAAAACAGGUUCAACAGGUUCAUCAGUUGGUCUUCUAGUGUCCAAAACAGGUUCAACAGGUUCAUCAGUUGGUCUUCUAGUUUCAAAAACUGGUUUAGCAGCAGAAGUUUCACAAGGCUGCAUAAAUAGAUAGGUUUAAGUCAGUUAAAUGCAGUAAUUGCAGUAAUAACCAUCAUCAUUAAUAGUACCUGUGACACUGAACCCUGUUGUGAGACAGAUCCAAUACUUGUAUUUCCAGCAUUUACAACAUCUUCACCUGCAUUUCCAGCAUCACUAGCUCCAGCAGGCACCUAUUUUAAUGGUAACACAUAAGGUAACAAAUUAAGUACAUAUGACACUGAUUACAAAUUAACUACUACUUACCUUAUAAAACUUGGACUUUGGAUGGAUUGGGAAUUUACAAGUCCUAGAAUUAUGUCCUGGCCUAAAACACUUCUUACAGUGCACAACAAGUCCUUUUCUUGUAGAUGUGGUGCCUCUAACUUCAUCAGCUUCUCUUCUUCUCACUUUCUUGGGUCUUCCAGGUUGCUUUCUAAUCUUUGGGGGAUUCACCUUUUCAGCUCCUUUUGAAUCGCAAUAGUCUUCAGAGGGCAUUGCAGCUAUAGUGUAGUUAUAGGUGCUCAAGUAUGCUUCUUUGCUAUAACAAGGAUCAACAUAGUGUUCAGGCUCUGAUUUAUCCCUUUGAAUGGCAGCAAUAGAAUGUGAGCAUGGAAUCCCACUUAGUUGCCAUGAUCCACAUGUGCAUGUUCUACGACUUAUAUCAACAACAUAUACUCUAGUCCCACAAUCCACUUCAUACUCAGCAUCCCGAGAAUAAUGAGCUAUGCAGAACCUACUAUUUAGCUUGUUCCUCUCAAGUCGUUCUUGUAUGUUUGGACAAAGGUUCCCUUCAUACUGUUGCAUGCCUUCCCUUUUCACAUUUAGCCUCUGCAUGAGUUUUCUUCUUAUCCACUCAAACAUGGAGAUGAUUGUGAACUCUCUUGCUGGAAGUAUGUAGGAAUUAAAUGACUCAUUCAAAUUAUUAACAAGAAUAUCACUCUUGCAUGAGGAGCUGAAAUGUGACCUGGACCAUAAAUGUGCAGGAAUCCUGUUUAACCAACCAGCUGCAUUCAUAGCUUCUCCCACCUUUGGAUCAGCCCUUUCCAAUUCAGCCAUUGCUAUCUUGAAGUCACGAAUGUUCCCAGCAGACGCAGCUGCCCAAAAGUACUCCUUCAACUCCUUUCCCUUGAACUUCUGUUUGAAAUUUUGAUAUAUAUGACGAAGGCAGUACCUAUGCUCUGAUUCAGGAAACACAUCAUCAAUUGCACUGACUAAUCCUUUUUGCCUAUCAGAUAUGAAUGUCCAUGGAGCUCCAUUUUCAGCACCAACUUCAAUUUUCAACUCCAUCAAAAACCAUUUCCAUGAGUCAUAUCUCUCGGCUUCCACUACAGCCAUUGCAAUGGGAAACAUGUUAUCAUUGCCAUCCCUACCCAUAGCUGUCAAAAGUUGUCCACCAAAUGGACUUUUUAAAAAGCAGCCAUCUAAUCCAAUUAUUCGUCGACAACCAGCUAGAAACCCAUUCUUCAUUGCACUUAAACUCCAAUACAUUCUUUCAAAUAUCCCAACCUCGUUCUCAUCCAGUCUAGUCACUUGCAGGACAAUAUGGCUACCAGGAUUCCGGAUCAACAAGGUAGCAGCAUAAUCUCUGAUGACAUUAUACUGUCUUAUAUCAUCCCCUUGUAGUGCCUCUCUUGCCAAUCUUUUAGCUCUAUAAGCCUGUCUCAUGCUUAUGUCCACCAUAAUCUCUCUCCUCACAGUCAUGACAAAUCCUUCAAUAGAAGAACUUGGUUCAUCUCUGAACCUGUCUAAAUAUUUUUUGCUCAAAUAUCUUGCAUUUGCAUGAUGAUUGCUGUAUUCUCUUCCACACACAUGCACUCCCUUUAUUGAUUUGAUCUGAAAGGUGCUUUCAUUUUGAAUUGGGCUUGCCCGUAUUUUCCAAGAACAACCCUUUUUGCACAUGGCAAUAACUUUUGCUCUUUCAUUUUUUUUGUACUUCAUGGUGUAGCCUUCCCUGACAUUCCAUUCCACAAGUGCUUCUCUAAAGGCCCGUAAGUUCUUAAAUUUAUCCCCAACUUUCAACUCAAAAUCUGACUUUCUGAAUUCAACUGCAGCAUUAAAAUCUCGACAACUAUUACCUUUCCCAUUUCUUUCAUCAUCUCCUCACAUAGUGUCAAGCAGUUCUUCAUCAUCAAUAGCAAAUUCAUUCCACUCUUCAUUAGUUUUAGAACUCUCCCCUUCUUCAAAUUUGUUCUUAGAAGAGCCUGGUGUUUGCAGAUCCUCCAUUGUAUAUGUCUGGUUCGCUGUUGUUGGUUCUUCAUCUGUGCCUUUUGCCUGCUGCUGAUUUUCUAUUUCAUUAGCCUUUGCUCUGUUUGCAAAAAUAUCCUCAUCUUCUGGUCCUUCUAAUCCCUCUUUCAACCACUCAGGCUCUUCUAAACUAUCAGAUGUAGCAUCACCGUACUCAUCUUCAUUUUCAGGCUGUUUUUCAACUUCAUCUUGCUUUUCUACAGCUUUUUCACCUUUUUCCUUUGCUGAAUUAGACUCUGCUUUGCUGUGCUUUUUGUUUCCAGUUAGCUUGGUCUGUCUUCUCACUGACUUCUUGACUAUCUGUUUCCCCUUUUUGUUUGCUAACUUUUUUGGGGUAUCUUUAUCAGAUGCCACAUUUUGUGCUCCACUAUGUGGGGCAUCAGUGGGGGCACUUUUACCAUGACUUUUUACUCCAACUGAAGCAAUUUCACUAGGCAUUUCAUCACGCAAUUCAGCAUAUAUGUUGAUAACAUCUACUCCUUCAUGUGCAGUUAACAUUAAUUCUAUUUCUUUAUCUCCUUUAAUUUCAGCUGCUCCAACAUACAACCCACAAUUUGGUAUUUCAAAAUAUAGGUUCACAUUCGAGGCAUCACCAUACCUACUAUACAAUUUACACAACAUAUCCCUGGACAAUUUUCUUGUCUCACAAUUUUUAAAUAUGGCUACAUUGUUACCAGUAUAGACAGUUUCUGGUUCCCAUAUGAAUAUACCACCGAAAUGCAAUUUUAUAGUAAUUCUUUUUGAAGUUGUCAUUUUUUUCAAAGCCUGCAUUAGAAAUAGUGAAACACAUGAUAAGAAAAAAAAAACACAAUCUGAUUAAGAAAAGGACAUUUAAUAGAUUACACACUUCAAUGAAAACACAUGAUUACAAAAAAAUACAAUCUGAUUAAGAAAAGGACAUAUUGCAUAUCGCAUACUUCCAUGGACCACAUGACGGCCAAUAAGCCGACAAGCAAAAAUUAUUCAAUGUCCAAAUUGUCAAAACUUUAUCAGCAGCCAAAUCACUCUAUAUUAUUGAAAAUCAAGCCACCCACAUUUGACCCAAAUCUGACACUAAUCAACAAAUCUCAAACUAACAAAGUCGUAUUCUACCCAUGUUUAGUUGAAAUUCCGGUGAUUUUAGAACUCCCGAAUGCAAUUUUCUUUACCCUAAUCUUAAUGCAUAAAUUCAAUUCUAGUCGAUAAAAUACUCUAUGCUUAAAUAUGAUAAUACAGAUUGUCCCAAAGCAGCAAAAUUUUAAAUUAAUCAACGCUUAAGCAAAAUAAUCACUGAUUUAUUAACUUUCCAAUGCCCGCUAGUUUCUGUUCAAAAACCAUGCAAGUGCAUCUUAUAUGCUAAAAUGAUGUCAAAAAACUUACCAGAUGCAAUAACAGCUUUCGUGAUGCUUUUUCACAGCUACUUUUUGGUCUUCAAUGGUAGAUCUUUGUGGGUUAAAUUUCUCUCCUUCAUUCGGUGGUCAUGUUUUUCUCUCCUUUUCUCACGACAAAGACAGAACAAGGAAGAAUCUGACUCAUCUGCUUCCUUUUUGUAUUUAUAUUAGGGUAAUUUGGACAUUUUGCCCACGAAUCGUUACGGUGGGUGCUUUCCGUCUAUUUGCCAGUUCAACCCAAACCACAGGGGGUUUAUGUAUAGCUUUUUGAACGAUGGGGGGGUUAUGUGGUUUUUGCGAAAACCACAUGGGGCUAAAAUGUAAUUUGCCCAAAAAAAAAAAGAGCAGAGGGUGAGGUGGCUGCGGCAGUGGUGGUAUGGGAAGGGAGGGAAGAGGAAGAGCAGCAGUGGUGUGGUGUGGUGCGGGGAGAAAGAAGAAGAAGAGAGGAAAGAAAAGAAAAAGAAAAAAAAGGAAAAAAAAAACCAAGAUUUGGAAUUUUUUCAAACCUUCAAAUGCACAAAAGUUUUCUUACAAAUUUAUAAUAGUAACACUAACACAUAUAAAAUAGCAAUCAUUUUGGAAACAAACCCUUAGAUUUAUUAUAAUAUCACUUAGCUUAUCUAAAAUUUUUAAAAUUUUACUUUCUUCCCCUGCCAACUUGGGAAGAUCAAAUGUUCCUAUCAAAGGUCACAAAUUUACAACAAUUAUGGUUGCACUCUUUAUGACUAUUUAACUGAAAAACCGAAACAAGAAGAGAGUUUUUAAAAGACCAAAAACUAUAGAUGAAAAAGAUAACCAAAUUGCUAUCCAAUAUUGGUCGAUAUUUCUUUGUAUCAAUGUGGUGGUGGAAUAGUAAAAGACAUGGGUAAAUUAAAUUCUAGUUAAAGACAUGGGUAAUUUUUGUAGAAUAGUUAUGAGGAAAUCAAGAAAUUCUUUUAGAAAAUAUGUUCUAAUAUAGGAUAUAAUUUAAGUUAUACUAAAAAUUAAAAUAACCUCUUCAUACAUGUGGUUUGUAAUAUAAAUCCUACUUAUAGAAAAAAAUUAUAUAAAUAAGUCAGAAUUUAAAAAAUUAGUCAAAAAUGUUCUAAUGACCAAAUAUAUAUCUAGGAAUAUUCUUUUUUUUGUUAGAACAUGAUUUGUUAUACAAGGUAAUAGUUAUUGUACAUCUACAAAAUUAUUCAUUAUUGCAUUUAUAGUUGAUCGUAUUUUCAACUUUUUACUUUUCAACUUUAUUUUAUUUUUUAUUGUUGUUGUACGCUUAAUAAGUAGGAUAGCAUAAGAGUAAUAUUAGAACAAAAAUUUUAUCUUUCUUGCAUUUCCUUCAAAGGGGCUAAAAUGUAUGAAAAAUAUGAAUCCAAGAGAGGUAUGUGAGAUUUUAAAAAUUGAAAGAGUUCUAAGUGAUAUUAUGAGAAAUGUCAUGCGAGGUUUCUGAAAUUAUCCCAAAAAAAUCAUCCAAAUGAACCUUCUUGUUGUUGCAAAAUCUUUGCUUCGGAAUCCUAGUGCCAUAUUUCCAUCUUCUUUAACUCUCCAUCUCUCCACCAAAAAAAAAAAAGAAAAAAAAGAAGCAAUUUUGGUAGCGAGCUACUUUGAAUAAGAUCGUGAAAUAAUUGCAUGUAGAAAUUUGACAAGAAGUGAAAGCAAUCAAAUUUACAAUAUGCCAACAUAUAUUUUUAUAUGAACACGUAUUCUAGUAUUCCAUGAGCCAUUUUGUCUUGCCUUUCGUUCUGCUAGGAAAUGGCCAAAUCCUCCUAAUAUUUACUUCCCAAAAAAAUCCGCCAAAUAUGGCUUUGUCGGCCAUGUCGCACGACGGGGAGGUCCAGAAUAUAUUUUUUAAAAAAAAUGGCAGAGGGUCGUCGCGCCCUGGCUUUUUUUACCACACUGUCGCGCCAACGUGAUGAAACGAACCUGGCAGCUAUGCGACGAGCCUUUUUUUUUUUUCAAAUGUUUUGUAAAAAAUGUGUAGGUUCCGUUAAGUUUUUUUUUUUUUUUUUUUUUUUUGAUAAGGUGGCUUUGGUUUCUUAAGUUUUAGCAUGUUUAGGAUUUACAAUUUAUUAUUUAGGGUUUAGGAGUUGUUAAGUUUGUCGAUAAAAGGGUUUGGAUAUGGCCAUUGUAGUUAAUAAAGGAUUUAUUAAAUGAAAUGUAAUUGUAUUGAAGAAAAAAAUGAGUACAUGAAUCGCAGUUUUUGUAUUUUAGAAUUUAUAUAAAAUGCAAUAGUAUAAAAAAAUUAAUAAUAUAUUGAAAAAUUAAUAGUUAUUUAUAGAAUGCACACAUAAUGAAAGUACUUUUAUAGGUCGUUAUUUGGUAUACAAUGGUACUUGAUACUUAUAUUAAAUGAUUAAACCAGUUAAAGUGGUCAUAAAUUGACUUGUACCUCUACGUUUAAUAAAUUAAUGGAUCCUUUUAUCCAAUUAUAGAAUUUCAUCAAAUAAUUUGUACUUUUGUAUUUUGAAAAUAUGUAACGUUAUUAAACUUUAAAAUAAUUAAACAGGAAAAGUAGGACAAUUAAUUAAAUGUCAAGAUAGUAUGCAGUAUAUUGAAUGGAUGGGAUUUAAAUCUAAGUAGAAGACCGGACAAUAUCAACACUUCGGGGUUUCUUGUCUUUAUCCCUGUCUUUGGGCCUUCUUACAAGGUGUGGUGGGGGAAUAACAAUGCCUAGUAGGGGCGACGGUCCUUUGCCUUCUUUAAAAGAGAAGAAAAAUCUGGAUCGCCUGACGCUUCUAUAUGGCACAACGGGCAUGCUUUAAUACACAACUUACACAUAGUUAUAUUUGGCGGAUUUUUUUGGGAAGUAACAAAUAAUAUUCUGAGGAUUUGCCUUGGGGUAAAAGUUGCUUGUAAUUGUUAGUCUAGCUACUUGACUUCAAUAUUGAAGAUUGUCCGGCACAUAAAAUCCCAAGUCGUAGUCUCCAAGAUAUAUGUAUGAAGUGACGACGAGGUUGUUGAUAAAUCCAUUUAUGACAGCACCAUGUGCAACUCAUGAUAAUUAAAUGUAAUUUUAUUUAAAAAAUACAGAUGAAUUUUAUUAUGUUGCAGGCUAUCUUAUCGACAAAAAAAAAAAAAAAUCUCCAUUUGGCCAAAAAUCAUAAACCCAUGGGCCAAAAAAUUGGUAAACAAGUUGAGUACUACGCUUUGCAUCUUUCUCUGUAAUCAUUUUCACGAGUUUGUCGUGUAGCGUGAUAUUAUUGCGAAAGAAAGUGUUCUCUAUUAUGACAGGACCAUGUGCAACUCCUGUCAGACUCAGGAGCUUCCACCUUUCCGACUGGAUGUGUCGGCCGAAGGAAAUCACACGUCAAAUUUCAUUUGAUUUGUGGAUGGAAGGCUAUGGAAGCUGUAGGCCCCGAAGCAAAAUUAAUUGGUCCACAAGAAUUGCCAAAUUAGUUUUCUUUUUCCAAAUUCAGUUAUGCGAGUAAAUGAAAGCUUUUACAACCAUUAGUUCUUUUAAAAUGUUUUAAAGCGUAACUGCAUGCACACAUUCUAUAUUCUUUUGUCUCUUUUUCAGUUUUUAUACUCCAUCUAGGAUGUCUAAUCAUUAUUUCGUAAAAAAGGAAAAAAAAACUAUGUAUAUUUUUUCUUUAUAAUUAGUCAAUUACAAAUUGGUAAAGUUCUAAUCAAUUUCAUCCAUUAUCUAACUUGCAAGAAAGGAAAAGAUAUCUCCUAAAUACAAAGUUCAAAAGGAGUUUCUAGCCUUUUAUAAUCACGUUCACAUGAUGUUUCGGUGGAUAUCCAUUUACCCAUUUUCCGUUAAAGAAAUUUACUUAUUACAAUCUUUUUCUUUACACUCCUCUAAAAUAGUAUGGAAUAUUAUCAUAAUUCUUCACAUGUCAUUAUUAAACCGAGGGUUAAGGUUUGUUGGAAAGUAAUCAAUAAAUAGUAUAUGAGUUAAUUAUUCUUAAUAACUUUCAAAGUAUGUUUUAUGUUUAGUGUCUUACAUUCAUUAAAUUUAUUGUUUUGGUUCAUUUAUAUCCAUGUUUUUUUGGAAAAUUAAAGUUUGAAGCUAAAAAGAAGUUAAUGCAAAUGCACGGCUGAAUAACUAGUGGUCUAAUUCUAUUGCUUGCUUAUCCACAAGAACGACCACGCCAACACUACUACAUUAAUACACUCAUACUUUUGCAUUUCUUAAUUACUUGCAUUACUUAUUCUUUCUUCCCAACAAUUCUACAGCCCAUAAUCAUCAUUCCAAUUUUAAUUCAGUAAUCUUCAUACAGCUCUGAACAUAUAACUAUAUUUAAUAUAAAUUCGUGUCAUUCCUGCAUUUCAAUUCUCAAAAUCUUAUUGCAUGCCUUACUUUAUAAUGGUGUUUAAUUACUUAAGUUCAUAAACAAUCAUUAGUAUCAAAAUCAUAAACUUGUAUCGCACAAUAGGAUGCUCUUCGCAUCAUUAUCAGAAGUUUAGCAAUUAAUCUUCGUCAUGUCACAAGUAAUUUCAAUUUCGCAGCUAGGGGUGAAAUUGCAAAGCAUUUGGUUAAUCGGAUGUUCGAACAAAUUUAAUUAAUUAAAUUUAAUAUGAAUUCAGUUCGGUCAAAUAGAUUUUGAUAUGGCCUUGGUAAAAACAAAAUUAUGAGAGUGCUUAAUUAGUUUGAAAGUAACUCGGAAUUCUAGAUUUUUUAUUUUAAUUGAUAUAGCACGCGUACACAUACUAUGUUACACAUGUUCACUCCACGUUGUUGUGGAUAUUGAAUAUUCUUAAUUACUAUUAUCUUUUAUUCUUUUUUUUUUCCAUCAUCUCUUCACUUUCCUUCUUUCUUUUUCUUGAUCACUUGCAUUUUGUGGAAUUAUUUUUCAUAUUUCCAAUAGUUUGCUUUACUUGCUUUUCCAUAUUUGUAAUUAUUUUCGUUAAUAUUGUGACAGCCCCACCUUCCCCUAAGGCGAACCAAAGGGUUUAGCGGACUGCCAGCCCAACUCUCGCUGGGACUCAGUCAGUCAUUUCAAGAAAAGACGAUAAAAUCCACAAAACAAUUGAAAUAACAAUAAUUCCAAACUUAAACGUAAACUUAUAUAUAUUUCUAUCUCAAAAGCAACACAACUCAAGUACAAAGGUUCUCCUUUCUCCAUACAACCAGCCCGCCAACCGCUAGGACAAGAACCAUUACAAAAGAAAUAUCAAAACUAGACCAAACUAGUCUAUACGGAGCUCUCGUCCUUGCGCGCCUUCCCCUGUUAAGGAAAACAACUAAAGGGAUAAGCUAAAAGCUCAGUGAGGUUCUGAACACAUAAACAAACAAUAAACUCAAAGCAUAGAACACCAAUAAUUCAAGUAACAUUUACAAUAUAAAGCGGUAACAUAUUCAUUAAAGGAUACGUGCUCACAAGGAGCCAUUCAUUCAUUCGUUCAUUCAUUCAUUCUCCUUUCAUUCCUUUAUUCCUCCAAUCAUUUGAAAAUGCAUCUUUGUAAGUAAAAACCCUCGUUCAUUCAUUCGUUCAUUCAUUUCAUUCACUCCCUUCCCGGACAUUGACCAGGCUCCACCAAACUUCAAGGUAAUACUCGAGUAUACCAAACGUUCACCCAAGUCACCAAAUCGCCAGACCGAGUUCGCUUCUGGCUCGAGUCGAUCGGUAACAAGGGGCAAGGCCCAGUUCAGCCAGAAGGCUUACAUUCAUGCACAAGUAACACUUCAAUCGUUCCAUCAUUGAAAACUUCACAAUCAUUUAGGCCGAGUGCGAUGAAGUACACACUCGCCUAAAAACUUGUUUUAGCAAUCAUUGAAAGCAUUUAACAUGUUAUCAAUUAUUCAGACAAGCCAUAUAAUCAAGAAAUAUAACAAACAAGGAACACUCACCUAGUUAUGCAAAAUAACGUCCAAAAUAUCCUACCGGGUAUUACCCUCAGUUACCAAUGAAACUUAAAAUUAAACAAGAGAAACUAUUACAGUUUAUCUAGCAAAACAAUUAAGGGAAAUUGAAGGAACCUGACUAAUUACGAAUACAACAUAUAAAGAUGACUUUCAAGUGAAAAGAGAGCAUUUGGAUUCCGUGGACGGGAAUAAUUAGGGUUUCAUAAACCAAACGAGAAACUAAACUCAAAAGAGUUAUAAAAGUUCCAACGGAAAACACUUGGACCAAAUACAAGUCGGAAUCCAACUAGAUAGGCUAAGAAAUAUUGUUUUCAGAAUCGCUUAUGUGGUUCAAAAUCAACUCAUAUUUGAGUAGAUAUUAGUUUUCAAAUAUCUCAAUGAAAAUCAUGUAAAAAGGAAGACACUAAAAGCCUUACUUUGAAAGUAGUUUCCCGUAACCAAGAAAACCCCAAUUCAUACCUCUUUAUUUUGGUAAACAGUAAGUAAACGUUGGAAGUGUCAAACUGGAGAGGUAUUAUAUUUUAGAAUGGUAAAAUGGUCAUGAUAUUCAUUAAGCAGAAAUAUAGGAGUUCAAAUAGAAAAUAGCUUCUCGAACACCCUUCGAGAGCACAAAUGUAGUUUUCAAAGAAGUACAUUCAAUUUGACACAAAAAUUACAUUUUCACAUUCACUGGAACUUACUCACAAUUCACGAAAGUAAACGGACGGCAUUUCCCCUUAAAUUCUUUAUUUCACCUUACAAUCAAAAUACCCAACCUUACAAGAAUUAACCACAAUCACAAAUUCGGUUUAUAAACAAUAAAACACAUCCAAUUGGGUCACAAUAUCCCUCAAUUAAAGCCAAUUAGAAGUUCAAAAGCCAACUAUUAGAAAACCCCCAAUUUAAACCCUAGAAACCGGAAUUUAUCCCAACAAGCGUAAAUUUUCCGCAAACGAUUGUAAUUAACGAAUAAAGUUGCAAUUAACACCAUUUAGAGCUAUCAAAUCAAAGCCAAUCCAUGACUAUUAUAUAAAAUCGGAAAAAUCCCCAAUAAAUCAGAAAAUGGCCCAACUUGACCUAAAACCAUGAAAUCAUCCACAAUAUAACAAUCUUAACCACUAGAAACGACCAUGAUAUCAUUAUUAAGAUCAAGGAGAAAGUUCCUUAGCAUCUCACCUUAAUCCCAAGAAAGAUAGCACCUUAAAGCUUUUCCCUUCAAAAUCACUCCACCAAGAGUUUUAAUCCCUCUUAACUAACACUUGUACGGAGUAGAAUAAAAAUCUAUCGGUGAAAUCUCAAGAUUGAAGCAAAAAUUGAAAUUAGAAAAUGAAACCUUUUCUUGGUUUUUCCUCUCAAGAGCCAUGGUUGAGCAAGGAGCAAAAUGAAGAUAUUUUGGACCAAAACAAGAUAAGAAGGAAGAAAAAUCGCUGGUCAAAGCUGCUGUCCCAUCACAAUCCGGCCAGAUUCCUGGGCGGAUUCAGGGCAAUAGCGAAACUCAAUUUUUUCAAAAAUCUCAAACAAUCCGGCCAAUAUCUGGCCGGAUUUGGUACUAAGCAGUUUCGACAAAAUUUUUCGUUUCCAAAAUCACACGCCGCGUUCAUCCGUACUCCCAGAAAGUAUAUAUAUCCAUAAUCUUAUACAAAUACACUUAAUACACACCAUCACAUGUUCAUGUAUAAGAAAUGAAAACCCUCCUUAACAAUGGAUAGCCAAUUCUCUUCAUUUUCUUCAAGGAAAGUGAAAUUAAACAAAAUACCAAGAAAAUGUGAAAAUUUUGGGUUCUCACAAAUAUCAAUUUCAUCAUAUUUAUGACUAACAAUCUAACAGGGAUUUAUGCCUUUACAAAUUGUUAAUUAUUUGGUUAAAAAACCUUUCAAAAGAUUUGUUUUAUUGUAUGGCAAUUUUUGGGGACCAAUUAAUUUUGCUUCAAGCCCCACAUUUUCCUUGCUAAGUGUGUUGUGAGGUUACACGUGGCCUUGUUGGGAUUGUGCCUUUUUUUGCAGAAAAAUUUUUAUAUUUUUUUACAAUUAUCAUUUUAUCUCAGAAACAUCAAAUCGUUACAGUAUAUUUUUUUACAAAAACUCCUAAAAAUAGCAAUACAAAUGGAGCUCUUGCAGCCACAAAUCAAAUGAAUUUUGACGUCAUUUUUAGUGUGACUUCCUUCUUCUGACACGUAUCCACUUUGUAUGGUUGGAACAUCCCGCUAUAGAAGAUCCGGUCGGUCGUGGCCAAUAAUGGGAUAGCAUAGCUUUUUGCCCAAUCACUUAAGCACGGCAAGAAGUAUUUUUUUUUUUAAUUUUACUUUUAAAUAGCGGCAAUAAGUUAUUAACAAAAGAUAAUAUGCUAGUUCUAAUACUAUGACGCUAUUCCCGUUUCCUCUAGAGGAUUUUUCAGCCAACAAACUCCUCCAACUGCCUUCCUCAAGUCUUUCUAGGGUUCUUUCUAUUUGUUUCUGUAAUACACUUUCUGACAAAUUUUCAAUCCUAGUAUUUUCUCAGUGGAAAUAUCUUUUUUUCUUAGUGAGAAUUUUUGUUUUUUGUUUUUUAGUUUUUAUUAGAUUUAAGUUUAUUCAAGUCUAAACUUUCUCGUAGGGCUUGAAAAUCUGUCUGGGAAGGCUUACAAUUCAUUUGCAACUACAAACAUUUAUAUGCAUUUAAUUAUAAGAAAAUUUGGAGCUUUCUAGUUUUUUUUUUUUUUUGUUAUUGGUUUCUCUGAUUUGAAGGAAGUCACUUCUAUUUGCAUUUCCAUUGCGUCUUUUUCAUGUAUUUUCUCCUAUUUGUACAGCUUUUAUGUGAAUAAAUAAAAUUCUCUUCUUCGUUAAAAUAAAUGAAAGAAAAUAUGAAGGAGAAAUUAAUUGAUCUAAUUGACAAUAUGUCUUUAUCAAUAGAUGCCUCCUCAGAUAUUCUCAAAAACUUCCAUACUCUAACUAUCAUUAUUUUUACACAAUAGUAUUUCUUUAACAAUUACUAGCAUUUCUAUUUUGUAAUUUGAACUACUUUCUUUCCAUCUUUGGUACACUUAUAGUUGCAAUUAUCUUAUGUUAAAUUCAAUAACUUUCAACUACAUGUUAUGGUGAGAGAUAUUUGUUUGACAUGAUAUAAACCUAAGAAGAAAAGAAUUCAAUUUGAAAACACACGUAAGACAAUAUAUAUAGGUCCAUGUACAUAAACCAAAGACCAAAAUUAUAUCAUCUCAGUAAGCACAUUUAAUAAUAUUCCCUGGAGUAUUAAAAUUAAGCAUAAGUUAAACAUUUUAUCUGGAAAUGUCUCCUAAUAAUCUUAUAUGUGAAUGAAAUAAUUAGGCAGAGAAUUGGGAAACGGAAAGACUUGAGCAUAUGCUCUUUUUCUGUGAAAUUGCACAACAAAUAUGGUAAGUAGCACCAACCCAGUGGGAUGGCCUAGGAAAUAGAAGCAACCUCUGCCAUUGAUGAGGGGAGUUGAUGGAAGAAAACGCAUUGCUUUGAACUGUAAACCUGCGCAGAUUUGCAAAGAAAGGAGGUUGUUCAAGUGUUAAUUUAGUGGCCAUGACACCACCUGGACGGUCGGACCAUUCAGUACUGACAGAGCCAUGUUAAGUCAAGGGCGGAGCCAUGUUAGAGAUCAAUAAUCAGAGGCUUACAAAAUUUCGUAAUUUUUCAAUUUAGCUCACAUUUGCACUGACAAAUUUUGUAAAAAUUUUAUUUUGCUCUUGCAUUGCCCCUUAGAGCAUCUACAAUGGUUUACACCCUUUAGGGUGUAAUCCACAUGCCACAUCAGCAUUUCACUAUCUCCUCUUUUUAUUACACUCUUAUCCACAAUGGAUUACACUCACAGAAUAUAAUAGCAUGGAUCCACAUGCCGCAUCAGCAUUCCACUAUCUCCUCUUUUAUUAUACUCUCUCCCCUCUUUUAUUUUAACAAUGCAUAACUCAUAACCCAUAAAUAAAUAAAUUUAUUAUUUUAAAAAUGGUUAUUUUUAAAAAUAAAUUAUUGACGUGACACCUCAAAAUGUGAAAAUAUCAUAAUAAUCCAUUAUUCAUUAAUAAUACCCUAUCUACUGAAUUUAACUGCACGACAUAAUAUUAAAAUUAAAUAAAAUACCAAUAAUAAUAUAACGAAUACUAAUUUUUAUUAUUAUUGCCUCCAAAUCGUUCCCAAAAAUGCUCGAACAAAUCCAACAGAAGUUGAUGAUGUACUUUCCGAUCACGUAGUUUCGCAUUCCUCUGAAGAUAAUGGUGAAAAUUUUCGACUUGAGUCACAGGGAUCGUUGGUUCUUCAUCAUCAUUAUCCCAGUUUUUUAUUGCAUCUCCCUCAUCCUCGACAAUCAUAUUAUGCAAUAUGAUGCAUGUGUAUACUAUAUCUUUCAAUUUAGCUUUAUGCCAAAAUCGAGCUGGGCCACGUACAAUUGUCCAACGAGAUUGGAGCACUCCAAAAUCUCGCUCGACGUCUUUUUUUUGCAGCCUCCUGUAUUUGCUUAAAUUUGAUCCUCUUUGGAUCUUUAGGAGAUGUAAAACUUUUAACAAAUGUUGUCCAUUCUGGAUAUAUGCCAUCUGCUAGACAAUAUCCUUUGUUGUACUGUGUGCCGUUUACCAUAAAUUGAAUAUCAGGAGCAUAUCCGUGUAACACGUCGUUAAAUAGUGGAGAUUGAUUGAGUACAUUAAUGUCAUUGUUAGAUCCCGCGAUGCCAAAAAAUGCAUGCCAUAACCACAAAUUUGCUGAUGCAAUUGCUUCUAGCAUUAUUGUGGGAGAUCCUUGAUCACCUCGAGUAAAUUGACCUUUCCAUGCCACGGGACAAUUCUUCCAUUGCCAAUGCAUGCAGUCAAUGCUACCAAGCAUUUUGGGGAAACCAUGGCGCUCAGAAUGCAAUUGAAGUAAACGUUCAACAUCAUUAGUAUUAGGCCUUCUCAAGUAUUGUGCUCCAAAAAUAUCGAUCACGCACCAACAAAAUUGUGACAAACAUUCGAUUGCAGUGCAUUCACACAUCCUUAUGUACUCGUCCAAUUGGUCAGCAGGUGCUCCAUAUGCUAAUUGUCGGAUAGCUGCUGUGGUUUUUUGAAGUGGAGAAAGUCCUCUUUUGCCAGCUGCAUUGACCCUCAUUUGAAAAAACUCUGAAUGAUUUGUCAUCGACUCCACAAUUCGAAGGAAUAAUUCCCUUCUCAUUCAAAAUCGUCAGCGGAAUAUAUGUGAAGGAUACACUGGCUCGUUGGUGAAAUAGUCAUUAACAAGUCGAACAUGUCUAACACCACGCUCUCAAUUGUAAUAUCUUCGACUGUGUGGACGGAUGUUACGACUUGAAGAUGUAUGUUGCGUUUGCCAUUGCUCCAACAUCUUCAUAAUUUGAUCAUCAAUGUCAUCCAUCAUUUCAUCGGCUAAAAACUUUUAAAUUUCUUCUAUAAGAGAGAUAUCAGGAUAUUAAUACAUUUUUUGAGUCUGUUGAGUAUUUGGUGGCAAUGUAUUGCGUCUUGCCAAUACAAAUAUAGUGCUAGUGUUAUAACGGCUAGUUUUCCAACGGCUCAUUUUUCUAACGGCUAAUUUUCCAACGGCUAGUCUUCUGACUUAUUAUAAUGAAUAUAUAUAAUAUAUAUUUAUAUAAUUAAUAUUAUAUUUAUAUUAUAUAAUAUAUUUAUAAUUGUUAUAUACAUAUACAUAAUAUAUUAUAUAAAUAUAUAUUACAAUUAUUUAAUUAAGUAUAAUUAUAUUUAUCUAAUAUAAAUUAUAAGUUUAUGAAUAUUAUAUUAAUUUAAAAUGAUGAAAUUUAAAACUUCGUUAGCUUGGUUUCAAAUCCAUGGCCGGAUUUCAUAGUUUGGUUUCGAAUCCAUGACUGGAUUUCAUAACCUCGUUCCAAAUCCAUGGCUGGAUUUUAUAUGUUGGUUUCGAAUCCAUAGCUGGAUUUCAUAACCUGGUUUCGAAUCCAUGGCAGGAUUUCAUAAAUUGGUUUCAAAUCCAUGGCCAGAUUUUAUAGCUUGGUUUCGAAUCCAUGGUCGGAUUUCAUAGCUUGUGUCUAGUUACGCCAUAAAUGUACUACAUAAGUGAUUAAUAUGAUACAACAUGGUUUUUUCUGCAUCUUAUUGCACCGUAUAGUAAAAUAAAAUUAAAAAUAGACUAAGAAAUAUUAUAUUUGGCUUUUAGGAUGAAGCACAUUUGCUCAUGAAUUCGAAGCUGUUAAUCGGUCAUACCCGUGGUAUCCUUGAGUAAUAUUUCAUAAUCACUUUGAAAAUUAUAACUUUAUAACUUAUUUGCCAAGUUUUCCAUAGCCUGCAAUUUUUCUUCUUUUUGCUGCAUCAACACUUUUCGGAUUUGAUCAAAUUCCUCACUCACAUUUGAUUUUGCCUUUUUCUUUCCCUUCUUUGAUGCUUUUUGACCAGGUGGGUGAACUUCACGUGCUUCAUUAUCAUUGAUGUCAAAAUUUGAAUUCGUAUUGGAUGAAUAAGUGUAUGCCCCGCUUUCAUCGGUUAUUAUCUUUUUUGAAGAACGUUGCAUAGGAGUAUUUACUUUCCACUUCGGAUCAUUUUUCAACAACACCCACACAUGUUCAUGUAAAAAAUGCUUGUUAUUAUUCUGAUGAAAUAGCUCACGUGCGUGUUGCUUGAUCUAGUCAUCAUUCCACCUGCUAUGAUGUUUGCCGACCAAUCUGUUGUAAUAUUGGUUGAACUCAUUAACCAUCCGACUCAACCAAUGCCAAUGUGAUUUCACUGCUUUAUAUUUUCGUGGUGGUCCAGAUUUUCGAUUCUCAUUGAAGUAGUCGACGACUCAUUUCUAAAAACUUUUUUCAUUUUGAGAGUUACCCACAACGCUGCAAUUUGAAAUUGUGAGCCAAGCACUUGCAAGAAUCUUGUCAUCAUCCACACUCCAUGGAACACAUUUACGGUCAGGUUCUUCCACCGCCUCAUUUGUGAGAUUUAUAUUUUCUACCUCACGUUGUGUUGAAUACGGUGGAAAUUGAGAAUCCUAAAUUGACUCUGUUGGUGUUGCAUUAUCUUGUUGACUGGCGAAAUCAAAAUCCUUCCUUAUCUCCGACGGAGUCGUUGAGCCUUCACAACCCAUACCAAGGUUAUAAUACCUCGGUGUAUAGUGAUUUCCCAUAGAAUGAUUAAAAUAAUUAGGUGACGGAUACAUGGGAAUUUGAUAUGGAAAAUGUGGUGGAUUUUGGAAAUUUGAUGAAUGAUUGGAAUUGGGUAAAUUUGGGUAAUUUGGAAUUGGAAAUGGAUAAUUUGGCAAAUUUGGAUAAUUUUGGUGGUUUUGAUUUUGUGAAGCGGAUGAAUUUUCUAUAUUUGGACUAUUUAACAUAUUUCUAAAACUACUAAGAUUCUCAUCUAUAAUGAUAAAAUACUGAAAUUUAUAAAAUUAUGUAAAGAGAUUGAAAAUAAUGAAUAAGGGAGUAGGAGAGAUAAUGGAGUAGAAGAUUGUGAGGUGAAAUAAAAAAAUUAAUUUGUGUAUUUAUAGGAAGUAAAAUAAAUUAUCCGUUGCUAAAAUAUAGCUGUUGUAAAAAAAGGCCAUUGUCAAAUGAUUGGUUCCAAAAAUGACCAUUGUAAAAUGUUUCAAAAAAUGACCAAGUAAAAUGCUGUCUCAUUUUGGCUAUUUGGAUGUUUGCUAGUAUUGUAAUGCCGUUUGGAUCCCAUAACAUCUUCAAUGACACGCAUCAUCAAUAUUGUACGUGUCAUCUAAUCAGUAUUGUGCGUGUAAUCUCCAUGACACGGUCAUAACAUCUUCCAUGACACGUAUCAUCAAUAUUGUACGUGUCAUCUAAUCAGUAUUGUGCGUGUAAUCUCCAUGACACGGUUGGUCUUCCAACCGUGUCAUGGAGCGGUGUAAUGGGGGGAUUAUACCCCCAUUAUACAUUGCUGUGGAUGCUCUUAAAACAGCUAACGUAUUUGAAAAGUAGAAUGGACCAGCUAAAUAACCAAGAUGCCGCCGAUUACAAUAAUUUGCAUGGUGAGUUCUUGGUAGUAGUUAUUUAGUGACUUCCAAGCCUUUGCUCAUUAUAAAUACCGGCCCCCUCCACAUUCCAAACAUACUCAACCACCUUCCUUGUGCUACAUUCUGCUAUCUUCUGCCACCACCACCACCCCCACUACUCCCAGAAAAUGGAAAGCUUUUCUCCCACCUGGGCUGUAUAUGCACUCGCCUGGGUUGCAACGGUGGUUAUCGCCCAUCUCUCGAAGCAUUUCCAUCAGCAAAAACUCAACCUCCCACCGGGUCCAAGGCAAUGGCCUAUAAUUGGAAACUUAAACCUCAUUGGCACCCUUCCUCAUCGUUCACUCCAUCAACUCUCCCUAACAUAUGGUCCCCUAAUGCACCUUCAAUUCGGCACCUUCCCAGUUGUCGUUGGCUCCUCCGUGGAGAUGGCCAAAGUUUUCCUCAAAACCAUGGACGUCACAUUUGCAGGGAGGCCUAAAACUGCAUCCGGAAAAUAUAACUCUUAUGAUUGCACCGACAUGACUUGGUCCGCUUACGGACCAUAUUGGCGCCAGGCACGUAAGAUUUUCCUUACGGAAUUAUUCAGUGCAAAAAGACUCGAAUCAUAUGAACAUAUUCGGGUGGAAGAAAUGAAUUCGCUUCUGCUACAGCUAUUCAAGUCAUCAGGCAAGCCUGUCGUGUUGAAAGAUUAUCUUUCAACAGGAAGUUUGAACGUGAUUAGCAGGAUGGUCCUGGGGAAAACAUACAUUGAUGAGUCUGAGAACUCAAUUGUCACGCCCGACGAGUUCAGGCAAAUGAUGGACGAGCUUUUUUUGCUGACUGGUGUGUUUAACAUUGGUGACUUCAUACCUUGGAUCGAUUUCUUGGAUUUGCAGGGGUAUAUCAAGAGGAUGAAAAUCUUGAGCAAGAAAUUUGAUAGGUUUCUGGAGCAUGUUCUCGAUGAGCAUAAUGCCCAAAGGAAGGACGACACUAAUUGCGUCAGCAAGGACUUGGUGGACGUCCUUCUGGGCCUUGCAGAUGAUCCCACUUUGGAGGUGAAGUUAGAGAGGCGUGGAGUCAAGGCAUUGACUCUGGUAUAUGUUACUUACAAACUGCACAACGCAUGCUGUCAACUUUUAAACGACUGAAAACUUGAGAGAAAAUAGUCAGUGAUCUUUUGAACUUGAAUACUCCUCAAAAUUUUCUUUGCUACUGAAAACUUGAGAGAAAGUAGUCAGGAUCUUUGUAGUUUGAUGAAAAUUUUUCAGUGGAGGCAGAAUUAACAAGAAAAUUCUUUUUAAUCCUUCUAAAAGAAAUUGCUUUUGAUAAAGGUACUCAAGUAAGUAAGAAAAUUGUUGGCCAAGUACAGUCAAUUUGCAACUUAAAAACGUUUCUUGCUGCACUUUGCGUAAUGAUUGAACUCUAGGACCUACUUGCUGGUGGAACCGAGACCUCAGCGACUACAGUAGAAUGGGCCAUUUCGGAGCUACUGAAAAACCCAGAAAUAUUCAACAAGGCAGCCGAAGAACUCGACCGUGUUAUCGGUCAGAAUCGAUGGGUGAACGAGAAGGACAUGCCAAAUCUUCCUUACAUAGAGGCUGUUGUUAAAGAAACAAUGCGUAUGCAUCCCGUGGUCCCAUUGCUAGUGCCAAGAUGUGCUCGCGAAGAUUGCAAAGUUGCAGGGUACGAUAUUCAAAAGGGAACUCGAGUCAUCGUCAACGUUUGGUCAAUUGUGAGGGACCCUGAAUUGUGGGAGAAGCCAGAGGUAUUUUGCCCCGACAGAUUCAUGGGAAAGGACAUUGACUUCAAAGGGCAAGACUGUAAGUUCUUGCCAUUUGGUGCUGGAAGAAGAAUGUGCCCAGGGUAUAGUUUAGGCCUCAAGGUUAUCCAAUCUAGUUUGGCCAAUCUUUUACAUGGAUACAGAUGGAAGUUGCCAAAUGACAUGAAACCUGAGGACCUGGACAUGGAAGAAAGAUUCGGCAUUACUACACCAAGAAAAAUCCCACUUGUUGCCAUUGUUGAGCCUCGGCUUCCUCGUAAUCUUUAUUGACUAUGAUUCACUACGUGUAUGUUUGAUCUCCCAGUAUCAUCAUUAUCAACUUGUGUUCAAAUAAAUCAGCUCUGCAAGUUUAGAAUUUGUAGCUGCGCUUAUAUGUGUUUGCCAAUUGCUACAACGCUACAAACCCUUGUAGUUGGUGCAUGGCAUAUGCGUAAUCACUGAGAUUGUUAUGCGUAUUGAAUUCCAAAUUUGUUCACAAUUAUGUGAAACUGUGAAUAUGCACACCCCUGAUGUUUCAAAUACAUUCUAUAAAAUUCUGAUGCUAAUUUAAAUCUGCAAUAGCAGGCACACAGUCAAAGCAAUGUGCUCUCUGCCAUCUUUCCUCUUAGCAUCUUCCAUCAAUUCCUGUGCACCUCUAAGCCAUGCCACUGGAUUGGUGCUACUUUCCGUACUUGUUGGGGGGAAGAGAGAAAGAGAAAAAAAAAAGAGCGGAGGGUGAGGUGGCUGCGGCAGUGAUGGCAUGGGAAGGGAGGGAAGAGGAAGAGCAGUAGUGGUGUGGUGCGGAGAGACAGAAGAAGAAGAGAGGAGAGAAAAGAAAAAAGAAAAAAAAGGGAAAAAAAGCAAGAUUUGGAAUUUUUUCAAACCGUCAAAUGCACAAAAGUUUUCUUAAAGUUUUAUAGUAAAGUGUUAUUCUUGGUUUUGAUGAUCACAAAAGUUUGUUUAUACAGACCAAGAAAGUGAACACUUUGAUCAGGUCUGUUGGAACAAAGAAAGCGUAUGUUCGUUUAUCUCCUGACUACGUUGCUUUGGAUUUGGAUGUGGCAAACAAGAUUGGAAUAAUAUGAAUGAAUUUAGUCAUUGUUUUGUUUUCGAUCAAAGAUAUUGUCUUUUAAGUAUGUCUAGUUUGUCAUUCUUGGUACUUUGAAAUAUUUGUCUAACCUUCCUCAAAUACAAGUGUUUUUUUGUCUAUCCAAGAAUCAGGUUCAAAUAUGUCAUGAAAUGUAAAACAACCAAAAUGAGAAGCAAAAACAGGACAAUCAGGUCGGACGGCCGAAAGGAAACUGUCGGACGUCCGAAAAGAUAAAGAACAUCAGGAAGGAAGCACCGUCGGACGCUCACAUGGAAGCAUCGGACGUCCGGAAGGAUCGGACGCUUGCCAUCGGACGUUAAUCAACCGCAUCGGACGUCCGAAAAAUUCCAAGAUAACUUGCUAGCUCUCGGCCCAAGGUCGGACGCUGUGCUGUCGGACGACAAAGAACUUAUCGGACGUCCGAACCUCAACUUGGCUAUCAUCGGACGAUUGGUUCGGACGAUGAUUCGAUCGUCGGACGUCCGACAGCCCCAACGGCUAGUUGACUCUUCAGCUGCCUUCUAUCCGUUGGAAGCAUUGAUGAAGCCCAUUUCUGGAUCCCUUUAAAAUCAAACUGGUCUGAACGAAGUAGGGACUUUUGCUCACUUUGUUUACAAGUUCUCAAGAGAUAUUUUAGCUAGAAAAUAGUCUCCAAAGCAGAUUUGUAUUAAAGUGGUGUGAAUUUCUGUUGAGCAUUUCUUUUGUGGUUGAAAGGAUCUUUAGUGUAGCUUUGUUGAGGGUUUUCUGAGUGAUUGUAAAACUUCCUAGCUUGACUAAGUGAGGCUUAGGGCAAGGAGGAAGAGCUCCCUCCAUUGUACAUCUAGUUGAUCUUCGUUCAUCAAAGAGAAGUUGCUCUUCCUAGUGUUUGGUCUUCAAGUUUGGGUAAAGCUUGGUAGACACUUGGUUUGUUUCUCUAUUUUAUAUUUCUGUUUAAUAAAAUCUUCAUUGCUUAUCUAUACUUGCUUCUCUGAUUAAUAUUGCUAUUGUCUUCUAAUCUACUUGGUUGAUCAUUACUAAAAAGGAAGGUAAAUUUUCAUUAAAGAAAAAGUGCAUAAACUUGGUUAAGUUUUUAAUCAACCAAUUCACCCCCCCCUCUUGGUUGUCUGUGGGACUUACAAUUGGUAUCAGAGCUUGGUCUCUUUUGAUCAAGCUUAACCGCUUAGAGUAAAGAUCAUGGCAACCAUAAAAGUUUCUUUUUUAGAAGGGCAAUCUAUUGAUAGACCACCUAUGUUUAAUGGUUCUCAUUUUAGCAUGUGGAAACAAAGAAUGAUGAUUUUCUUACAAUCUGUUUACAUUGAAUUAUGGUAUGUGGUAGAAGAUGGUCCUUAUGAAGCUAGAAUAGUUGACUCUAUCACCAAUUUGAGUAGAUUAAAGACUAGACAAGAAUUGAAUGAAAAAGACAAGAGAUACCUUUCUUUGAAUGCCAAGGCCAUGUGUAUAUUGUACAAUGCAUUAGAUGUAAAUGAAUCUACUAGGAUUAAAGGUUGUAAAUCAGCUAAAGAUAUUUGGGAUAAAUUGUGUGUAUUUCAUGAAGGUAAUCAAGAUAUUAAAGAACAAAAGAAAUCUUUACUUGUUUCUCAAUAUGAAUUUUUCAAAAUGCAUUCUCUUGAAAAUGUUGAUAAGAUGUGUAGUAGAUUUUGUGACAUUAUUGAAGAACUUAAAUUGCUUGGAAAAGAAUAUUCUUUGGAUGAGAAAAAUAGAAAGAUUUUGAAUGCCUUGCCAAAAGAAUGGGAAAACAAAAUAAAUGCUAUAGAAGAGGCAAAGGAUUUAAAUUCUAUGUCCAUUGAAUCUCUUGUGGAUACCCUAACCUCUUAUGAAUUAAAGCUGGAAUUCAAAGUGCAAGAGGAAGAAAAUGCAAGAAUGUAUAAGAGAGGCAUAGCUUUUAAAGCAUCUCAAGUGGGGGAUAACCCAUCCUUCAUGGGUAAUGAAAUCAUGGAAGUGGACAAUGAUAUAACUCCUCACAUCAAAAGUUUCAAGAAGAUCUUCAACAAGAGAUGUUCAAGAGGAGAUUGCAAAAUUACAUGGGAUGAAUGCAAUUCAAAAAGAGAAAAAGAAGAGUUGUCCCAAAUGGCACUAAUGGCCGUUGGAGAAGAUGAGGUAAGUUCUUAUCACUCUUCUUGUGAUGAAGAUAAUGAAGAUGAUGAUGUGAAAACUCUUAUGAUUAAAAUGCAUAAAAGUUUGAAAAAAUCUUAUGCUAAAAAUAAAGAUUUGAAAACAAAAAUAAAUGAUUUGUUGGAAGAAAACUCCAAACUUUUUCAAGAAAACAAAUGUUUGAGAAUGGAAAAUGAUGAUUUAAAAAAUCAAAAAGGUGUUUUUGAUUGCAAAAAUAAUUUGAAAAGAAAGUUGGAAGAGAAAACAAAGUUUUAUGAAAAAAUGUUGGAGGAACAAAAUUUGUUAAAGAAAAGAAUUAAUGACUUGAACGAGGUUCUCCAAAAUGAAAAACAAAAGUUUUCUCAAACAAAAGAAAGCAAAUCUUUUCAAGGCACAAAUAAGUUUGCUAAGAAAAUUAGUUGCAUUAAAUCCACUUAUAUGCAAAAUACUUCUAUCAUGUGUCACUUUUGUUGCCAAUUUGGACACAUGUAAAAUGAUUGCUAUGUAAAGAAAAAUAUGAGAAAAGAUAUGAAAUCCAUGUGGAUUGCUAGAUCAUGUUGUAAUAACUCCCAAGGACCCUAUUAUGGUCUUGACUUGAAAAAUAAAGGGGGAGUUUGUUUUUUGAUUGAUGCCAAAAGGGGGAGUAGGAUUUAUUGAAAUUUCUUUGCAUGUUGGCACUUUCUAAGGGGGAGCUUUAUUUGAACUUAUUUGAUAAAAGAAAUCUUCAUUUUGUUUGUCAUCAUCAAAAAGGGGGAAUAUCCACCAGAUCAUACCAAAAGAAACUUAAAAUAUCCAUUACAAUACAUAUUCAUUGUUGAAUACCACAAACACGUAAAGAUGACAACCAGUCAUGCUAUGUUUGUUGAGGGGCAAUCUGUUACUAGGCCUCCCAUGUUCAGUGGCUCUAACUAUGUUAGCUGGAAAGAACGAAUGAUUAUCUUUUUGCAAUCUAUCGAUAUUGAACUAUGGUUUAUUGUGAGUGAAGGACCGCAUGAAGCUAACUUUCUUGAUGCAGAUACAGGGUUGCUUCGGCCAAAAACAAGAGUUGAAAUGAAUGCUCAAGAUAGGACUAACCACAUUGAAUGCCAAGGCCAUGAAUGUUAUUUAUAGUGCCCUAGAUUCAAAUGAAUCAAUCAGAGUAAAAGGCUGCAAAUCGGCUAAAGAAAUGUGGGAUAAACUAAGAGAAAUCCAUGAGGGUGGUGACAAUGUGAAAGAACAGAAAAAGGCCAUCUUGGUCACGAAAUAUGAAUCAUUUAAAAUUGAACCUCUUGAGGAUAUUGACAAAAUGUAUUGCAGGUUCACUGACUUGAUCAAAGAUCUCGAGGCGUUGGGCAAAGAGUACACCUUGGGAGAGAAGAACAGGAAAAUUCUCAAUGCCUUGGGCAAAGAAUGGGAAAAUAAAGUGACAGCAAUAGAGGAGGCCAAGGAUUUAAGUUCUGUGCCUAUUGAAUCUAUCAUUAACUCACUAACCACUUAUGAGUUGAAACUGAAAUCUAAAGUGCAGGAGGAAGAGGAUGCUAGAGCAAAGAGAAACAUUGCUCUAAAGACUACUCAAGGUGAAGAUGAUUCUGCUCAUCUGGAUGAUGAAGACUCGGAUGGUGAUGAUAAUGAUCUUGCUCUCAUCACCAGAGGCUUCAAAAGAAUCCUGAAUAAAAGAAAGUUUAGAAGGGGAGGACCUAGCAAUCAAUUCCAGAAUCAGCCAUCUAUCGCAAAGUAUAAAGGUAAACAAGAUUUCAACAAGAAACAGUUGGACAAAUGCUUCGAAUGUGGACAGAUUGGACAUUAUGCAAACGAAUGCCCCAUGAAGAAGAUGAAAGAUGGAAAAGCUGAUCGAAAGCCAAGAUUCAACAAUUUUCAGAUUACUUGGAAUGAAUGCAACUCCGAAGGGGAAGUUGAAGAAGAAGAAGAAUCUGCUCAAAUGGCCUUCAUGGCUAUUGGAAAUAAUGAGGUAACCUCCACACACUCUCAAUCUGAAAGUGAUAAUGAUGAAGAUGAUGAUCUUGAAUCUUUUGUUGAAAAACUGCAUAAUGCCUUGAAGGAAUCCUAUGAUAAAAACAAGCAGUUAAAACAGAAAAUGGCUUUUCUCAUUCAAGAAAAUGCAAGUCUUUUUCAACAAAAUAAACAACUAAAGACCGACAAUGAAAGUCUAGUAAGAGCUGGAUGUAAUGUUCAAGAUGAGCUUGAUAGAAAGACAAAUAUUUGUGAAAUGCUGAAGGAAAGACAUGGUGAUUUGAAAAAAAGGAUGGACAGCUUGGAUGAGAAUUUGAAAGCAAGAAAGCAGGAGUUUAACAAAAGGAACAUGUUAUCUACACAUCCUACUACUUUUCAAAGAACAUUUGCACACAACAAAAUGGCACAUGGUUUCACAACAUAUAGAAGAGGUGAAUUAAGAUAUGUCAAACCAGUACAUGUUAAGGACUCUUCCAUUAUGUGUGUUUUUUGUUGUCAAAGAGGGCAUUUGAAAAGUAAUUGCUAUGUGAAAAGAAAUCUGAAUAAAGGGAUGAAGUGCAUGUGGUUAGUUAGAUACAAUGCUAACUAUUAUGGACCCAAAAAUUAAAAAGGGUACCAAACACGUUAUCUUUUCAGGAUAAAGGAUCAAACAAGUCAAAAUGGUUUAUUGAUAGCGGCUGCUCAAGGCACAUGACCGGUGAUCCUUCCUUGUUCAUAAAGCUGAAAUCAAAAUCAAGUGAAAAUGUAACAUUUGGUGAUGAUGUGAAAGCUAAGACAAUUGGAAUAGGUGAUGUUGGUAAGGAUGGUGAAACUUUUGUUCAUAAUGUGCUCUUGGUUGAUAACUUAGGUUAUAACUUGCUUAGUGUUAGUCAACUGUGUGAUAAAGACUUGUAUGUGUUAUUUAAAAAGCAUGAAUGCAUUGUACUUGAUUCCAAAUAUAAUGUUGUGUUCAAAGGUAAGAGGUUUAAUGACAUAUAUAUUGUGAUUCUUGAUAAAGUUGAUUCUUCUAGCUUAAAAUGUCUUAAAGCUUCAAAUGAAGAUUCUUGGUUGUGGCAUAGAAGACUUUGUCAUUUUAACAUGGAUUUACUAAAGGAAAUUUCGAAAAAGGAGUUGGUUAGAGGCUUGCCAAAAAUUAGUUUUGAUAAGGACAAAAUAUGUGAUGCAUGUCAAUUUGGGAAGCAAACUAAAAUUUCUUUUAAACCAAAAAUGUGUGUAUCUACUUCAAAACCUUUGGAACUCUUGCAUCUUGAUUUAUUUGGUCCCACUCAAAUCACUAGCUUGGGAGGUAAAAAAUAUUGUUUUGUAAUUGUUGAUGAUUAUUCCAGAUACACUUGGGUGAUAUUUCUUGCUCAUAAAGAUGAUGCCUUCAAGAAUUUUACUUCAAUGUUUGCUAAAGUGCAAAAUCUGCUUGGGUUAAAAAUUGUUAGGAUUAGAAGUGAUAAUGGGACGGAAUUCAAGUAUUGUGGUUUUCCAGAAUUUUGUGAUCAUAAUGGUAUAACACAUGAGUUUUCUAUUGCAAGGACUCCACAGCAAAAUGGUGUUGUAGAAAGGAAAAACAGGACUCUCCAAGAGGCUGCUAGAACUAUGUUGAAUGAAUGUAGGUUGCCUAAAUAUCUUUGGGCGGAAGCGGUAAACACUGCAUGUUAUGUGAUGAAUAGAAUACUCUUGAGACCUAUUUUAAAGAAAACUCCUUAUGAGCUGAUUUUUGAUAAGAAACCUACGGUUGGUUAUUUCAAAGUAUUUGGUUGUAAAUGUUUUAUUUUGAAUCUAAAGGAACAUCUUGGUAAAUUUGACAAAAAAUCUGAUGAAGGAAUAUUUUUGGGGUAUUGUGAGAAUAAAAGAGGAUAUAGAGUUUUUAAUAGAAGGACACUUGUGAUUGAAGAAGCUAUACAUAUAACAUUUGAUGAAGCCAAUGAUGAUAAUUCCAAAAGUUUGUGUGAGGAUGAUGAUGUAGGUGUUCGAGAAGCAAUGGAAAAGCUAUCAAUUGGAAAUGAAGGAAGUUCUGAACCAGCAGCAACUGAAAUGGAAAAUGAAGUUCAUAAUGAUCAAGAAGAGGAAGAUGAAGACAAAAAUGAUGAUCCACUCAAAGAUCUUCCCAAGGCUUGAAAAUUCAACCAAAAUCAUCCAAAAGAGCUUAUAAUUGGUGAUCCAUCCGAGAAGGUAAACACUCGUUCCUCAUCUAGAAAAUUGAUUGAUAAUUUUGCUUUAGUUUCUCUUUUUGAACCCAAAAAUAUCAAUGAUGCUUUAAAGGAUGAAAAUUGGAUUUUGGCUAUGCAAGAGGAACUUAAUCAAUUUGAGAGAAAUGAAGUUUGGACACUUGUUGAUAGACCUCAAAAUCAACCUAUCAUUGGCACAAAGUGGAUUUUUAGAAAUAAGUUGGAUGAUAAAGGUGUUGUUGUAAGAAAUAAAGCCAGAUUAGUUGCUAAAGGAUAUGCACAAGAAGAAGGAAUAGAUUUUGAUGAAACAUUUGCUCCCGUACCAAGAUUAGAAUCUAUUAGAAUGCUUCUUGCUUUUGCUUGCUUCAAAGGUUUCAAAUUGUUUCAAAUGGAUGUUAAAAGUGCCUUUUUAAAUGGUUUUAUUGAUCAAGAAGUGUAUGUGGAUCAACCCCCAGGUUUUGAAAAUACAAAAUUUCCAAGUCAUGUGUUUAAACUUUCUAAAGCUUUCUAUGGUUUAAAACAGGCUCCAAGAGCUUGGUAUGAAAGAUUAAGUGGGUUCUUGAUUGAAAAAGGUUUCAAAAGAGGUAUUGUGGACACCACACUUUUUACUAAGCAUGUGUUGAAUGACCUUUUCAUUGUGCAAAUAUAUGUUGAUGAUAUUAUCUUUGGUGCUACUAAUGAGUAUCUAUGUAAGGAGUUUUCCACCACUAUGCAAAAUGAAUUUGAAAUGAGUAUGAUGGGAGAAUUAAAUUUCUUCCUUGGACUUCAAAUACAUCAAACUCUUGAGGGAAUCUUUAUCAAUCAAGCAAAGUAUACCAAGGAAUUACUGAAAAGGUUUGGCAUGGAGGACUCAAAACAAGUUGGAACUCCAAUGUGCACUUCCACAAAGCUUGACAAAGAUGAAGAAGGUAAUCAUGUGGAUGAAAAGCAUUAUAGAGGUAUGAUCGGAAGCUUACUCUAUUUAACUGCAAGUAGACCUGAUAUUAUGUUUGCAGUUUGCUUGUGUGCUAGAUUUCAAUCGUGUCCAAAAGAAUCACAUUUGAAUGCUGUAAAAAGAAUUUUUAGGUAUUUGAAAGGUACAUUAGGCUAUGGUCUUUGGUAUGCUAAAUCCAGUGAGUUUGCACUAUAUGGUUAUUCGGAUGCUGAUUUUGGAGGGUGUCGUGUAGAUAGAAAGAGUACUAGUGGAUCUUGUCACUUUCUUGGAAAUUCUUUAGUCUCUUGGUUUAGCAAGAAACAAAAUGCAAUCUCAUUGUCUACAACCGAAGCAGAAUAUAUUGCCGCUAGUGCAUGUUGUGCUCAAUUUUUAUGGAUGAAGCAUACCCUGAAUGACUAUGGAUUGUUGUAUGACUGCAUGCCUGUAUUCUGUGAUAAUACGAGUGCUAUAAAUUUGACCAAAAAUCCUAUUCAGCAUUCUAGGACAAAGCAUAUUGAAAUAAAGCACCACUUUAUUCGUGAUCUUGUUCAAAAAGGUGAAAUUUGUGUAAAUUAUGUUUGUUCUAAAGAUCAAUUUGCUGAUAUUUUUACAAAAGCUUUGCCAUUAGAUCAAUUCAUUCAUCUAAGAUCAAAAUUAGGAAUGUUCGAAAAAUCAUCAUAAAUUUUUCAUUGCCUUCGGACGUCCGAAAGAGGAUGAAUGGACGUCCGAUGAUGUUCUUCAGCCAUUUUCCAGAUUGCACCUGUUCGGACGCAGCUGUCGGACGCACAACUUCGUUCGGCAGUCCGACAGUGCAACGGCUCAUUUUUUAAAAUAACUUUCUUCCUUAUUUGCUUCAGUCUCUUCCUAUUCUAUCUCUUCUCGGACGAAAACCCUCUCUUCUCUCACUCUCAAAUUCGUACCAUUCUGUAGCUACCAUUCCCAAAUUGACUCAACCAAAACAUUUCCCCAUCGUUUGCGUUUCAUUUCUCCUGAUCAUUUCACCAAACUGAGUAACACUUCGCAAAUCCCCAAAUUUUCCUCACAAUCCUACUCUUGCAUAACCGCUCUGUCAAAUCUCGUUCAAGGUGUUUUUGUCCCAAAAUUUCUGUGCGAUUCACUUCCCUACUGUUGUGUGCAUCAUUUGCAUCCUCCAUUCCACACAUUUAGAACAAUGGUGAAUCUAAGGGGAGGAAAAGUUACUGCCGGACGCAAGCAUCCACUCAGGGAUGAGGAUGAAAAUCUUCCUACUGUCAAACGGACAUCCAAACGCUUCAAAAGGGGAGCUAUCAAGGGUCAAAUGUCACGACCUACUCCACAACCCACUUCUCAACCAGAAUCUGGACAGGGGACCUCUUCUCAACCGCCUCCUAAAUCAGUCCCUCUCCCUCCAUUCUUUGAUGAUGCUGCGAAAGACAAAUACGCCUGGAUAUCUCAGAAGGGUGUCAUCCCUCAAAGAACUGUAAACCCCUCUGAAUUUCGUUCCAUAGGUUUAGAAUCCAUUCUAAGUCUAUUUGAUUUCCAGAAAUGGUCGCAUCUCAUUUCCAUGCCCAAUGUCUACUAUCCUGAUAUGCUGCAUCAAUUUUUUGCUAACCUUAGGAAAGGAACUGACCAAACUGAGAUCAUGUCUAGGGUAAAUGGGGUAGACCUAAUCUUUGAUUCUGAUACUGUGAAUUCCAUUUUAAAGACUACCAUUGAACGUUUGUGCAAAGAUAAGGUUGCUAAUUUCUUUUCUUAUGAAGAGCUUCCUACUGCUGCAAAUCAUUUUGAUGGGACAAAAAUGUUAACUUAUUUCAAAAGAAGUUUUUCUUCACCUGCUGAUGCUAAGUUGAAUGAUUUGGCUCCUGUGAAUUUGAUUGCCUUUUCUAUCAUUUCAAACUUGCUUGUGCCCACUGAUGGCCAUAGAACUGAUGCAAACAAAAUGGAGCUGUAUCUUUUUUACUGUUUUCGAGAAAAAAUUCGGAUUGAUUUUGGCUUUGUCAUGUGCAAGUUUUUACUUCGCUAUGCUACUGACUCUCGAAGAAAACUAUCCUAUGGGAAGUUUCUUCAAAAGAUUUUUGAAUUUUACAAAGUUCCAAUUCUAGGUGUUUGUCCCAAAGAAGCAUCUUCUUAUGCUUUUACCAGAGCAUAUUUUGAAAGGAAAAAUCUUAUUUUUAAAGAUAAUCUGUGGGCAUAUAAGGGGGCAUCAUCUAGUGAACAAAGAUCUAAGACUGUACAUGAUUCUUCACCCAUUUCACUCACUCCCAUUCACCCUAGGAAGUCUACCACUAAAGCAUCUUCCUCUUCCAGUAAUGAGGUAAUUGAGCUUCUUCAUGAACAAAAACAGCAUGUUCUUCUUCUAGAACAUGGCCUAAUGCUCACCAUGUCUUCUGAGCAACAAGCUGCCUUUCUUGAUAAAAAGAACCUUCUUUUUCCUCCACCUGUGGUUGAGGAAGUCUCACAUGACAAAGAACCUCGAACCACUGAUCCAGGUUCAUCAGUUCCAGAUCCGAAUCCAUCAACUCCUGUGACUCCUCAUGGCCCUUCCACAUCAGACAAAGGCAAGGCACCAAUUGAAGAAGCUACUGAAGAUGAUGAAGAAACUGAUGAGGAAGACCUCUCUCAAUAUCAGCUCUCUCGGAGGACUCCUGGAUCCACUUAGUUCAUCAUUUAGGACAUUUGCAUUCUGUUUGUCUCUUUUAUGUGUUUGUGGUAUUCAACAAUGAAUAUGUAUUGUAAUGGAUAUUUUAAGUUUCUUUUGGUAUGAUCUGGUGGAUGUUUAAGUACUGUUUUGAUGAAUGUCUAAAUAUUUUGAUGAAUGAUUGUCUAUUCUGCUUGUGUGAAUGUAAUGAAUUUGUGGAUUGUAUGAUUGUCUAUUGAAUAUGAUUGUCUAUUUUAAGUACUGUUUUGAUGGAUGUGUUGGAUGGUGUCACCAGGAUGUUGAUUUGUGAACUUGUGUAAAUUUGUGACUGUGUGGAUGACAAAAAGGGAUGUUGAUGUUGAUGUGAUUGGUUGCCCUUUUGUGAUGACAAAAAGGGGGAGAUGGUAUAAUGAUUGGAUUGAGUGAUGAUUGGUGAUUGAUGAAUGAUUGGAUUGAGUGAUGAUUGGUGAUUGAUGAUUAGUGAUGUUAGGAUAUGUUGGAUUGAUUGUUUAAAUUUGGAUUGGCUGAUAUGCUUAAUUGUUUAAUGUUUAAUUGUUUAACUCGGAUGGGCAGCCAAGUGAGGGGGAGGUUUUUCAAAAUUUUUAAAUUUUAGGAUUCACUAAGACAGGGGGAGUUUUCAUUUCAAUCAUCAAUUUCAUUUCAAACUUUUGUUUUGUCAUCAUCAAAAAGGGGGAGAAUGUUAUUCUUGGUUUUGAUGAUCACAAAAGUUUGUUUAUACAGACCAAGAAAGUGAACACUUUGAUCAGGUCUGUUGGAACAAAGAAAGCGUAUGUUCGUUUAUCUCCUGACUACGUUGCUUUGGAUGUGGCAAACAAGAUUGGAAUAAUAUGAAUGAAUUUAGUCAUUGUUUUGUUUUCGAUCAAAGAUAUUGUCUUUUAAGUAUGUCUAGUUUGUCAUUCUUGGUACUUUGAAAUAUUUGUCUAACCUUCCUCAAAUACAAGUGUUUUUUUGUCUAUCCAAGAAUCAGAUUCAAAUAUGUCAUGAAAUGUAAAACAACCAAAAUGAGAAGCAAAAACAGGACAAUCAGGUCGGACGGCCGAAAGGAAACUGUCGGACGUCCGAAAAGAUAAAGAACAUCAGGAAGGAAGCACCGUCGGACGCUCACAUGGAAGCAUCGGACGUCCGGAAGGAUCGGACGCUUGCCAUCGGACGUUAAUCAACCGCAUCGGACGUCCGAAAAAUUCCAAGAUAACUUGCUAGCUCUCGGCCCAAGGUCGGACGCUGUGCUGUCGGACGACAAAGAACUUAUCGGACGUCCGAACCUCAACUUGGCUAUCAUCGGACGAUUGGUUCGGACGAUGAUUCGAUCGUCGGACGUCCGACAGCCCCAACGGCUAGUUGACUCUUCAGCUGCCUUCUAUCCGUUGGAAGCAUUGAUGAAACCCAUUUCUGGAUCCCUUUAAAAUCAAACUGGUCUGAACGAAGUAGGGACUUUUGCUCACUUUGUUUACAAGUUCUCAAGGGAUAUUUUAGCUAGAAAAUAGUCUCCAAAGCAGAUUUGUAUUAAAGUGGUGUGAAUUUCUGUUGAGCAUUUCUUUUGUGGUUGAAAGGAUCUUUAGUGUAGCUUUGUUGAGGGUUUUCUGAGUGAUUGUAAAACUUCCUAGCUUGACUAAGUGAGGCUUAGGGCAAGGAGGAAGAGCUCCCUCCAUUGUACAUCUAGUUGAUCUUCGUUCAUCAAAGAGAAGUUGCUCUUCCUAGUGUUUAGUCUUCAAGUUUGGGUAAAGCUUGGUAGACACUUGGUUUGUUUCUCUAUUUUAUAUUUCUGUUUAAUAAAAUCUUCAUUGCUUAUCUAUACUUGCUUCUCUGAUUAAUAUUGCUAUUGUCUUCUAAUCUACUUGGUUGAUCAUUACUAAAAAGGAAGGUAAAUUUUCAUUAAAGAAAAAGUGCAUAAACUUGGUUAAGUUUUUAAUCAACCAAUUCACCCCCCCUCUUGGUUGUCUGUGGGACUUACAUAAAGCAUAGUAAAAUUUUAAACUAACACCUAGAAAAUAGCAAUCAUUUUGGAAACAAAUCCUGAGAUUUAUUAUAAUAUCACUUAACUUCUCUGAAGUUUUUAAAAUCUUACUUUCUUCCCCUGCCAACUUGGGAAGAUCAAGUGUUUCUAUCAAAGGUCACAAAUUUACAACAAUUACUGUUGCACUCUUUAUGACUAUUUAAUUGAAAAACCAAAACAAGAAGAGAAUUUUUAAAAGACCAAAAACUAAAGAUGAGAAAGAUAACCAAAUUGCUAUCCAAUAUUGGUCUAUAUUUCUUUGUAUCAACGUGGUGGUGGAAUAGUAAAAGACAUGGAUAAAUUAAAUUCUAGUUAAAGACAUGGGUAAUUUUUGUAGAAAAGUUUUGAGGAAAUCAAGAAAUUCUUUUAGAAAAUAUGUUCUAAUAUAGGAUAUAAUUUAAGUUAUACUAAAAAUUAAAAUAACCUCUUCAUACAUGUGGUUUGUAAUAUAAAUCCUACUUAUAGAAAAAAAAUUAUAUAAAUAAGUCAGAAUUUAAAAAAUUAGUCAAAAAUGUUCUAAUGACCAAAUAUAUAUCUAGGAAUAUUCUUUUUUUUUUGUUAGAACAUGAUUUGUUAUACAAGGUAAUAGUUAUUGUACAUCUACAAGAUUAUUCGUUAUUGCAUUUAUAGUUGCUCAUAUUUUCAACUUUUUACUUGUUAAAUUUAUUUUAUUUUUUAUUGUUGUUGUACGCUUAAUAAGUAGGAUAGCAUAAGAGUAGUAUUAGAACAAAAAUUUUAUCUUUCUUGCAUUUCCUUCAAAGGGACUAAAAUGUUAUGAAAAAUAUGAAUCCAAGAGAGGUAUGUGAGAUUUUAAAAAUUGAAAGAGUUCUAAGUGAUAUUUUGAGAAAUGUCAUGCGAGGUUUCCGAAAUCAUUUCCGACUUAUUAGUAUUGGACCAUUGGUAGGCUGUGUCGGACGAAGCAAAUCACAUGUCAAAUUUCAUUUGAUUUACGGCUGGAAGGCUAAGGAAGCUGUAGGUCCUGAAGCAAAAUUAGAUGGUUGCCAUAAAACAACAAAUCUUUUUAAAGGUUUUUUUUAACUAAAUAAAAUAUUCCCUCUCAAAUUAGUUUUCUUUUUCCAAAUUUCAGUUAUGUGAGUAAAUGAAAGCUUUUACAACCAUUAGUUCUUUUAAAAUAUUUUAAAGCGUAACUGCAUGUACACAUUCUAUAUUCAUUUGCCUCUUCUUCAGUUUUUAUACUCCAUCUAGGAUGUCUAAUCAUAAUUCCGUAAAAAAUUAAAAAACUAUAUAUAUUUUUCUUUAUAAUUAGUCAAUUAUAAAUUAGUAAAGUUCUAAUCAAUUUCAUCCAUUAUCUAACUUGCAAGAAAGGAAUAGAUAUCUCCUAAAUACAAAGUUCAAAAGGAAUUUCUAGUCUUUUAUAAUCACGUUCACAUGAUGUUUCGGUGGAUAUCCAUUUGUCCAUUUUCCGUUACAGAAACUUUACUUAUUACAAUCUUUUCUUUACACUCCUCUAAAAUAGUAUGAAGUAUUACCAUAAUUCUUAACAUAAUUAAAAUAGUAUUAAUUAUUCUUAAUAACUUUCAAAGUAUGUUUUAUGUUUAGUGUCUUACAUUCAUUAAAUUUAUUGUUUUAGUUCAUUAAAAUUCGAAGAUAAAAAGAAGUUAAUGCAAAUGCACGGCUGAAUAACUGGUGGUCUAAUUCUAUUGCUUGCUUAUCCACAAGAAUGACCACACCAACACUACAUUAAUACACUCAUAUUUCUUAAUUACUUGCAUUACUUAUUCUUUCUUCCCAACAAUUCUACAGCCCAUCAUCAUCAUUCCAAUUUUAAUUCAAUAAUCUUCAUACAACUCUGAACAUAUAACUACAUUUAAUAUAAAUUCGUGUCAUUCCUGCAUUUCAAUUCUCAAAAUCUUAUGGCAUGCCUUACUUUAUAAUGGUGUUUAAUUACUUAAGUUCAUAAACAAUCAUUAGUAUCAAAAUCAUAAACUUGUAUCGCACAAUAGGAUGCUCUUCGCAUCAUUAUCAGAAGUAAUUUCAAUUUCUUCGCAUAGUUUGUUUGCCCCAUCACUUAAGCACGGCAAGAAUUUUUUUUUAAAAAAUUUUAAAUAGCUGCAACAAGUUAUUAACAAAAGAUAUUAUGCUAGCUCUAAUACUAUGACGCUAUUCCCGUUCCUCUAGAGGAUUUUUCAGUCAACAAACUCCUUCAACUCCCUUCCUCAAGUUCUUUCUAGGGUUCUUUCUAUUUGUUUCUGUAAUGCAUUUUUUUGACAAAUUUUCAAUCCUAGUAUUUUCUCAGUAGAAGUAUCUUUCUUGCUUAGUGAGAGUUUUUGUUUUUUGUUUUUUUAGUUUUUAUUAGAUUUAAGUUUAUUCAAGUCUAAACUUUCUCGUAGGGCUUGAAAAUCUGUCCGGGGAAGGCUUACAAAUCAUUUACAACUACAGAGAUUUAUAUGCAUUUAAUUGUAAGAAAAUUGGGAGCUUUCUAGUAUUUUUUUUGUUAUUGGUUUCUCUGAUUUGAAGGAAGUCACUUCUAUUUGCAUUUCCAUUGCGUCUUUUUCAUAUAUUUGCUGCUAUUUGUACAACUUUUCUGUGAUUAAAUAAAAUUCCCUUCCUCGUUAAAAUAAAUGAAAGAAAAUAUGAAGGAGAAAUUAAAUUGAUCUAAUUGACAAUAUGUCUUUAUAACUAGAUGCCUUCUCAGAUAUUCUCAAAAACUUCCAUACUCUAACUAUCAUUAUUUUACCACAAUAGUACUUCUUUAACAAUUACUAGCAUUUCUAUGUUAUCAUUUGAACUGCUUCCUUUCCAUCUUUGGUACACUUAAAUUUGCAAUUAUCUCAUGAAAUUCUUAAAUUCAGUAACUUUCAACUACAUGUUAUGAUGAGAGAUAUUUGUUUGACAUGAUAUAAACCUAAUAAGAAAAGAAUUCAAUUUGAUAACACACGUAAGACAAUAUAUAUAGGUCCAUGUACAUAAACCAAAGAACAAAAUUAUAUCAAUUCAGUAAGCACAUUUAAUAAUAUUCCCUGGAGCCUUAAAGCAUAAGUUAAACAUUUUAUCUGGAAAUGUCUCCUAAGAAUCUUAUACGUGAUGAAGUAAUUAGGCAGAGAACUGGGAAACGGAAAGACUCGAGCAUAUGCGUUUUUUUUUUUUUUUUUUUUUUUGUGAAAUUGCAUAACAAAUAUGGUAAGUAGCACCAAUCCAGUGGGAUGGCCUAUUAUAAGUGCAUAUUUUGCAUGUUUUAAGUGUGUUUUAUUAUUUAGUUUUGGUGUGUUUUAACUACAUUUAUAGCUACUUAACUAAAUUUCUAGUGAAAAUAUGCUUAUGGUUAAAAUUUUAAAAAUUGCAUUUCUAUGGAUUUUAAUAGCGAUAACUUUAUUUUUUUUAUAGGUUUAAUAGUUCAAUCAUCAAUUGGAGUGAAUUGAAAAUAUACUUGGAUGAUUAUUGAUGAUUUCAAGUUGUUUAAAGAAGACAUGAAGUGCAAAAAUGAAAUGCAAACAAGAACAAAAGAAAGAAAGUUUUACAACUUUGACACCUUGUGAUAUUUCGGCUAUAUCUUGCACUACAAACAUCAGAUUGAGAUCAUUAUUAAGCAUUUGAAGCUAAGAGAUAUAUCUAUAUUUGUUAUGAAGACAUCAAAGUGCAAUUCAAUUUUUUUCUUUUUCAAAAAGUCGAAAUAUAGAAGUGCAAUUCUAUUGUCAAAUCUGUAGCAGAGUCUUGACCAGGUGAUGAAAUUUUGGUCAUUUCUCAAUCCACAGAGCUUCAAAUUGGAUGAUUCCUAAUGCAUUGAAAAGCUAACUCAAAAAGUUACAAUUUUUAUGUUUUGCACAAGAACUAGUUCAGCCUCCAUCAUCAAGAAAAAAUCAGUGAAAGUUAGGAAAAGCAGAGAAAGUAAAUUCGAGUUCGGAUAUAAACUAAACCCGACCUCGGAUAAACUUCUGUAAUCGGAGGCUACAUCUAAGAGGAAGAUCCGAGCUUGGAUCCCCAUGUUAUAGGCCUCAGAUCCUAAUGUGUAGUGAAGAUAAAAAUGGAGAAAACUGAAAUCCAAGGAGUAUUUAGAGCAAUCGAACCUCGGAUCCCCAAUUGCGAAUCUGCAACUUGUGCUCCAUUCACACAACCUUUUUUAUCACUUUUUCUACAAAGAUUCUGGCUGGAAAUGAGCAUAUGAGCAUGGAAGUUUUGAGAAGAAACCUUUGAGAUUUUCAAGAGUCGAAAUGCUAACUAGAAACAACUCAUCUUGAGCUUUAAUCUUUCUAUAAAUAGAGGCCUUGGAAAAUAUUUUUACAACUUUGGAAGGCUAGAAAAACUCACCAACAAUGUAGUCUUUACUAGAAUUUCCUUAGUUUCUUAGUUAGAGUAGAUUAGUAUAGUUAGGCUAGUUUAUCCACUCUUAUAUAAUGGUAAGAUUAGGAUGAAGAUGGAGAUGAAAAAGGAGAGGAUAAAACUCAUGUGACAAGGGCUAUCUCUUCUCCAUUAUCUUUUACAUUGGAUUCUUAAAUAUGGUUAAUAUGCAAGUUUUGGAAUUUGUUUUCAUGUUUUGCUAAAGUUUAUACCUAGAGUUAUGAAUGAACUUUUUAUAUCUUACUAGUGAUGUUUAUUUGGUUAUUUGAUGAUGUUAUUUUGAACAAGUUAUUUAUCACUUUUGCUUAUCUAAUCAUGAUUAGAUAAGCAAUUAAUUAUGAUAAUCUUAAAGUGUUAAAUUUGUAAUGAAAAUUGAAAUUUAGCACUAGUUCAAGAAAGUGAUAAACCUAUGGAAUACACUCACGAAAGUAGAGGUGCAACUUUGUAACUUUAGUGACUUGUUUCAUGUAAUUUCAUAGAAGAAAUGAGUUUGUAGUUAGUUUCAUAACUACGAAAAUAGGUAUGAAUUAACUAUUGGUAUAGUUGGUAUAUCGGUGAAAGCACGUAUCACGUAUAUUAGGAAAUUAUGUCAUAACUAGUCAAGAUAAUAGUAACUUAACCGAUAAUUUCAUUUGUAAAAGUAGUAAGGAAUUCCAUACCUCUAGGAGCUUUAUAUUGUCAUUUUUAUUACUUUUAUCUCAUGUUUGUAGUGAAAUUUUAAUUUCUUGCGCUUAUGAUAGUAUAAAUAAUAAAGGAGUUCAAAAAUCAUCGGUAAUUGACAAUCUUUCCUAUGGGAUCGAUACCUAAUACCCCUAUACUCAAUAAACGACUUGUAUACUUGCGAAAAAUCGUGUGUGGAGUAUUUAAAAUUAUAUAAAUGUAGAACUUGAAUGUGGAUAAACCAAUUAUUAUAUAUAUAUAUCCGGCGUUCAUUAGCUCUCUGCCAUUGAUGAGGGGAAUUGAUAGAAGAUGCUAAGAGGUAAGACGGCAGAAAACGCAUUGCUUUGAACUGUAAACUUGUGCAGAUUUGCGUGGCCAUGACACUACUUGGACGGUCGGACCAUUCAGUACUGACAGACCGUGCUGUAAGAAAGAGUGACAUCCACAGUCAACUCAAGGGCGGAGCCAUGUUAGAGAUCAAUAAUCAGAGGCUUGCAAAAUUUCGUAAUUUUUCAAUUUAGCUCACAUUUGCACUGACAAAUUUUGUAAAAAUUUCCUUUUGCUCUCGCAUUGCCCCUUAAAACAGCUAACGUAUUGGAAACGUAGAAUGGACCAGCUAAAUAACCAAGAUGCCACUGAUCACAAUAAUUUGCAUAGUGAGUUAUUGAGUGACUUCCCCGCCUUUGCUCAUUAUAAAUGCCGGCCCCCUCCACAUUCCAAACAUACUCAACCAGCUUCUGUGCUAUAUUUUGCUAUCUUCUGCCACCACCACUGCUCCCACAAAAUGGAAAGCUUUUCUCCCACUUGGGCUGCGUAUGCACUCGAAUCAUACGAACAUAUUUGGGUGGAAGAAAUGAAUUCACUUCUGCAGCAGCUAUUCAAAUCAUUGGGCAAGCCUGUCGUGUUGAAAGAUUAUCUUUCAAUAGGGAGUUUCAAGGUGAUUAGUAGGAUGAUCUUGGGGGAAAACAUACAUUGAUGAGUCUUAGAACUCAAUUGUCAUGCACGAAGAGUUCAGGCAAAUGAUGGACGAGCUAUUUUUGCUGACUGGUAUGUCUAACAUUGGUGAUUCCUUACCUUGGAUCGAUUCCUUGGAUUUGCAGGGGUAUAUCAAAAGGAUGAAAAUCAUGAGCAAGAAAUUUGAUAGGCUUCUGGAACAUGUUCUCGAUGAGCAUAAUGCCCAGAGGGAGGAUGAAGUUGAUUGUGUCAACAAGGACAUGGUGGACGUCCUUUUGGACCUUGCAGAUGAUCCCACUUUUGGAGGUAAAGCUAGAGAGGCAUGGAGUCAAGGCAUUGACUCUGGUAUAUGUUACUUACAAACUGCAUAAUGUGUGCUGUCAAGUUUUAAACGCCUAAAAACUUAGAAAGUAGUCAAUGAUCUUUUGAACUUGAAUACUCCCCAAAAUUUUCUUUGCUACAAAAAACUUGAGAGAAAAUAGUCAGAAUCUUUUGAGUUUGAUGAAAAUUUUUCAAUGGAGUCAGAAUUAACAAGAAAAUUUCUUUUUAAUCCUUCAAAAAGAAAUUGCUUUUGCUAAACGUACUCAAAUAAGUUAGUGACGAGUGCAGGGUAUACAUAUGAUAGGGUGUUAAUUGUUAGUAAUUUUAUUGUUAAUUUUCCCUUUUAUCUUUGUCAAAUAUUGUUUUAAUUAUUAAUAUUUACUUAUAUUUGGUAUUGGAGCCAAUUUCAGGGAAUGAAGCAGAAAACUACAAAAAAGAAGGGACUUUCUGAAGAUAAUUGAGACUUCAAAUAAGCCACAGACCUGGCCCACAUGGUGAUAUACGCGGACUGCAUUUCUUUUUUGCGGAUUAGGAGUAUCUUGGAGUGUUGAAGUGUUUGACUAUCAAGAGGAAACUAAAGAAAGAAGGACUUCAGAGAACUUCACUUUAUGUACACUCCUUUCUCAAUUUGUGCGAGGACCACGGAAAGAAGAAAGGCAUUAGUCAUUUGAAUUGAAAGGAAACAAACGUGCAAAGAGUUGUCUUUGUUCCUUAUUCGUGGGGACCACUGGAUAGAUAGCUUGAGUCAUUUCCUUUUGGCUAUAUAAGGACAAUAGUAAGAAAGACUAUGGAGAGUUUUUUUAAUAUAGUUUAGUUUUAUUCUUUCUUGGUUCCUUUGAUGGCCUGGACCUCAGUUAAAUUACUUGGAGAUUUUCUCAUGAUACGUGGCUAAGUUUUCCUAGUCGAAGGUCAAUUUGAGGACUCGGUUUCGAACAUCUGUGAGAUCUAAUUAUUUUAUUUACUUCUUUUAUUUAUUGGUAUUUGUGCGUUUUCUGAUUUAAUUGCUUAUGCUUGUUAUGUUAUUUGAAUGUCAAGGGCCCGAUAUUCGAAUUAACCUAAUGAUCUAAUGCCAAAUUAAUUGAUUGAAUCCGUAAUUGUUCAAUUGAUUAAUACCAGUGGCGACUAGCGUGAUUGGUUUCAUGUUAGGGAAACGUAUGAUCUAACUUAAACAAACCCUCGUAGCGUGUUUGUUGGUUAGGAUUGGGCUUUUCUAAUUAUUAAUGCAAUCGAGUAAUUCAAUCCUAUUGUCGUACCUAGGGUUAUUUCUUGGUUAGAGAAAUAGUUAACGGUCGUACCUUAACUAUCGAGAAAUUAAGGAAAGACUGGUUGUUCAUCGCGUGUAUGGCAACUAUAACCAAUUUAUUAAUAAGUAAUUGAAUUAUCUUUGCGUCGAUGAUCAGUUGCAUGGACCGUAUCUGAAAAGUUGCACCUUUGGCUAGAGUCAUAUUGGUUAUUGAUUAAUUUCUAUUAGUUGUUUUAUUGGUUAGUUAAUUAGUUAUUUUAUAUUCUCCAAAAAAACCCCACAUACUUUGGACUUUAAAAUAAACGAAUUAUCCCCAGUCCCUGUGGAUUCGACCCUACUUAUCACUAUCUACAGAAAUUAUAUUUUAUUUAAGUAGGUAUUUAUUAUUGCACAGGUUUGACACCCUGUCAAUUUUUGGCACCGUUGCCGGGGACUGGUGUCAGAUUAAUUUGUUUCUUUUUGAAUUCAUCUUGUUUUCAUUUUUUUUUAUUUUUCUCUUAUUUUUUUAUAUAUAGUUUAUGACUUCUAACACUCCGUAUUUUGGUGAUAGACUGGAUUUUGUUUCCAGGGAAGACAAUGAGGCUUGUUUUUUUUUUUUCUAAAUUUGCAUAUUCAGAGGCACUAAACUCUCUUAUUGAAAGAAUGGCUGAUGCAACCUGUGGAAUUUGUUAUGUCAGGGAUCAUUCAACCGGUAUGUGCCCCGAAUAUCAAGACUACCUGAGUGAUUAUCUCACAAAAAAAUUUGGAGAUUCUUCACCUCGAUCUCAAACGUGGUAUGACUCUUAUUCAAACGGGUAUGAUCAAGGAUGGUGGGAUAACUCCAGUUAUAAUUAUACAACAGGGUCAAUGAAUUUUCAGCAGUAUGAGUCUCAAGAAUCAUCAUCUAUGUCAGGUAUGUCUUUUGAAGAAAUAGUUGAAUCAAUAGCUACUAAUACAUAUCAAUUCCAACAGGAGACACAAAUGAGAAAUGGGAUGAUGAAGGAUGCAAUGAGUAAUCUGGCAGAUCAAAUAUGUCUAUUGACAUCUAGAAUAAAUCGAUUGGCUUCUCAAAUUGAAAAAUUGCCCUCGAAAAUCAUUGUUGAUUUUGAAGAAAAUGAGAGUUCAAUUUGCUUGACUAGUGAUGAGGAGAUGCAAGAGUGUCAAAAUGAGAGAUCUACAGAUGCAGUUUAAAAAGAAGUCGAAAAGGAAGAAAUGGAACCCCAACCGCAACCCAUUCAAGUGAAAGAAUCCAGUGAAGAAUCAUCAAAUGUGGUGACACCACCUCCAUUCCCUAACCCGCAUUUUCUUAACUCUUACUCUAUGAUUUCUGUUAAUGAGAUUGAUUUUGCUAUACCGAAAGUUUUUGAGUCUCAUGGCAGAAAUAAGUUAAGAGUAGCUAUGGUCAAAUAUCUUGAACCGUUGAGUGCUCUUGAUGAAGGAGUGGAUGAAGAAUUGAGAUCACUGCUUGAUUAUUUGGCGCCAUCAACUAGUCCAUGGAAGACCGUAGCUCGUGUGCUCAAGGAUUACUCUAUUUACGAGGGCUAUCAGGACUAUAUAGAGGAUGAAGCAUUGAAACGAGUCACAAGAUUUUGUCCUCCCUAAGCAAACAUGAUAAUAUCUAGCCAAAAACGUUAAAGAAAGGCGCUUUUUGGGAGGCAACCCAAAUAUUGAUUUUAUUGUUUUUCGUUGUUAAAUUCUUUAAUUAUGCCGUUUCUUAUUUAGGUUGUGGUCGGUUUUAAUGUUUUCCUCCACUGUGAUCAGGACAGCAAUCUUGGCGUGCCCACGCGGUGUUUAUAACUCCUGAAGUCAGUGGACAUUUACCAAUCUUGGCGUGCCCACGUCAUGUUUGACGACCCAAAAGCUAAGAAAAAAAAAUUUAUUAUUUAUUUAUUUAUUAUUAUUAUUAUUUCUAAAAAAACAAAAAGGAUUAAAGUAUUUUAGCAAUUACAAUUUUCGAAAUUUGAAUUCAAAAAGGAAAAAAAAACUGAAAAAAAAGAAGAAAAAAAAAACAAAAAUCCACAAAAACUAUUUUUUCUUUUCUUUUUCUCCUUUCUUUCUCUUUUCUUCUUUUCUUCUUUCUUCUUUCUUUCUUUUUUUUCCUUUUCUUUCUUUCUUCCUUCUGCCCCCGCUGCUUUCCCUUUUUCCCUUUUUCCUUCGUUUCUUCCUCCAUUGCCGCCGCCGAACCCAGCUUCCUAGCACGACUACCACCUCGCAGCUCUACCGCGCGCCAGCCCGCCGCCAACCGUCGCUGCCCGCUUCUCCCACCCGCUACCAGCUCGCGGCCAAGCUCCUCUACCGCGCCUCCAGGCCGUCGCCCUGCUCCGCGAGCUCCACCGCACACGCCCCUCCCUCUCCAGCUCCACUUCACCCACAGACCACGGCCGCACUCUUCUCACCUAGCGUCCUACCACCAUCGCAAGCUCCACCCCAGCUUACCACCACCACCUCCCUCUGCUCUCUCUCCACUUCACACCAGAUCACGGCCAAUAGCUCCUCCUCGCAGCCCCCAGCUCCUCCACUAUAGCGACUCCGUGCGCUCCGCCGCUGCUCCACUGCUCCACCACCCAUGGCCAUCUGCUUGGUGUCUCUGGCAUGCAACAGAGGUACUUGUUUUUCCCAAUUUAUUGGCUAAUUUUCUAAGGUAAAUCACUUAUAUUUGGGGUACUAUUUCUAGAAUAGAUCUCUAGAGUGAAUUGGACACAGGCUUUGGGGUCUAUGUUGAACUUUGGUUUUCGGGUCCCUGCUAAAUUAUUUUACUGAAUUUUUUAUUCCCUAUGACUGUUGAUUUAAGUUGCUAAAUUAUUCGGGCCUCUGCUGAAUAUUAGUUGGCAGAGUUGUGCAUUUAUUUGUUCAGUCCAGCAACUAUAAUACUUAGUGCAUUGAUUGCUGAUUCAUGGUCGUAGUUACUAUCCCAAUUCAUUCAUUUGGGACUUCUUUUAGCCCUUGAGAUUGAUAUUUUCUGGACUCUCUGAUAGCUAUUUUAUUUGGAAGUUAUCGGGGGUUGACUUUGGGGUUUUGCUGCUUUUGUUGGGCGUUUGUUGUGAUUUUGGGUUGGGCAUUUAGUUGCUGUUUCUGUACACCAUCGGUUGCGAUUUCUAAGAGGUUCUUGUGGCUGAUUUAAUUUUGCUCUGAUUCCAUUUUUGUUGUGCACCAUUGACUAUUGGGCUUUUGUGCUUAAAGUGUUGCUCCUGCUAGAUCUCCGAACUGUUGCUGGAGUUACCAUUUUCUUGGAUCAAAUACUGAUUUUGGCAGGUUGAAUUGGGGAAUUGACUGUCCAAUUGGAGGCAGCUGUUACCAUUUUGGGACCAAUUGUGUCUAUUUUGCUGUGAUUUGUGUCUAAUUGUGGGUAAUUUGCUUGUUAAAUUGGGAGGUGCCUAUAACGCUUAAAUUUGCUUAUUGAAGUUAGUUGCCUCUGAUUGCCUUGUUUAGGAGCAUUUUAUCCUUUUGGUUUCCUUUACUAAGCUAUUUGGAGCACUUGUUGCAUGAUUGGACUGCCUUGAUUCUGAAUUUGACUACAUUUGGACCACAGGGGCUCAUUGAUUGCAUUUGUUAUUAGUGUUGAGGUAUUCGUAUAACCUGUGGGUGAUUGAAUUGUGCCUAUUGUUCAUUGGGUUGGUUUUAAACAAAAAAUUGUUAUUACUUUAAAAUUCCUGUUUCCAUUAUUUGUUGGCAAUUGUAGUCCCUUGUGAUUAGAGUGACAUCUAGAGAUCAUGGUAAGGCCAAGAUCCGCUUCUAGGUUAAGGACACCUAGACACUCGCAACCUCCUCCUACCCCAGGGGCUGACGAAUGGCACCAGGUCCAGAUGCGAGUUGAGCGACUAGCGACUCGGAUGACCCACAUUGACGUCAACCUGCAUCACAUGCGCAGAAUUUGGCAGCAUUUAUGCCCCAUGCAGGCCUUGAUCCUCAAUUUCCACCUGAACCGCCCCUGUUUUGAUGAUUUCAAGGAAGUACCGUUGCCCCUCUCUUUUCUUCUGUUUUUACAUUAUCACAUUGAGGGCAAUGUGUGACUUAGGUGUGGGGGGGUCAGUUUGGGUGCUAGUAUUUUUAGUUUUUAGGUUCUAGAGGUUUUUCCUUUGUUUUAGUUUGAUAUUUAUCUCCUUUUUCGUUUAUUUUCUUUUCUUUUCUUUUUCUAGUGGUCAGUCUUCAUAUGAAUACCAAGUUUGAUGCUGGAUUGUUGUCUCUAAUUCUGCUAUUGCCAAGUUUAUUAAUAAAAAGGUAUCAAGUUGAUGUGGUUGAGUUCAGGAACAUCUCUUUGGUGAAUAUCAAUAAUUACUUAACUUUUCCAAUUUUUGGUUAAUUUUUCUAGGCAUAGGGAAUGAUUGUUGGCAUUUUUCAUGUGAAUUGGUCCAAUUAUUAAUUUUUGUUCUCCAUGUCUGGAAAUUUGAGGCUGGCUGCUGUUAUUCUUGUGUUGCUUUUAGAUAUCGUGCUACAUGGUUGCAAAUAAGAGUGACUGUACACCGCUAGUGGUUACUACUGAGUAACCGGGGAUCUUCACUUGAAGUGUUGAUUUUCGUGUCAAAAGGUAGUAGUUGCUAUCAGUGCGUGGUCCCGUAGCAAUUGGAGCUGAGUAACCGGGCUCCUCCUCUAGCAAAUGUUGGAGUUCGCGUCAAAAGACUCUAAGGGCUAUAGACUAAGUCUUUUGUUAUUCAAAAAAAAAAAAAGAACAAAAAAAAAUGAGGAAAAAGAAGUGAAGUAAAGAUUGUGUUAGUAUGUGAAUAAGUCAGCUUGCCGGUUUGUGAUCUUAAUGUCGAGAUUUUGGUUAAUAGCUGGACCAUUUACUGAUAAAUGUGAGCAACCAUUCCUUUUUCUUAGAUUAGUUUGCUUUAAAUUGGAGGAGUUGGUGGUUGGGAAGCUAACCGGAGUGGUCUUUCUUGGAUCUUAACUGUGAUGCGUGAUAUAUGUUUUUCUAGGUAUUUUGGCAAUAUGAUAGUUAGAGCAAUAGCCAUUGUCAAAUUUUGGUGUUCAAGUGCUGUUCUUAUGCUUGAGGGCAAGCACGAUUUAGUGUGGGGGGAAUUGAUAGGGUGUUAAUUGUUAGUAAUUUUAUUGUUAAUUUCCCCUUUUAUCCUUGCCAAAUAUUGUUUUAUUUAUUAAUAUUUACUUAUAUUUGGUAUUGGACCCAAUUUCAGGGAGUGAAGCAGAAAACUACAAAAAGGAGGGACUUUCUGAAGAUAAUUGAGACUUCAAAUAAGCCACAGACCUGGCCCACAUGGUGAUAUACGCGGACUGCAUUUCUUUUUUGCGGAUUAGGAGUAUCUUGGAGUGUUGAAGUGUUUGACUAUCAAGAGGAAACUAAAGAAAGAAGGACUUCAGAGAACUUCACUUUAUGUACACUCCUUUCUCAAUUUCUGCGGGGACCACGGAGAGAAGAAAAGUCAUUUGAAUGGAAAGGAAACAAACGUGCAAAGAGUUGUCUUUGUUCCUUAUUCGUGGGGACCACUGGAUAGAUAGCUUGAGUUAUUUCCUUUUGGCUAUAUAAGGACAAUCGUAAGAAAGGCUACGGAGAGUUUUUUUAAUAUAGUUUAGUUUUAUUCUUUCUUGGUUCCUUUGAUGGCCUGGACCUCAGUUAAAUUACUUGGAGAUUUUCUCAUGAGGCGUGGCUAAGUUUUCCUAGUCGAAGGUCAAUUUGAGGACUCGGUUUCGAACAUCUGUGAGAUCUAAUUAUUUUGUUUAUUUCUUUUAUUUAUUGGUAUUUGUGCGUUUUCUGAUUUAAUUGCUUAUGCUUGUUAUGUUAUUUGAAUGUCAAGGGUCCGAUAUUCAAAUUAACCUAAUGAUCUAAUGCCAAAUUAAUUGAUUGAAUCCGUAAUUGUUCAACUGAUUAAUACCAGUGGCGACUAGCGUGAUUGGUUUCAUGUUAGGGAAACGUAUGAUCUAACUUAAACAAACUCUCGUAGCGUGUUUGUUGGUUAGGAUUGGGCUUUUCUAAUUAUUAAUGCAAUCGAGUAAUUAAAUCCUAUGAUCGUAGUUAGGGUUAUUUCUUGGUUAGAGAAAUAGUUAACGGUCGUACCUUAACUAUCGAGAAAUUAAGGAAAGGCGCGUGUAUGGCAACUAUAACCAAUUUAUUAAUAAGUAAUUGAAUUAUCUUUGCGUCGAUGAUCAGUUGCAUGGACCGUGUCUGAAAUGUUGCACCUUUGCCUAGAGUCAUAUUGGUUAUUGAUUAAUUUCUAUUUAUUUCUAUUAGUUGUUUUAUUGGUUAGUUAAUUAGUUAUUUUAUAUUCUCCAAAAAAUCCCCCAUACUUUGGACUUUAAAAGAAACGAAUUAUCCCCAGUCCCUGAAUUAUCCCCACUAUCUACAGAAAUUAUAUUUUAUUUAAGCAUGUAUUUAUUAUUGCACAGGUUUGACACCCUGUCAACAUAUAACAAUUAGUUCAUUUCACAAUCAAAUUUUAUAUUUAUAACAUUCUAAAUUCCUUAGAAGCGAUUUUUUUGCAAGUGCAUGAGUUGUGAUUGAGUAUAUGAUAUUAAGGGUCGAACCUACAGGGAAGAUUUUCAAAUAUUAUGGAUUUUCGAACUCCUUUAUUAUUUAGAUUAUCAUAAGUGCAAGAAAUUGAAUCUACACUAUAAAUAUGAAGUAAAAGUAUUAAAUAUAACAAUAGGAAACUCCUAAAGGUAUGGAAUUCCUUACUACUCUUGCCAAUAAAAUUACCGGUUAAUUGAAUGUUAUUAUCUUGGUUAGUUAUAGCGUAAUUUCCUAAUGUAUGUAAACCUACUCUCGAAGUGAAUCAAUUAUAUUUAUAGGUAAACCAUACUUACUCUCGUAGUUAUAAAAUUAAGUAUAAGUUCAUUUCUUCCAUGAAAUUAUAUGAAACAAGUCACUAAAGUCACAUAGGUGCACCUCUACUCUCAUGAAUGUACUCCCUAAGUUUAUCAUUUUCUUAAACUAGUAUUAAAUUUCAAUUCUCACUGCAGAUUUAAUACCUUAAUAUUAUCACAAUUAAUGGCCGAUUAAUCGUGAUUAGAUAAGCAAAGUGAUAAAAUAACUUGUUCAAAAUAAUAUCAUCAACUAACAAAAUAAACACCACUAACAAAAUAUAGGAAGUUCAUCGAUAACUCUAGGCAUAAACUUUAACUAAAUAUGGAAACAAACACCAAACUUGUAUUAUAGCUAAAUAUAAAAUCAAAUACAAAAGAGAAAGUGUUAGGAGAGAAGUCACCCUUGUCGCAUGAGAUCCAACUCUCCAUCUUUGCUUUUCAAAUCUUCAUUCAAAUCGAACUACAAACACAAAAAGGAUAAACUACACUAACUAUACUAUACUAAUGAACUAAGAAAAACUAAUGAAAACUAUAUUUUUGUGGAGUUUCUCUAGUCUUCCAAAGUUAUCAGAAUGUUUCUCAAAAGCUGCUAUUUAUAGAGAAUUCAAGCUCAAUAUGAGUUGUUUCUUAAUUGGCAAGUUUGGCUUUUGAAUUUACCAAGAAUUAUUUUCCAAGUUUCCACACUUUUCUUGGUCAGAUACAGCCUUACUGGAAUUGAGUUGGAAAGUUGUGUGAACAAAGAACAAGUUGCAACCGAAAAUGAUGAAUAUACGAUGACGUGCGCGGGGUAUACAUAUACAAUAAGUUUAUCCACAAUCAAGUUUUAUAUUUAUAAUUCCUAAAUAUCCUACACGGGAUUUAUUGCAAGUAUACGAAUCGUGAGCGAGUAUAGGGUAUUAAGGGUCGAUCCCACAGGGAAGAGUGACAAUUAUCGGUGUUUUUUGAAUUCUUUUAUUAUCUCAACUACCAUAAACAUAAAAUUAAUGAAAAUAAAACUAGAAAACUCCUAGAGAUAUGGAAUUCCUUACUACUCUUGCAAAUGAGAUUACCGGUUAAGUGAAUGCUAUUAUCUUGGUUAGUUAUGGCGUAAUUUCGUAAAGUAUGUGAAACCUACUCUCGUAGUGGAUCAACUAUACUUGUAGUUAUACUAUACCUACUCUCGUGGUUAUGAAAUUAACUACAAUCUCAUUUCUUUAUGAAAUUACAUGAACAAGUCACUAAAGCCACAAAUGUGCUCCUUUACUCUCGUGAGUGAAAUCCCUAGGUUUAUCACUUCCUUGAACUAGUGUUAAACUCCAAUUCUCAUUGUAAACUUAAUACCUUUAGAUAAUCACAAUUAAUGGUCUAUUAAUCAUGAUUAGCUAAGCAAAAGUGAUGAAUAACUUGCUCAAAAUAAUAUCAUCAAAUAACCAAGUAAACAUCGCUAACAAGAUAUAGAAAGUUCAUCCAUAACUCUAGGCAUAAACUUUAGAAACACAUAUAAAAACAUAAAUCGAAACUUAUAUUAUAGAUAAACAUGAAUUCAAAUACAAAAGAGAAAGUGAUAGGAGAGAAGUCACCCUUGUCACAUGAGCUCCAACUCUCCAUCUUUGCAUCUCCAAUUUUCAUCCAAAUCUAACUACAAAAACAAGAUGGAUAAACUACACUACCUAUAUUAUAUUACUCUAACUAAUGAACUAAGGAAACUCUAGUGAAAGUUACAUUUUUUGUGAGUUUCUCUAGCCUUCCAAAGUUUUUUAAAAUGCCCUCCAAAAGCUUUUAUAUAUAGAGGAUUCAAAAGCCAAAUGAGUUGUUUCUAGUUGUCAUUUUGAAACUCUCUAAGUCUGUUUCUCAAAGUGUCCAUGCAUCAUAUGAUCAUUUCCAGUCGGAAUCUUUGCAAAAAAAGUGAUAAAAAAGGUUGUUGAUAAGAGUUUAUUUUACGUAUUUUUAGUGUGUUUUAUUAGUUAAUUUUGGUUUGAUUAUUUAGUUUUAUAACUAAAAUAACUAAGGUUUUGGUAAAAAAACUACAUUUUAUGUUAAAAUGGCUAAACAUUGCAUUUUAUGGAUUUUUAUGGUAAAAAAACUUCAUAUUUUGUAGGUUUAAUGAUUCAAUCAUCAAAUGAAGUGCAUUGGGAAGAUAUUUGGAUGAUUGAAGAUGGAUUAAAGUGGUGAAAAAAAAAUAUGAAGUGUAAAAGGAAAAAUGCAAGAAAAGUCAGGUUUAACAACUCUGACACGUUUUGGUAUUUUGACUAUAUCUGGAGCUACACAGAUCGGAUCAAGGUGAUCUUGGUACCAUUUUGAAGCUAAGAGAUAUAUCUACAUUUGGUAUGAAGACAUCAAAGUCCAAUUCAGCCGUUUUCAUAGUCCAAAAGUUGAAAUACCGAAAUUCAACUCAGCUGUCCAAAGUGGAAAACAGAGCUCCGACCAGUCUAUAGUAUUUCGGUCAUAUCUCAGGCUACAAAGCUCCAAUUUGGAUGAUUCUUGAAGCAUUGAAAAGCUAACUCAAAGGGCUACAACUUUGCUGUUUUACACAAAAGCUAGUUCGGCCUUUAUGAGACAAAAUCGCAGAUUAAGUAAGGCCAAAGUGAAUACGCGAGUACACAAAACGUGACUUGUAACCGCGUUUUGUGUAGGCGCGUUUUCUGGCCGAAAUUCUGCAAUUUGACUCAGCCAUUUCCCUUGUGUUCAUACCACUUUCCAGCUAUAAGAUGCAAGGGAAUUCGGUGCACAUGCUUCAGAAGACAAAAUGGCAGACAAUAUGGCUUAUUUUCAAGUCAAAAACAAUGGUUUUUGACUAUCUUAACAAAAUGAGAUUUGAAGAAUCAUAGCAGCAAAUUUGGACUGGGAGAAGAGGAACUUUUCAUGAGUUUAUAUGCAGAGACAGAGAGCCAUUCAUUCAUUAUCAUACGGGGAGAGAACUUGAAGUGCAGAAAUGUAGUUCUUUCAUUUCCUUAGUGUAGGAUAGUGUAGUAAGUGUAGUUAAUCCAUUCUUGUAUAAUAGCUAGAUUAGGAUGAAGAUGGAGAUAAAGAAGAAGGAGUUGAAGCUCAAGUGACAUGGGUUAUCUCUACUCCAAUUCUUUAUCUUUUGUAUUGGAUUCUUAACUAUGGUUAUAAUGCAAGUUCUGGAAUUUAUGUUUAUUAUUUGUUUCUAAAGUUUAUGCCUUGGGUUUGGUUGAACUUCCUAUGAUUGUUAGUGUUUAUCAUUUGGCUAUUUAACUGCUAUGAUUUGAGCAAGUUAUUUAGCACUUUAGCUCUUUAAAUCAUGAUUAAUCUGGUACCAUUAAUUAUGAUUAUCUAAGGUGUUAUUUCUACAAUGAAAAUUGAGAUUUAACAUUAGUUCAAGAAGUGCUAAACAUAGGGAAUACACUCACGAGAGUAGAGGUGCACCUAUGGGGUUUUGGUGAUUUAUUUCAUGUAAUUUCAUUGAAGAAAUGAACUUGUAACUAAUUUCAUAACCAUGAGAAUAGGUAUGGAUUGGUUAUUAGUAUAAUUGAUUCACUACGAAAGUAGGAUUCAAAUGCAUAAGGAAAUUACACCAUAACUAGCCUAGAUGUAGUACUCAAUGAUCCAAAUAUAACACUUGCAUGAGUAGUUAGGGAUACCACAACCUAAGGAGCUUUUAUUUGUUAUUUUGUAUAAUUUCAGUAGGUUAAAUUUCUUAUAAUUCAUUGAUAGUCUAAAUAAUAGAGAAGUUUUAGUAAUACCGGUAAUUGUUCACUCUUCCCUAUGGGAUCGACCCGAUAUAUACCCUAAACUACUAGUUGAUCUGUAUACUUGCAGUGAACGGGUGUAAUUCGAUUUUUUAACUUGUACGUAUGUAAAAUACCCGUCAAGUUUUUGGCGCCGUUGCCGGGGAAGAUUUGGCAAUAUCGGUGUGAAGAGCAACUUUAUUAGUUUAGACAUUUUAUUAGUUAUAGUGUGAAUGUUGUUUUCUGUUAUUUUAGUGUUUUAAAUGUGUAUGUGUUUUAUCACCUAUUCUUCUUACUAAUUUUGCUCUUAAGUUGUUUAAAAGUAAUUUUAGGUGAUGAGAAAGAUAGGUCAAUUUGGAGGACAAUGCUUGAGAAGUGGAAGAUUGGCAAUGGAUGGUUAUCAAGUGCAAAGCUCCUUCAACAGAGGUAACCAAAAAUUUACUGAAUGUAUGUCUUUUGAAGAUGGUUUAAGGUGCUUAAAGGCUAAAUUUGAUGUUAUGAUAUUACAAGUUCAAAUGGACACAAUUAAGCAUGAAAUUGAGCAAGGGAGGAAUGUUAAUGCUUUUAAUUCUUAUCAUGUGAUUUGUGACUUGUGUGGAGGUUAUCAUGCUACUAAUACAUGUAUGCAAGCACAAAAUGUGGAUUAUUAUUAUGAAUUCGAGCAUUACAAUCCUUGUUUUGAUCAAUAUAGUGCUAAUUGGAGCAAUUCUCCUGCUUAUGGUUGGGAUAAUCAAUUUACUUAUAGUAAUUCUUCAUAUUUUUAUGAUUACCAAUCUGAAUGUGUCCAAUAUGAAUCAAAAUCAUCUUGGGAGUUGGCAAUAGAAAAAGUAGCUAAUGAUUCUAAGCCAUCUUGGGAGUUAGCUUUAGAAAAAUUAGCUAAUGCAACUUCUGACCGUUUUGAUAGGAUUGAGGAAAGAAUAGAUGAAUUAGCUUCUCACUUUGGUAGAAUACAUGAGCAAUUGAAUGCAUUGUGUGAAGUUAUUUUCUCUAAUAAUUUGCAAAACGAUCCUAGCAUGAAUGGUGGGAAUGUUGUAUGUGAAAAUGGGUUGCAUUUUGAUGAAAAUGAUGAAUCUCAAUUGUGUUUCAAUGAGCAAAUGUCCAUUUCACAUGAUAAUAUUGUUGGAACUAACUUUGAACCUCAAGAGGUGAGUUUUAAUGACUCAUUUUUCACCCCUCUUGAGGAGUGCAUUGAAAGUAUAGGUUCUAAAGGUAUUCCUGCCCAAGAUACUCUCAUGACAUUUCUUUUGGUAAGUUCUCAAGUGGUGCAUAUUCAAGAUAAUAUUUAUGAAACACUUGGAUUAGGUAAGUCACUUCUAUUUCUCACAUCAUUAGAUCAUGUGGCUUUUGCUAUAAAGUCACCUUUUAAUGAUCCACCACGACCUAAAAUGGUGGAUUAUUCUUUAACCAAGCCUCCUUGAUAAUGAGGUUCAAUAGUCGAGCCAACGACUAUAAAUAAAAGCGCUUAUUGGGAGGCAACCCAAUAUAUAUAUAUAUAUAUAUAUUUUUUUUUAGCUAUUUAUGUUAUUUUGGGGUGAUUUUAUGUUUACAGUAUGAGUUUGAGUUAUUUUGAUGUUUUUCAUUUGUAGGUAUUGGAAAUGAAAGCAAAAGUGACCAAAUGAGGUGAAAAAGGCGAAAUUUGAUCAAGGAACUCAACCCCUCGAUUUGAGUAAUUGUUGUUUUUGAUUUGUUAGAAGGGGUUAAAAUGCAUAUUUUGAUCAUUUUACAUGUGCAUGCAUUGAGAAUUUUAGCAAACAAAUGAUCUAUGAUGCAUUUUGAAAAUUUGGGGUAUCAUUUGUAAUUAUUCUUAAGUUAAAUUUCUGCUAAAUUUCGCAGCAGAAAAUGCAUUUUUCUAAAAAAACGCGCCAGUGAAUCGCGUUUUCAUAGAAUCGCGUUUUCAAUUCUGCGCCUAUAAUGAAGAAAACGCGCCUUAAAAAUGCGACAGAAAGUCGCGUUUUCCAGCCUGAUCAAAAAUUGAAAACGCGCCUUUAGAAACGCGACAUUAAAUCGCGUUUUUAAGCAUAGCCGCGUUUUCGAUCCUGCAAGAUAUGUGAAGAAACGCGACUUCAAAAAACACGGCUUGGUGGCGCGUUUUGAUGAGUCACGUUUUCUGAGCGAAAAUGCAGCUUCCUUGAUUCUCUUUUUCUUCUUUUUCUCAUAUAUUUUCUUGUACCUUGAGUUGCUUAUUGUAUUUUUUAUAGGUACAUCACCAAAACAAGAGCUUGAAGUUACGGAUCGCCGUUUUGAUGUCUUAAGCCUUUGUUAUCACUUUUGUUUCUCAUUUUCCAUUUUUAGGUUUACAUCACUAAUGGUUAUCCAAUGGAACUCAUGAAGCGUUGGAGAUACACGGACAAUGGAUCUUGAAGCUUCAUAUUCAAUCACAACAAUAGGGGAGUAUUACUUUCUUCAUCUUAAUUUCCCUUUUUACACAUUGAGGACAAUGUGCAUGUUAAGUGUGGGGGGAAGAAUUGAGAUUAUAUACAUUGUAUGUGAUUGAAUUAUUAGUUGCAAAUAUUGGACUUGUGUUAAAAUUCAAAAUUUUUCUAACAUCUUGUCCAAAAUUGCAAAUUUGCCCCAAAAAUUUUAAAAAUUUAAAUUUCAUCCAAAGGGGUAACAAAGUUCCAUACCAUUAGUAGUUCAAAUUCCUUCUACAUUUGAGAUAAAUAUAUGUGGUUUAAGCACUUCUUUUCUCAUUUAACUUGGAAAUGACUAUUAUGUGAUUAUAAUUUUUGCAUUUGUAAGAAAGUAUAUCUUUUAAAGUGGAGAAAAUUAUGCCUAUAUUUUUUUUUGCAUAUUUGAUGAAAUUUCUUCGCUUUAUUUGAUUUUAUAAGUUAAGUGAUAAAUAUGGUCAAUAAGUGCAAUACUCUUCUCAUGAUUAUUCUUUUGAGGAAUUUAUUAUUAUCUUUGCUGUAAAAAGAAAAAAAGAAAAAAAAGUGAAAAAAAAGAAGAAAAAAAAAUUUAUUUAUUCUACUCCAAUGAUUCUUGUACUUAGUAACCGGGAGUCUUCAUCUACAAAUGUCGACUUUCGCGUAAAACGGUACUUGAAUUAAGAGUAUGCAAAGCAACUUGAGUAUGUGAAGUGUUGAGUAACCGGUGAUCUUCAUCUAAAAAUGUUGAUCCUCGCGUAAAAAUAUACUUUCACAACUUAAGUAAUAUUAGCUAUAUUAUAUAAAUAAAUCCCUUUUUAAAUUAAAUAAGAAGAUGAUCAUGGGUUUAGAAAGCAUAUUAUUGACCAUAUAAGUUACUUACUUGUAAGAUUGGGUAAGGAUGAAAAAUGGAUUUGAACCUGUUAUAAUUACGGUAUAAUUGGCUCUCCUUUACUUGAUAUUAUGAGUACUUGAAUUUAAUUGAAUAAUUGCAUAAUGGUUAUUUACUUUGUUUUGAGGAAAUGAAGUUGAAAUGCUACAUAUGUUUAUUUUCAACUUUUGGAUCAUGGUUGGUUUGUAUUUCUUAUUGCUUGAGGACAAGCAAUGAUUCAAGUGUGGGGGUAUUUGAUAAGAGUUUAUUUUACGUAUUUUUAGUGUGUUUUAUUAGUUAAUUUUGGUUUGAUUAUUUAGUUUUAUAACUAAAAUAACUAAGGUUUUGGUAAAAAAACUACAUUUUAUGUUAAAAUGGUUAAACAUUGCAUUUUAUGGAUUUUUAUGGUAAAAAAACUUCAUAUUUUGUAGGUUUAAUGAUUCAAUCAUCAAAUGAAGUGCAUUGGGAAGAUAUUUGGAUGAUUGAAGAUGGAUUAAAGUGGUGAAAAAAAAAUAUGAAGUGUAAAAGGAAAAAUGCAAGAAAAGUCAGGUUUAACAACUCUGACACGUUUUGGUAUUUUGACUAUAUCUGGAGCUACACAGAUCGGAUCAAGGUGAUCUUGGUACCAUUUUGAAGCUAAGAGAUAUAUCUACAUUUGGUAUGAAGACAUCAAAGUCCAAUUCAGCCGUUUUCAUAGUCCAAAAGUUGAAAUACCGAAAUUCAACUCAGCUGUCCAAAGUGAAAAACAGAGCUCCGACCAGUCUAUAGUAUUUCGGUCAUAUCUCAGGCUACAAAGCUCCAAUUUGGAUGAUUCUUGAAGCAUUGAAAAGCUAACUUAAAGGGCUACAACUUUGGUGUUUUACACAAAAGCUAGUUCGGCCUUUAUGAUAGACAAAAUCGCAGAUUAAGUAAGGUCAAAGUGAAUACGCGAGUACACAAAACGUGACUUGUAACCGCGUUUUGUGUAGGCGCGUUUUCUGGCCGAAAUUCUGCAAUUUGACUCAGCCAUUUCCCUUGUGUUCAUACCACUUUCCAGCUAUAAGAUGCAAGGGAAUUCGGUGCACAUGCUUCAGAAGACAAAAUGGCAGACAAUAUGGCUUAUUUUCAAGUCAAAAACAAUGGUUUUUGACUAUCUUAACAAAAUGAGAUUUGAAGAAUCAUAGCAGCAAAUUUGGACUGGGAGAAGAGGAACUUUUCAUGAGUUUAUAUGCAGAGACAGAGAGCCAUUCAUUCAUUAUCAUACGGGGAGAGAACUUGAAGUGCAGAAAUGUAGUUCUUUCAUUUCCUUAGUGUAGGAUAGUGUAGUAAGUGUAGUUAAUCCAUUCUUGUAUAAUAGCUAGAUUAGGAUGAAGAUGGAGAUAAAGAAGAAGGAGUUGAAGCUCAAGUGACAUGGGUUAUCUCUACUCCAAUUCUUUAUCUUUUGUAUUGGAUUCUUAACUAUGGUUAUAAUGCAAGUUCUGGAAUUUAUGUUUAUUAUUUGUUUCUAAAGUUUAUGCCUUGGGUUUGGUUGAACUUCCUAUGAUUGUUAGUGUUUAUCAUUUGGCUAUUUAACUGCUAUGAUUUGAGCAAGUUAUUUAGCACUUUAGCUCUUUAAAUCAUGAUUAAUCUGGUACCAUUAAUUAUGAUUAUCUAAGGUGUUAUUUCUACAAUGAAAAUUGAGAUUUAACAUUAGUUCAAGAAGUGCUAAACAUAGGGAAUACACUCACGAGAGUAGAGGUGCACCUAUGGGGUUUUGGUGAUUUAUUUCAUGUAAUUUCAUUGAAGAAAUGAACUUGUAACUAAUUUCAUAACCAUGAGAAUAGGUAUGGAUUGGUUAUUAGUAUAAUUGAUUCACUACGAAAGUAGGAUUCAAAUGCAUAAGGAAAUUACACCAUAACUAGCCUAGAUGUAGUACUCAAUGAUCCAAAUAUAACACUUGCAUGAGUAGUUAGGGAUACCACAACCUAAGGAGCUUUUAUUUGUUAUUUUGUAUAAUUUCAGUAGGUUAAAUUUCUUAUAAUUCAUUGAUAGUCUAAAUAAUAGAGAAGCUUUAGUAAUACCGGUAAUUGUUCACUCUUCCCUAUGGGAUCGACCCGAUAUAUACCCUAAACUACUAGUUGAUCUGUAUACUUGCAGUGAACGGGUGUAAUUCGGUUUUUUAACUUGUACGUAUGUAAAAUACCCGUCAGUUGUGUAAAAAGAACACAAGUUACAGAGCAAGUUACAGCCUGAAUAUACUAAAAUGCAGGUAUAAAAUGCGGCCUAUGCCCUAGUUUUGAGCCCUCGUUUUGCUUUUUUUACAGGUUUGCCAAUUCUGGCCAGAUUUCAUUCUUGCUCUAUUUUUAGUCCAAUUUCUACUGAUAUUUAUUUGAUGAUGGAGACCGAACUAACUCUUGUACAAAACAUGAAAAUUGUAUCCCUUUGAGUUAGUUUUCCAAUGCCUUAAGAAUCAUUCAAUUUGGAGCUUUGUGGACCGCGAAAUGAUCAAAAUACCAUGACUGGUCAAUCUCUUGUUCCGCUUUUGACCAUGCAGAUGAGCUUCUGUAUGUCGACUUUUUGACAAUGAAGACAACUAAACUGGACUUCUAUUCUUCAUACCAAAUGUAGAUCUAUCUCUUAGGUCCAAAAUGGUUCAAAAAUCAUCUCAAUUUGAUCAUUGUAGCUCAAGAUAUUGCCAAAAUACUACAAUAUGUCAAAGCUGUGAAACUUGCUUCCUUUUAUUCUUGAUUGCAUUUCCUUUUUUGAAUUUUCUAUUCUCUUUUCAUCACUUUAAACUAUCAUCAAUCACCCAAUUAUCUUCUAAAACCAUGCUAUUUGAUGAUUGAAUCAUUAAACCUACAAAACAUGAAGUUUUCACCAUAAAAAUCCAUAGAAAUGUAAUUUUUACCACUUUAACCAUAAAAUGCAUUUUUCACUAGAAUUCUACUUAAUUAGCCAUAAAAGUAACUAAAACACACCAAAACUAACUAAUGAAACACACUUAAAACACGUAAAAUAUACACUUAUCACACGACCUUAAAAAUGCGACCUUAGGUCUUGUAUUCCACCCCACAUUUUCUCCUUUACAAGUUUGCACUUUUUGGGUAGAAUUUAUCCUUGCUCUGUUUUUUAUCCAACUGCAAUCAUAUUUUUCUUAAUGAUAAGGUUCACCUAGCUCUUGUACAAAACACAUCAAGAAUCAUCCAAUUUGGAGCUCUGUGGAUAGCAAAAUGACCAAAAUACCCUCAACUAGUCAGAACUCUAUUUCAACUUUCGACCAUAAAAAUGCACUUCUAUAUUUUGCCUUUUUGACAAUGAAAAUGACUGAACUGGACUUUGAUGUCCCAUAUCAAAUGUAGAUCCAUCUCUUAACUUCAAAAUGGUAUGAGAAUCACCUCAAUCCGAUGCUUAUAGCUCAAGAUAUAGUCGAAAUACGAAAAUAUAUCAAAACUGUGAAAAUUCCUUUCUUUUGUUCUUGUUUGCAUUCCAUCUUUGCACUUCAUGUCUUCUUUAAGCUAUUUCAAAUCAUCAAUAAUUAUUCAAAUAUGUUCUCAAUUCAUGCCAUUUGAUGAUUGAAUCCUUAAACCUACAAAACAUGAAGUUUUCACCAUUAAAAUCCAUAGAAAUGUAAUUUUUCACACUUAAACCACAAAAUACAUAUUUUCACUAGAAACUUAGUUAAUUAACUAUAAAAAUAGUUAAAACACAUUAAAACUAACUAAUAAAAUAUGCAAAAACAUGUAAAAUAUGCACUUAUCAGUAAGACAUUAUUGGCCAUGUACAGUCAAUUUGCAACUUAAAAAGUUUGUGGGUAAAGUCAGUUUGCAACUGAAGAAGUUGAUUAGAAGUUGAGUUUUGCUGAUAAGUACAUUGAUUCUAUUCAUUUGUUUAUUCUUUCCGAAAUUAUUAUAGUAUCCAUGACAGUGAGAUUUAUUUCACAUUCCAGUGGGAAGCGCAAAUAAUAAUUCUUAAGAAAUUCCAAGCCUAUUAUAAGCAAUUUUUUUGGUGCCAUGCUUGUGCAAGAAAUAGCCACUUUUUUUUUUUGCAAUUUUUUAGGUUAUUCUCUAAACACGGUUUUAAAUAAUUUUUAUUUUUUGUUAUUACGUUGUCGUCCAGAUAUCACAUCCACAACAUUGAAACAUAAAUAAGUUUAAGAACUUCAAUAAUUGGACUAAGUUUCUUGCUGCACUUUGCUUAUUGAUUGAACUCUAGGACCUACUUGCUACUGGAACCGAGACCUCAGCGACUACAAUAGAUGGGCCAUUUCAGAGCUACUGAAAAACCCAGAAAUAUUCUACAGGGCAGCUGAAGAACUCGAUCGUGUUAUUGGUCAGAAUCGAUGGGUGAAAGAGAAGGACAUGCCAAAUCUUCCUUACAUAUAUAGAGGCUAUUGUUAAAGAAGCAAUGCGUAUGCACCCCGUCGCAUUGCUAGCGCCAAGAUGUGCUCGCAAAGAUUGCAAAGUUGCAGGGUACGAUAUCGAAAAGGGAACUCGAGUCCUCCCCGAAUUGUGGGAGACGACAGAGGAAUUUUGCCCCGACAGAUUCACGGGAAAGGACAUUGAAUUCAAAGGGCAAGACUGUAAGUUCCGAGCAUUUGGUGCUGGAAGAAGAAUGUGCCCAGGGUACAAUUUAGGCCUCAAGGUUAUCCAAUCUAGUUUGGCCAAUCUUUUACAUGGAUACAGAUGGAAGUUGCCAAAUGACAUGAUGCCUGAGGACCUGGACAUGGAAGAAAUAUUUGGGCUCACUACACCAAGAAAGAUCCCACUUGUUGCCAUUGUUGAGCCUCGGCUUCCUCGUAAUCUUUAUUCACUGUGAUUCUCUACAUGUAUGUUUGAUCUCCCAGUAUCAUCAUUAUCAACUUGUGUUCAAAUAAAUCAGCUCUGCAAGUUUAGAAUUUGUAGCUGCGCUUAUAUGUGUUUGCCAAUUGCCACAACGCUGCAAACCCUUGUAGUUGGUGCAUGGCAUAUGCGUAAUCACUGAGAUUGUUAUGCCUAUUUAAAUCCAAAUUUGUGCACAAUUUUGUGAAACUGUGAAUAUGUACACCCCUGAUGUUCCAAAUACAAUCUAUAACAUUCUGACGCUAAUUUAAAUCUGUAAUGGCAGGUUUACAGUCAAAGCAAUGUGCUCUCUGCCAUCUUUCCUCUUAGCAUGGCCAGUGCCAGAAGUUGUUCCUACUUCCUAUGCACCUCUAAAUCAUCCCACUAGAUUGGUGCUGCUUUCCAUACUUGUUGGGAGGGAGAGAGAGAGAGGAAAGAAAAGAGGGGAGGGUGGGGUGGCUGUGGCAGUGGUGGCAAUGGGAAGGGAGGGAGGAGGAAGAGCAGCAGUGGUGUGGUGUGGGGAGGAAGAGGAAGAAGGGCGGAAAGAAAGGGAAAAAAAAAAAGGAAAGAAAAAAUAAGCAAGAUCAAAUGUCAAAAUGUCACAAAUUUAUAAUAUUACCGUUGUGCUCUUUAUAACUAUUUAACUAAAAAACCAAAACAAAAAGAGAAUUUUUAAAAGACCAAAAAAUAUAGACGAAAAAAAAAAACCAAAUUGCUAUCCAAUAUUGGUCCAUAUUUCUUUGUAUCAAGGUGGUGGUGGGAUAGUAAAAGAUAUGAGUAAAUUAAAAUCUAGUUAAAAUCAAAAAGUUAGAAGGAUUUCUUUGAAGUUAUAUUUGGCGGAUUUUUUUUUGGAAGUAACAAUAUUAUGAGGAUUUGCCUUGGGGUAAUAGCAGCUUGACUUCAAUAUUGAAGAUUGUCCGGCACAUAAAAUCCCAAGUCGUAGUCUCCAAGAUAUAUGUAUGAAGUGACGACGAGGUUCUUGAUAAAUCCAUUUAUGACAGCACCAUGUGCAACUCAUGAUAAAUUCAUAGGCUUUGAAUCUCCAUUCGGCCAUAAUUAAAUGUAAUUUUAUUUAAAAAAUACAGAUGGAUACAUAGUACGUCCAUUUGAUUAAAUAGUGAUUCAAUUUCUUACGGAUUACUUUAGGAUCUCUUCGAGCUUUUUCCCAUUAUGUAGUAGGCUAUCUUAUCGACAAAAAAAAAAAAAAAUCUCCAUUCGGCCAAAAAUCAUACUCCCUCCGUCCCAGAAAGUGUGUCGUAUUUCGGGGGAAUUGUAAUUAUUAUCAACAGUGCAAGACUUUUAAAUGAUUUGUAUUUAAGUUCCGGCAAUGUCCCUUGACUUUCAAUGUAUUCAUAACGUGGGUGAAUGAUAAAAGGGGCACAGGUUGUGAUAAGACAUACGGGACCCAAAAGAUUUAAAUGCCUCCACACUACUUUGAAAGAAAGUGUCAUGCACGAUUGCUAUUACCAUUUCACGUGAGAGUCACGAACUAUUGAGUGUAGUGUUGGUACUUGGUAAGUGAACAGAAAUGUGUCACAUUGGGCCCACUAAAAGGUAAGAAAAGGCUGUCACAUUGAAGGGUAUGGAGCGGAAAUGUGUGAAAACUUUCAUUGCCAAUUUUAGUAAGUGACAAUUAUUUUGAGACGGAUAAAAAAGAAAAGUAUGACAUUAUUAAUGGGACGGAGGGAGUAAACCCAUGGGCCAAAAAAUAGAUAAACAAGUUGAGUACUACGCUUUGUCAUGUACCGUGAUAUUAUUAUUAUUGCGAAAGAAAGUAUUCUCUAUUAUGACAGGACCAUGUGCAACUCCUGUCAGACUCAGGAGCUUUCACCUUUCCGACCGGACUCGCUGUGUCGGGCGAAGGAGAUCAGAUGUCAAAUUUCAGUUGAUUUGCGGCUGGAAGGCUAAGGAAGCUGUAGGUCCUGAAGCAAAAUUAGAUGGUUGCCAUACAACAACAAAUCUUUUUAAAGGUUUUUUUUAACUAAAUAAAAUAUUCCCUCUCAAAUUAGUUUUCUUUUUCCAAAUUUCAGUUAUGUGAGUAAAUGAAAGCUUUUACAACCAUUAGUUCUUUUAAAAUAUUUUAAAGCGUAACUGCAUGUACACAUUCUAUUAUAUUCAUUUGUCUCUUCUUCAGUUUUUAUACUCCAUCUAGGAUGUCUAAUCAUAAUUCCGUAAAAAAUUAAAAACUAUAUAUAUUUUUCUUUAUAAUUAGUCAAUUAUAAAUUGGUAAAGUUCUAAUCAAUUUCAUCCAUUAUCUAACUUGCAAGAAAGGAAUAGAUAUCUCCUAAAUACAAAGUUCAAAAGGAAUUUCUAGUCUUUUAUAAUCACGUUCACAUGAUGUUUCGGUGGAUAUCCAUUUGUCCAUUUUCCGUUAAAGAAACUUUACUUAUUACAAUCUUUUUCUUUACACUCCUCUAAAAUAGUAUGAAAUAUUACCAUAAUUCUUCACAUGUCACUAUUAAACCGAGGGUUAAGGAUUAUCGGAAAGUAAUCAUUAAAUAGUAUAUGAGUUUAUGUUUAGUGUCUUACAUUCAUUAAAUUUAUUGUUUUUUGGAAAAUUAAAGUUCGAAGAUAAAAAGAAGUUAAUGCAAAUGCACGGCUGAAUAACUGGUGGUCUAAUUCUAUUGCUUGCUUACCCACAAGAAUGACCACGCCAACACUACAUUAAUACACUCAUACUUUUGCAUUUCUUAAUUACUUGCAUUUCUUAUUCUUUCUUCCCAACAAUUCUACAGCCCAUAAUCAAUUUUAAUUCAGUAAUCUUCAUACAACUCUGAACAUAUAACUAUAUUUAAUAUAAAUUCUUGACAUACCUGCAUUUCAAUUCUCAAAAUCUUAUGGCAUGCCUUACUUUAUAAUGGUGUUUAAUUACUUAAGUUCUUAAACGAUCAAUCAUAUCAAAAUCAUAAACUUGUACCGUACAAUAGGAUGCUCUUCACAUCAUGAUCAGGAGUUUAGCAAUUAAUCUCCAUCAUGUCACAAUUAAAUUCAAUUUCAUAGCUAGGGGUGAAAUUGCAAAGCAUUUGGUUAAUCGGAUGUUUGAAGAAAUUUAAUUAAUUAAAUUUAAUAUGAAUUUAGUUCAGUCAAAUAGAUUUCGAUAUGGUCUUGGUAAAAACAAAAUUAUGAGAGUGCUUAAUUAGUUUGAAAGUAACUCUAAGUUCUCGAUUUUUUAUUUUAACUGGUAUAACACACACACACGUACAAUAUGUUACACAUGUUCACUUCACGUUAUUGUGGAUAUUUAAUAUUCUUAAUUACUACUUUCUUUUAUUCUUUUUUCCAUCAUCUCUUCACUUUCCUUCUUUCUUUUUCUUGAUCACUUGCAUUUUGUGAAAUUAUUUUUCAUGUUUCCAAUUGUUUGCUUUAAUUGGUUUUUCAUAUUUGUAAUUAUUUUUCAUUAAUAUCAAUUUCAUCCUAUUUAUGACUAACAUCUGACAGUGAUUUAUGCCUUUCCAAUUUGACAAUUAUUUGGUUAAAAAAACUUUAAAAAGAUUUGUUUUAUUGCAUUGCAAUUUUUGGGGACCAAUUAAUUUUGCUUCAGGUCCACAACUUCCUUGCUAAGCGUGUUGUGAGGGUUACACAGCGGCCUUGUUUAAAUUGUGCUUUUUUGCAAAAAAGAAUUUUACAUUUUUCGUAAAUAUAUUUUUUUCAAUUAUCUUUCUUAUCUCAUCUCAGAUGCAUCAAAUAGUUACAUUAUAUUUUUUUAUAAAGCUCCUAAAAAUAGCAAUGCAAAUGGAGCCCUUCCAGCCGCAAAUCAAUUGAGUUUUGAUGUCAUUUUCUGUGUGAAUUCCUUCUUUUGACAUGUAUCCACUUCGUAUGGUUGGAUCUUCCCGCUAUAGACCGAUCCGGUAGCAUAGUUUUUUUGCUCAAUCACUUAAGCUAUCAUGUUAGAGAUCAAUAAUCAGAGGCUUACAAACUUUCGUAAAAAUUUUCAUUUGAACAGCUAAAUAACCAAAGUCUGACGGCUAAACAAAACAAAAAGCUCAUUAUAAUUGCUGCUAUUUGUACAACUUUUCUGUGAUUAAAUAAAAUUCCCUUCCUCGUUAAAAUAAAUGAAAGAAAAUAUGAAGGAGAAAUUAAAUUGAUCUAAUUGUUUAACAAUUACUAGUAUUUCUUUUUGUGAUUUGAACUACUUCCUUUCCAUGUUUCGUACACUUAAAUCAGUGGCUUACACGUUUUCGUAUUGCACUAAUUUUCUUUUGUAAACCAAUAAUCAAAACUUAAAACUUAUUGCACUAGUAGUUAUUGAGUGACUUCCACGCCUUUGCUCAUUAUAAAUACCGGCCCCCUCCACAUUCCAAACACACUCAACCAUCUUCCUCCUUGUGCUACAAUCUGCCACCUCCAUCACCCCCACUGCUCCCACAAAAUGGAAAGCUUUUCUCCCAACUGGGCUGCGUGUGCACUCGCGUGGGUUGCAACGGUGGUUAUUAUCACCCAACUCUCGAAGCAUUUCCAUCAGAAAAAACUCAACCUCCCACCAGGUCCAAGGCAAUGGCCAAUAAUUGGAAACUUAAACCUCAUUGGCACCCUUCCUCAUCGCUCACUCCAUCAUCUCUCCCUAACAUAUGGCCCCCUAAUGCACCUUCAGUUCGGCUCCUUCCCGGUUGUCGUUGGCUCCUCUGUGGAGAUGGCCAAAGUUUUCCUCAAAACCAUGGACCUCACAUUUGCAGGGAGGCCUAAAACUGCAGCCGGAAAAUAUAUCACUUAUAAUUACUCCGACCUGCUUUGGUCCCCUUACGGACCAUACUGCUGCCAGGCACGUAAGAUUUUCCUUACGGAAUUAUUUAGUGCAAAAAGACUCGAAUCAUACGAACAUAUUCAGGUGGAAGAAAUGAAUUCACUUCUGCUGCAGCUAUUCAAAUCAUCGGGCAAGCCUGUCGUUUUGAAAGAUUAUCUUUCAACAGGGAGUUUGAACGUGAUUAGCAGGAUGGUCCUGGGGAAAACAUACAUUGAUGAGUCUGAGAACUCAAUUGUCACGCCCGAAGAGUUCAGGCAAAUGAUGGACGAGUUUUUUUUGCUGACUGGUGUGUUUAACAUUGGUGAUUUCAUACCCUGGAUCGAUUUCUUGGAUUUGCAAGGGUAUAUCAAGAGGAUGAAAAUCUUGAGCAAGAAAUUUGAUAGGUUUCUGGAGCAUGUUCUCGAUGAGCAUAAUGCCCAAAGGAAGGACGAAACUAAUUGCGUCAGCAAGGACUUGGUGGACGUCCUUCUGGGCCUUGCAGAUGAUCCCACUUUGGAGGUGAAGCUAGAGAGGCGUGAAGUCAAGGCAUUGACUCUGGUAUAUGUUACUUAAAAACUGCAUAACGCAUGCUGUCAACUUUUAAACGACUGAAAACUUGAGAGAAAAUAGUCAGUGAUCUUUUGAACUUCAAUACUCUCCCAAAAAUUUCUUUGCUACUGGAAACUUGAGAGAAAGUAGUCAGGAUCUUUGGAGUUUGAUGAAAAUUUUUCAGUGGAGGCAGAAUUAACAAGAAAAUUGCUUUUGAUAAAGGUACUCAAACAAGUAAGACAUUGUUGACCAUGUACAGUCAAUUUGCAACUUAAAAAGUUUGUGGGUAAAGUCAGUUUGCAUGUCAAGAAGUUGAUUAGAACUUGAGUUUUGCUGAUAAGUUGGUUCUAUUCAUUUUUAGCUAUUUUUUAUUAUUUUUAUUACGUUGUCAUCCAGAUAUCACAUCCACAACAUUGAGACAUAAUAAGUUUAAGAACUUCAAUAAUUGGACUAAGUUUCUUGCUGCACUUUGCGUAAUGAUUGAACUCUAGGACCUACUUACUGCUGGAACCGAGACCUCAGCGAUUACAAUAGAAUGGGCCAUUUCGGAGCUACUGAAAAACCCAGAAAUAUUCGACAAGGCAGGCGAAGAACUCGACCGUGUUAUUGGUCAGAAUCGAUGGGUGAAAGAGAAGGACAUGCCAAAUCUUCCUUACAUAGAGGCUAUUGUUAAAGAAACAAUGCGUAUGCACCCCGCCGCAUUGCUAACGCCAAGAUGUGCUCGCGAAGAUUGCAAAGUUGCAGGGUACGAUAUUCAAAAGGGAACCCGAGUCGCCGUCAAUGUUUGGUCAAUUGGGAGGGACCCCGAAUUGUGGGAGAAGCCAGAGGAAUUUUGGCCCGACAGAUUCAUGGGAAAGGACAUUGACUUCAAAGGGCAAGACUGUAAGUUCCUACCAUUUGGUGCUGGAAGAAGAAUGUGCCCAGCGUACAGUUUAGGCCUCAAGGUUGUCCAAUCUAGUUUGGCCAAUCUUUUACAUGGAUACAGAUGGAAGUUGCCAAAUGACAUGAAACCUGAGGACCUGGACAUGGAAGAAAUAUUCGGCAUUACUACACCAAGAAAAAUCCCACUUGUUGCCAUUGUUGAGCCUCGGCUUCCUUGUAAUCUUUAUUCACUAUGAUUCACUACGUAUAUGUUUGAUCUCCCAGUAUCAUCAUUAUCAACUUGUGUUCAAAUAAAUCAGCCCUGCAAGUUUAGAAUUUGUAGCUGCACUUAUAUGUGUUUGCCAAUUGCCACAACGCUACAAACCCUUGCAGUAGGUGCAUGGCAUAAGCGAAAUCACUGAGAUUUUUAUAGCUAUUGAAGUCCAAAUUUGUGCGCAAUUGUGUGAAACUGUGAAUAUGCACACCCCUGAUGUUCCAAAUACAAUCUAUAACAUUCUGACGCUCAUUUAAAUCUGCAAUAGCAGGCUUACGGUCAAAGCAAUGUGCUCUCUGCCAUCUUUCCUCUUUGCAUCUUCCAUCAUUCCCCUCGCCAAGGCCAGAAGUUGUUCCUACUUCCUGUGCACCUCUAAGCCAUCCCACUGGAUUGGUGCUACUUUCCAUACUUGUGCAAUGUCAGAGAAAAAGGGCAUAUGCUCAAGCGUUUCUGUUUGGUCCUCACGGCAUCUAUACUUAUGAUCCUCUUUCCCUGUUAUCUGCCUAAUUACUUCAUUCCCGGAUAAUAUUCUUAGGAGACAUUUCCAGAUAAAAUGUUUAAUUAUGCUUAAGUUUGAGACUUCAAAGAAUCUUAUUAGACAUGCUUAUUAAAUUUAUUUGGGCAAAUUACAUAUAAUCCCCUAUAGUUUUGUAUAAUGUCAAAUGACGCCUCUAAGGUUUCAAAAUAGCAGCAUAACCCCUGUGAUUUUUUGUAAAGUAAAAGAUAGAUGGAAUGCAUAAUCAAUUAUGGCGAUUAGACCACACGUGCUAUAAAAGUGGGUGUAAUUAAAUCAUAAUAUCAAUUUAAUCCCUUAUAUUGCAUAAAUGUCGACUUUAUCUUGGUGGUCUUUGCAUUUAUCCAUAUAAUCCCCGUAUGAUGUUGUAUAAGAUGCCAAACUGUUGUUUGAUUUAGCAUUUAAAUAAGGGUAAUACUGUUAUUUCAACUAAUGGCGUCAUAUAAACUAUUUUUUGUCAAAUUUCUAAUUUAUAUGAAAUCAUAGGCAGUGAAGUGAUUAUUUUAAAACUUUGAGGGGUUCUAUAACAAUAGAUGAAACUGCAGGGGAUUAUUGGUAAUUUAUCCAGUUUGUUUUGUUCAUUAGUUUAGGUACAUGGACAUAUAUUGUCCUGCGUGUGUUUUCAAAUUGAAUUCUUAUUGGGUUCAUACCAUGGGAAUCAUGUGAAAUAAAUCUCUUACUGUAACAUGUGGUUGAGGGGAAACAUCUUAGCCAGUUCUCUAUAUGGUUCAAAGAAAAUUACUUCAUUACCAGUUUAUAUCAAAACUGUUUCGCACUUUUAUCAUUUUCUGAUAUAAUUGCGAAAUUUAGAGGUUUUAUCAAAACUAAUAUCUAUCGAAAGUUUAUCAGACGAUCAAUUUUUUGGCUUAAUUUGGUGUUCCCUCGAAGCCUGAGCAAAAGCAGCUUAUUAUCUUCAAAACAGAUGUUCCAAUACUGAGAGGAAUUUAUUCCAUUCCGAGUUUUCUUGUAGGACAUAUUUUCAUCCUAAGGCCGUUGAUCCAAUCUCUUAAUUGGGUUUUCAUGAUAGUGAUUGAAGGAAAAUGUUUCCAUCACUUCCAAAAUGCAUUUUCAAUUUCGAUACGUUUUCAUUAAUGGGUUCAUUUUGGUCGAAUCGAUUGGUCUCCAGAUUCAUAAUUCUCUCAAUUCUGACAUGCGUUCAUUAUUUAAAACUCGAGACUGAGAAGUGAAGCUACCAAGCUAAGGGGAUCAAAAGCCAAGGUGUCGGCAGAAUUAGGCAGGCUAACAACAAGGCGACUGAUGCGAUAGAUACAAGGUAAUAUGAAAGAGACAAACAAGUGUCGGCAGAAUUAGGCUGGUUUAUCACAAAUCGACUGAUGUGAUACGUACAAGGUAAUAUGAAAAAGAUAAACGAACAACAAAAUAAAAUAAAAAGUGCACCAGAAACAAAACCCAAAUAUUUUCCUAUUGUCAUGGCGUAAUCAGUGGUGGAUUUAGGACCCAAGAUUAGGAGGCAAUUACUACGAUUAAGGCAAAAAUUUUGUUGACAAAUGUUAAUAACCAGUAUGGUAGUUGUGUGAAUUUUAUUGAAAUUAUAUAGUAUUUUGCAACAAUAACAACUAGAUGAUAAUUUUUUUUGUAUAGUAGACAACAAAAAAUUUUUAUGUUUAUUUUUAUGUGCCCAAACUUUUGAAAUCCCCUUUUUUCCCCAAAAUUUUCAACUACUACUUGUCUCCAUUUUAAACGUGCCAUCAUUUAUAAACUGGGGAUAAUUUUAGAAACCUCCCUUGAGGUUUUUAACAAUUUCACUCAACUCUCCUGAGAUUUCAAUAAUUAUAUUGACCUCCCUUGAUCUAAUCAAAUGACUAAAAUAUCCUUCACUUAAUAGUUAAUUCAUGUAAUGCCCGGUGCAACCCAAUGAGUACAAACAAUUUCACAAUGAUGCACAAAGAUAUAUCAAAUAUAAGCACAAUAAAGAAAACUUAAUUAAAGAGAAAAGAUAAGAAAUGCAAACCAAAUAUCAAUCCAAUAACCUCUUCAAUUGAUGGCGAUGCUAACCAAGAUGUACAAGUGAAGGUUCACUCCUUCCUCACCCCAAAUACUCUUUGGUUGAGCCAAGGAGUUUUACAACAAUUCUAGUUAACCCUCAACAACCUACACUUGAAAGAUCACUCACCCAAUUAAGAACUAUUUUAUACAAAUGAGGCAACCUUCACCAAGGUUUUACCACUCCAAGUGAUAGGUUCACCUUCACCAAGGUUUUCACUUGAGCAACCUCACAACCCAACUUUCCCAACCCCUUAUACAACCAACAAAGAAUCUUUCUACUCAAAAAUCUCACUUGUAAUCUUGUAUUUUGUGUUGGCAAAAGUCUCUUGUCUUCUUGUGCUUUGGGGUGUUUAUAGAAGGUGAGAAAUGGCUUCAAAAGACUCUCCAACGGUCAAAUAUUAAAUGCUGUCAAAACUAGCCGUUGGCCUGUCGGACGUCCGAGACCUCCUGUCGGACGUCCGAACCCUGCGUCCAAACCACCUGUCGGACGUCCGAACCCUGCGUCCGAACGUAGGCAGAGAGUCAUCAAAUCUUUGCGAAAUUUCUCGGACGUCCGAUGCGAUCGAUGUGCGUCCGAGGCGUGCAUCCGAUCCUUCCGGACGUCCGAUGUUUCCUCACGAGCGUCCGACAGAGUUUCCUUCUUGAUGUUCUUCAUUCUUUCGGACGUCCGAUAGCGUCCGACAUGAGUGCCCUGUUUUUGCUUCUUCUUUUAUGCCACAAGAAUCUGUUCUAACAAAUUACUCACAUAAAAACAUUAGCCCAAAUCUACAUUUUGGUUUGUUAAUCAUCAAAAUCAAGGAUUGAUCGACCAAGGUCAACAAUCUCCCCCUUUUUGAUGAUGACAAACAAAAUGAAGAUUUCUUUUAUCAAAUAAGUUCAAAUAAAGCUCCCCCUUAGAAAGUGCCAACAUACAAAGAAAUUUCAAUAAAUCCUACUCCCCCUUUUGGUAUCAAUCAAAAACAAACUCCCCCUUUAUUUUUCAAAUCAAGACCAUAUUGAAUAUCAAAAUUUUCAAUUGUACUUACAACCAUAUAGCACUUCUUGGAUCAAAUCAUCAUGAUGUGCCUAAAUAUGAGAAAUUUCAUUUGGUACCCUUUCUUUAUAGGGUCCUUGGGAGUUAAUACGACAUGAUCUAGCAAUCCACAUGAAUUUCAUGCCUUUUCUCAUAUUUUUCUUUACAUAGCAAUCAUUUUGCAUAUGUCCAAAUUUGUAACAAAAGUGACACAUGAUAGAAGUAUUUUGCACAUAGGUGGAUUUAAUGCAACUAAUUUUCUUACUUCUUAUCAUAGCAAACUUAUUUGUGCCUUGAAAAGAUUUGCUUUCUUUUGUUUGAGAAAACUUUUGUUUUUCAUUUUGGAGAAACUCGUUCAAGUCAUUAAUUCUUUUCUUUAACACAUUUUGUUCCUCCAACAUUUUUUCAUAAAACUUUGUUUUCUCUUCUAACUUCCUUUUCAAAUUAUUUUUGCAAUCAAAAACACUUUUUUGUUUUUUUAAAUCAUCAUUUUCCAUUCUCAAACAUUUGUUUUCUUGAAACAGUUUGGAGUUUUCUUCCAACAAAUCAUUUAUUUUUGUUUUCAAAUCUUUAUUUUUAGCAUAAGAUUUUCUCAAACUUUUAUGCAUUUUAAUCAUAAGAAUUUUCACAUCAUCAUCUUCAUUAUCUUCAUCACAAGAAGAGUGAUAAGAACUUACCUCAUCUUCUCCAACGGCCAUUAGUGCCAUUUGGGCCAACUCUUCUUUUUCUCUUUUUGAAUUGCAUUCAUCCCAUGUAAUUUUGCAAUCUUCUCUUGAGCAUCUCUUGUUGAAGGUCUUCUUGGAACUUUUGAUGUGAGGAGUUGUAUCAUUGUCCACUUCCAUGAAUUCAUUACCCAUGAAGGAUGGGUUAUCCCCCACUUGAGAUGCUUUAAAAGCUAUGCCUCUCUUAUACAUUCUUGCAUUUUCUUCCUCUUGCACUUUGAAUUUCAGCUUUAAUUCAUAAGAGGUUAGGGUAUCCACAAGAGAUUCAAUGGACAUAGAAUUUAAAUCCUUUGCCUCUUCUAUAGCAUUUAUUUUGUUUUCCCAUUCUUUUGGCAAGGCAUUCAAAAUCUUUCUAUUUUUCUCACCCAAAGAAUAUUCUUUUCCAAGCAAUUUAAGAUCUUCAAUAAUGUCACAAAAUCUACUACACAUCUUAUCAACAUUUUCAAGAGAAUGCAUUUUGAAAAAUUCAUAUUGAGAAACAAGCAAAGAUUUCUUUUGUUCUUUAAUAUCUUGGUUACCUUCAUGAAAUACACACAAUUUAUCCCAAAUAUCUUUAGCUGAUUUACAACCUUUAAUCCUGCUAGAUUCAUUUACAUCUAAUGCAUUGUACAAUAUACACAUGGCCUUGGCAUUUAAAGAAAGGUAUCUCUUGUCUUUUUCAUUCAAUUCUUGUCUAGUCUUUAAUCUACUCAAAUUGGUGGUGGAGUCAACUAUUCUAGCUUCAUAAGGACCAUCUUCUACCACAUACCAUAAUUCAAUAUAAACGGAUUGUAAGAAAAUCAUCAUUCUUUGUUUCCACAUGCUAAAAUGAGAACCAUUAAACAUAGGUGGUCUAUCAAUAGAUUGCCCUUCUAAAAAAGAAACUUUUAUGGUUGCCAUGAUCUUUACUCUAAGCGGUUAAGCUUGAUCAAAAGAGACCAAGCUCUGAUACCAAUUGUAAUGCCCGGUGCAACCCAAUGAGUACAAACAAUUUCACAAUGAUGCACAAAGAUAUAUCAAAUAUAAGCACAAUAAAGAAAACUUAAUUAAAGAGAAAAGAUAAGAAAUGCAAACCAAAUAUCAAUCCAAUAGCCUCUUCAAUUGAUGGCGAUGCUAACCAAGAUGUACAAGUGAAGGUUCACUCCUUCCUCACCCCAAACACACUUUGGUUGAGCCAAGGAGUUUUACAACUAUUCUAGUUAACCCUCAACAACCUACACUUGAAAGAUCACUCACCCAAUUAAGAACUAUUUUACACAAAUGAGGCGACCUUCACCAAGGUUUUACCACUUCAAGUGAUAGGUUCACCUUCACCAAGGUUUUACUCCUCUUAGAGAAUAACCUUCACUUGAGCAACCUCACAACCCAACUUUCCCAACCCCUUAUACAACCAACAAAGAAUCUUUCUACUCAAAAAUCUCACUUGUAAGCUUGUAUUUUGUGUUGGCAAAAGUCUCUUGUCUUCUUGUGCUUUGGGGUCUUUAUAGAAGGUGAGAAAUGGCUCCAAAAGACUCUCCAACGGUCAAAUAUUAAAUGCUGUCAAAACUAGCCGUUGGCCUGUCGGACGUCCGACAGGUGCCUGUCGGACGUCCGAACCACCUGUCGGACGUCCGAACCCUGCGUCCGAACGUAGGCAGAGAGUCAUCAAAUUUUUGCGAAAUUUCUCGGACGUCCGAUGCGAUCGAUGUGCGUCCGAGGCGUGCGUCCGAUCCUUCCGGACGUCCGAUGCUUCCUCACGAGCGUCCGACAGAGUUUCCUUCUUGAUGUUCUUCAUCCUUUCGGACGUCCGAUAGCGUCCGACAUGAGUGCCCUGUUUUUGCUUCUUCUUUUAUGCCACAAGAAUCUGUUCUAACAAAUUACUCACAUAAAAACAUUAGCCCAAAUCUACAUUUUGGUUUGUUAAUCAUCAAAACCAAGGAUUGAUCGACCAAGGUCAACAAUUCAUAAAGGGACAUUUAAAUCCGUAAAAUACUUCUUAUUAUUUUACUUGUCAUUUAUUCAUCUCAAAAACAACCUCCAUCCAUUUCCUAAUGUUCAUUUCUUCCUCUCUCAGUCCUUCUCUCUUCCCUUCUUUCUUACUCUUCUCUUUUUUUCCUCCUAUAAUGGCUUCUCCCUCUCACCAAAUAUCGUGCUUCAUUGUUACCAACCACACCACUAUCAAUUUUUUAUCAUCUCCAAAAUUUAUCUGCAUUUUUUUGUCUUCUUGCCUCUUUCUUACUAUAAAACUUUUAGACCCUUUCAUUCUUUUUCAAUGUUUUUACUCUUUACAAAUGUUAGCCAAUUGAAGUCACCAAAUUAAUAAUGUGCAUACUGUGAAUUUUAUUAUUAAACUAGGGGAAGAUUAAAAAGGUGGCAAUGAUAUAGGGACAAAAAAAAUGAAAUUGAGAGUUGGAAGAUAAAGAAGUGAUCAUUAUGUUUGUUAAGUAAAAUAGUUUAGCAAUUAAAAAACUCAUUGGUUCUCUCUUUUAUUUCUGCUUAUUGAUUGUGGUUUUACUAUAAAGGUAGAAUUUUGUCUGUAUUUCUAGGUGUGCUAGAGCAAUAAUGAAUUAUAUUCUUCAGGACAUGGGGGCAUUUCUUGAUUUAGUAUUGGUAGUGGUGGUUGAGAGUUGCAUUGGAUAAGAAUUAGCAAGUAAUGAAUUUUAAAAUGAAUUGGAGUCGCUGGACUCUAUUUAUUUUAGUGAGUAUGUCAUGUAUAAGAUUUCUUGGUUUUGACGGCUUAUUAGUCUUGGACCAUUGGUAGGAUGUGGACGAAGGAAAUCACAUGUCAAAUUUCAUUUGAUUUGUGGCUGGAAGGCUAAGGAAGCUGUAGGUCCUGAAGCAAAAUUAAUUGGUCCCCAAAAAUUGCCAUACAACAAACAAAUCUUUUUAAAGGUUUUUUUAACUAAAUAAAAUAUUCCCUCCCAAAUUAGUUUUCAUUUACCAAAUUUCUGUUAUGUGAGUAAAUGAAAACUUUCACAACCAUUACUUCUUUUAAAAUAAUUUUAAGUGUAACUAAAUGUACAUAUUCUAUAUUUAUUUGUCUCUUUUCAUUUUUUAUAUUCCAUCUAGGAUGUCUAAUCAUUAUUUUGUGAAAAAUGAAAAAACUAUAUAUAUUUUUCUUUAUAAUUAGUCAAUUAUUAAUUGGUAAAGUUCUAAUUAAUUUCAUCCAUUAUCUAACUUACAAGAAAGGAACGGAUAUCUUCUAAAUACAAAGUUCAAAAUCAAUUACUAAUCUUUUACAAUCAUUUGAAUAUCCAUUUGUACGUUUUCUGUUGAAGGAACUUUACUUAUUACAAUCUUUUCUUUACACUUCUCUAAAAUAGCAUGAAAUAUGGCAAGCGAUAUUGUCAGAGCAAUUAUCUUUAGCGUAUUUUACUCAAAUGCCAAGAUCACCCUUAAUCAAUCAACUUUAUAUAUGUUCAUUGAUUUUUCUAGGAUCCAUUGUGUAUUAAUUACUCCAUUUUUCGCUCUCUAAUUAAGUAUUUCCCAUUAGGAUCUCUCAUUCUUCUUUCUAUCAUUUUCAUUUCUCUUUAUCUCACUCACACAUUAAUAGAUCUAUUAUUUCAUAAUUGAAUAAUAUAGUUUUUGCCUUAAUCUUUUCUUGUAUCAUUUUGGUUCUAUGCAUUCUUGCUUUGUUAUUCAAUCCUAAAACUUUUAUUUAUUCAUUUAUUUAUUUUUUACAAAUAGAACUUCAUUUAAAACCAACAAAUUUUAAUUUAAAAUAAUUAUUAUUAUGAUGUCAUUGUAACUCAAUACUUUAGCAUAAAUUUUUUUGACAUGCAACAUGCAUUUUUCUUUGAAUUUUGCUUGAUUAUCAGGCCUGUAAGCAACUAAUACUAUUAAAACUUUACCAUCUUUUUCUAUGUUAUAUUUAUCAUGUAAGUCUUGACUUUUAUCUUUUAUCGAAUAUUCAUAUUUAUCAUGUAAGACAUGAUUUCUAUUAAGUAUUUGUAUUCGCUAAUAAUUAGAUGAAAAUAAGUUUAAAUUACAUUACAUUAUAUAUCCCAUGAAUAUUAAAGGGAAAGUAAUGUUAUUUUUUGGAAUUAUUUUUAUUUUAAACUACUAUUUAAUUUGACUUAAAUUACAUUGUGUUUGAAAAAGAACCUUUUGAGAAAAAUUUUAAAAAUAAAAAAAUAUAAGAGCAAGUAGAAUUAAUAUACGAGAAAUUAUUAAAGCCAAGACCAAUUUAGUAAAUCAUGAAAAUAAUUGAUAAAUUAAUAUGAGAGAGAGAGAGAGAGAGAGAGAGAGAGAGAGAGAGAGAGAGAGAGAGGAGGGAGAAUGUGAGUGAGUAGGAAAAAACUUUAAUUGGACAGAGAAGAAGAGGAGUAAUUAGUGUUUAAUGGAUUAAAAAUCAAGAAAAAUAUAUGGAGUUGACUGAUUAAAGAUAACUUUAGCAUUUGAGAAAAUUUUGCUUUGGCCGGAACAUUAUUACUCUGGAUGGAAAUAUUGCAAACCAUGAAAUAUUACUAUAAUUCUUAACAUGUCACUAUUGAAUCAAGAGUUAAGGUUCAUUGGAAAGCAAUCAUUAAACAGUAGUAUAUGAAUUGAUUAUUGUUAUUCUGUAUAACUUUCAGAGUAUGUUUUAUGUUUAGUGUCUUAUAUUCAUUAAAUUUAUUAUUUUAGUUCAUUUAUAUCCAUUUUUUUGGAAAAUUAAAAUUCGAAGAUAAAAGAUGCCAUGCAAAUGCACUGGUGAAUAACUGGUGGCCUAGUUAUAUUGCUUGCAUGUCCACAGAGUGACCAUGCUAACGCUACAUUAAUACACCAGUCCGUUGGUAAUACUUGUUUGCAUUACUCAUACUUUUGCAGUUCUUAAUUAAUUACUUGUAUUACUUAUUCUUUCUUCCCAACAAUUCUACAGCCCAUUAUCAUCAUUCCAAUUUAUUUCAAUUUAUUGCAAAGCCUUUGGAUAAUCGGAUGUUCGACCGAGUUUAAUUAAUCAAAUUUAAUAUGAAUUCACUUCAGUCAAAUAGAUUUCAAUAUGGUCUUGGUACAAACAAAAUUAUGAGAGUGCUCAAUUGGUUUGAAAGUAAUUCUGAGUUCUUGAUUUUGUAUUUUAAUUGACACACACACACGCACCAUGUCACAGAUGUUCACUCCACGUUAUUGCAGAUAUUUAAUAUUCUUAACUACUAUUUUCGUUUAUUCUUUUUUCCGUCUCUUCAUUUUCCUUCUUUCUUUUUCUUGAUCACUUGCGUUUUGUGAAAUUAUUUUUCAUAUUUCCAAUAGUUUGCUUUACUUGGCUUUUCAUAUUUGUAAUUAUUUUUCAUCAAUAUCAAUUUCUUCAUAUUUAUGACUAACAAUCUAAUAGGGAUUUAUGCCUUUCCAAAUUGUUAAUUAUUUGGUUAAAAAAACCUUUAAAAAUGAUUUGUUUUAUUGUAUGGCAAUUUUUGGGGACCAAUUAUUUUUCCUUCAAGCCCCACCUCUUUCUUGCUUGGUUUGUUGUAAGAGUUACACAGAUCCUGUUUGAUAACCUAAUUAAAUAUUUAAAUUUAAUGAAUUUAUAUCUUAACAAUUUUGUAUGGCCCCUUAUAACCGCUAAUUUUCUUUUGUAAAUCAAUAAUUAAAACUUAAAACUUAUGCUAUUGGCUUAAUUAUGGGGUUUUGGUUCUGCCGCUGCACUUGAGAUACUCAGCCCCCUUUAAUAAGCCCCGUACCCAACCUAAUCAAUGUAAUGCUACCACUUUACCUUGCCCACGUGCAUUUAUUUUACAACAUUUUUGGCUGCAAUUUGUGAAGACGGUGGAAUUGCUCUCCAAUUUCAUAGCCAUCUUGUGGCAACAUAAUGAAAAGUAUAUGACAGGUGUCGAGCCUGUACAAUAAUAAUUACUAAAAAGUCCUAAUUACCACCACAAUUAAUUAUAGAACAAAUCCAAAUACUGGAGCAAGGAUCCUAGGUGUGCAAUGGGUUACUUGAUUCACCCUAUUCCGGAAGAGUUUGCUUGAUCCGAUAUACCAAAUUUGUCUAUAAAAAUAUUAAAUUUGCAUACAAUAGCAAGUAGGGUCGAUUCCACAGGGAACGAAUAGGAAAUUGUUUCUUUCCAAGUCAAUAGAGCAAAAUUGGGGAAGAUUUGAUGGAAUGCAAAUAAAAAUAAAAUAAACAAAACUCAAAAGCUAACUCACCAGGUACAAUUUACUAAAAAUAACAAUUAAUAAAAUUCUACCCAAAGGAUCAACUCUUUAGGCACGGUCCAAUCAAAUGAUCAUCGAUGCAAAGAUAUUUCAUUCAUUCGUCACUAGGUUGGUUAUAACUAUCAACAAGCUCUGACAGCCAGUUCUUCCUUACUUUUCCGACAGUCAAGGUACGACCAUUGAUUGUUUCUCUAAUCAGAAAACAACCCUAGAUACGACCGUAGGAAUUUAAUUAUCCAAUUGCAUUAAAACUAGAAAAACUCAACCCUAACCAAUAAACAUGCUAAGAGAGUUUAUUUAAAUUAGAUCUUGCAUUCCCCCAACAUAAAGCCAAUUAUGGUGGUUGUCACUAGAUAUCAACUAAGCGAAUAAUUACGGAUUCAAUUUAGCUAAUGUGACAGUAGGCUAUUAAAUUAAAUUAAACACCCGGCCGUUGAUAUUCAAUUAAUAAAAUACCCAUGAACGAUUAAUCCAGAAAAUGCACAAAUAGCAACAAGUUGGAAGAAAUAAUGAAGAUUCGAUAGGAUCUCACAGAUAUUAUAGACCGCGCCUUCGCGUCAACCUUUGGAUAGAGGAGAAAACUAGCCGCUCAUCAUCGUAUCAAUUUCACGUGAUUUGAUUGAUUCCAUCCAUACAAACAUCAAAGAAUUUGCAACGAUGAAGUACCGAAGAAAGAAAAGGGAAAAAGUCUUCCUUUUCUCUGCGUUGGUGUUCGUACUGAAGCCGAAAAAAUACAACGCAAAAGCUAAUGAAAAUUGUACAAGACCAAAGCCAAAGCAAAAGAGUCAAAAGUGUCAAAGCCAAAAAGCAAACGGAAGUCUACAACGUUUGACCGCUAUGGGAAAAGAAGACUAAAGCUAAUGUAUCAAUUAGACGUGAAUCUGGCUUUGCUAAUUGCUGCUGAAGACCAAAGGAAAAAGACGUCUGAUCCCACAAAAGCCAAAGCUCUUCUAAUUGAUAUCACGUGAAUCUGGCCCCUUUUUUUCCUUUGUUGCCGCCGCCACAGAGACCAAGAAACGUCUAUAGUUUUACUUUCUUUUGGAGCCUGGGCUUUGAUUCCAUGCGUCUGGUUUGCAUGGGCUUGGUAUCCUAGUUAGCCUGCUGCUACCAAUUUUGCGGAUCCGGCUUUGGGUGUUCUUUACAAUUUUUGGUGUGAGCAUGUCAUGAAAUAGAGAAACUUUUGAAAUUUCACCUUGCGGUUGUGGAAGCACUUUAUAUAUCAAACACCUACAAUUUAUACAAAUAUAAAAUAUGAGCAAAAACUAAAUACCUAGCGCAGGAAGUAGCCAAAAUUAGGAUAGAAUAACAGUGUAAAAUAUGCUCAAUAAUUGCUCUAUCAGUAUAUCAAAUCAAAAGGACUCAUCUAAACAUUCUGACAUUCACCAAUUAUCUCUCAUUCAUAGAUAAAAUAUGGAAAUCAUAAUUCUGCAAAUUCAUCAUAAUAUCUCCAUUAUAACUAUUGAAGAAAAUUUGAAGACAGAUAAAUUAUUUAUUCUAACUAUUCUUCCAUGGAAACAACAACAACAAAACCAAUUUAAGGCUUUUAACCCAUGUGCCACACUGAUCACAAUAAUUUGCAUAGUGAGUUCUUGCUAGUGGUUGUUGUGUGACUUCCACGCCUUUGCUCAUUAUAAAUACCGGCCCCCUCCACAUUCCAAACAUACUCAACCACCUCCUUUGUGCUGUAUUCUGCUUUCUUCUGCCGCCACCACCACCCCCACUGCUCCCACAAAAUGGAAAGCUUUUCUCCUACCUGGGCUGCAUAUGCACUUGUGUGGGUUGCAACGGUGGUUAUUGCACACCUCUCGAAGCAUUUCCAUCAGAAAAAACUCAACCUCCCACCAGGUCCAAGGCAAUGGCCUAUAAUUGGAAACUUAAACCUCAUUGGCACCCUUCCUCAUCGUUCACUCCAUCAACUCUCCCUCACAUAUGGCCCCCUAAUGCACCUUCAAUUCGGCUCCUUCCCAGUUGUCGCUGCCUCCUCUGUGGAGAUGGCCAAAGUUUUCCUCAAAACCAUGGACCUCACAUUUGCAGGGAGGCCUAAAACUGCAGCCGGAAAAUAUACCGCUUAUGAUUGCACCAACGUGACUUGGUCCCCUUACGGACCAUACUUGCGCCAGGCACGUAAGAUUUUCCUUACGGAAUUAUUCAGUGCAAAAAGACUAGAAUCAUAUGAACAUAUUCGGGUGGAAGAAAUGAAUUCGCUUCUGCUGCAGCUGUUCAAGUCAUUGGGCAAGCCUAUCGUGUUGAGAGAUUAUCUUUCAACAGGGAAUUUGAACGUGAUUAGUAGGAUGGUCCUGGGGAAAAGAUACAUUGUUGAGUCUGAGAACUCAAUUGUCACGCCCGAAGAGUUCAGGCAAAUGCUGGACGAGGUGUUUUUGCUGACUGGUGUGUUUAACAUUGGUGAUUUCAUACCUUGGAUCGAUUUCUUGGAUUUGCAGGGGUAUAUCAAGAGGAUGAAAAUCUUGAGCAAGAAAUUUGAUAGGUUUCUGGAGCAUAUUCUCGAUGAACAUAAUGCCCAGAGGAAGGACGAAACUGAUUGUGUCAGCAAGGACAUGGUGGACGUCCUUCUGGGCCUUGCAGAUGAUCCCACUUUGGGGGUGAAGCUAGAGAGGCAUGGAGUCAAGGCAUUGAUUCUGGUAUAUAUUACUUACAAACAGCAUACCGCAUGCUGUCAAGUUUUAAACGACUGAAAACUUGAGAGAAAUAUUCAGUGAUCUUUUGAACUUGAAUACUCCCCAAAUUUUUCUUUGCUACUGAAAACUUGAGAGAAAGUAGUCAGGAUCUUUGGAGUUUGAGGAAAAAUUUUCAGUGGAGGCAGAAUUAACAAGAAAAUUCUUUUUAAUCCUUCUAAAAGAAAUUGCUUUUGAUAAAGGUACUCAAGUAAGUAAGAAUAUUGUUGGCCAAGUACAGUCAAUUUGCAACUUAAAAACGUUUGUGGGCCAAGUCAAUUUGCAACACAAGAAGUUGAUUAGAACUUGAGUUUUGCUGAUAAGUACAUUGGUUCUAUUCAUUUGUUUAUUCUUUGCCAAAUUAAUAUAUCCAUGAUAGUAAGAUUUAUUUCAUGUUCCGGUGGGGAGCACAAAUAAUAAUUCUUAAGAAAUUCCAAGCCUAUUAUAGGAAAUUUAUUUUGUGCCCUGCUUCUGCAAGAAAUAACCACUUUUUUUGCAAUUUUUUUUAGGUUAUUCUCUAAACACGGUUUUUAACUAAUUUUUUUAAUUACGUUUUCAUUCAGAUAUCACAUUCGGAACAUUGAAACAUAAAUAAGUUUAAGAACUUCAAUGAUUGGACUAAGUUUCUUGCUGCACUUUGCGUAAUCAUUGAACUCUAGGACCUGCUUGCUGGUGGAACCGAGACCUCAGCGACAACAGUAGAAUGGGCCAUUUCGGAGCUACUGAAAAACCCAGAAAUAUUGAACAAGGCAGCCGAAGAACUCGACCGUGUUAUCGGUCAGAAUCGAUGGGUGAACGAGAAGGACAUGCCAAAUCUUCCUUACAUAGAGGCUAUUGUUAAAGAAACAAUGCGUAUGCAUCCCGUGGUCCCAUUGCUAGUGCCAAGAUGUGCUCGCGAAGAUUGCAAAGUUGCAGGGUACGAUAUUCAAAAGGGGACUCGAGUCAUCGUCAACGUUUGGUCAAUUGUGAGGGACCCCGAAUUGUGGGAGAAGCCAGAGGUAUUUUGGCCCGACAGAUUCAUGGGAAAGGACAUUGACUUCAAAGGGCAAGACUGUAAGUUCCUGCCAUUUGGUGCUGGAAGAAGAAUGUGCCCAGGGUAUAGUUUAGGCCUCAAGGUUAUCCAAUCUAGUUUGGCCAAUCUUUUACAUGGAUACAGAUGGAAGUUGCCAAAUGACAUGAAACCUAAGGACCUGGACAUGGAAGAAAUGUUCGGGCUUACUACACCAAGAAAGAUCCCACUUGUUGCCAUUGUUGAGCCUCGGCUUCCGCGUAAUCUUUAUUCACUAUGAUUCACUACGUGUAUGAUUGAUCUCCCAGUAUCAACUUUUGUUCAAAUAAAUCAGCUCUGCAAGUUUAGAAUUUGUAGCUGCGCUUAUUUGUGUUUGCCAAUUGCCACAACGCUGCAAACCCUUGUAGUUGGUGCAUGGCAUAUGCGUAAUCACUGAGAUUGUUAUGCGUAUUGAAGUCCAAAUUUGUUCGCAAUUAUGUGAAACUGUGAAUAUGCACACCCCUGAUGUUUCAAAUACAUUCUAUAACAUUCUGAUGCUAGUUUAAAUCUGCAAUAGCAGGUGCACAGUCAAAGCAAUGUGCUCUCUGCCAUCUUUCCUCUUAGCAUCUUCCAUCAAUUCCUGUGCACCUCUAAGCCAUGCCACUGGAUUGGUGCUACUUUCCGUACUUGUUGGGAGGAAGAGAGAAAGAGAGAGAAAAAAAAAAAAAAAAAAAAAAAAAAGAGCGGAGGCAGUGGUAUGGGAAGGGAGGGAAGUGGAAGAGCAGCAGUGGUGUGGUGUGGGGAGAAAGAGGAAGAAGAGAGAAAGAAAAGAAAAAAGAAAAAAAAGGGAAAAAAAAACCAAGAUUUGGAAUUUUUUUAAACCUUCAAAUGCACAAAAGUUUUCUUACAAAUUUUAUAGUAAAGCAUAGUAAAAUUUUAAACUAACAAAUAGAAAAUAGCAAUCAUUUUGGAAACAAACCCUGAGAUUUAUUAUAAUAUCACUUAGCUUCUCUACAGUUUUUAAAAUUUUACUUUCUUCCCCUGCCAACUUGGGAAGAUCAAAUGUUCCUAUCAAAGGUCACAAAUUUACAACAAUUACGGUUGCACUCUUUAUGACUAUUUAACUGAAAAACCGAAACAAGAAGAGAAUUUUUAAAAGACCAAAAACUAUAGAUGAAAAAGAUAACCAAAUUGCUAUCCAAUAUUGGUCGAUAUUUAAAUAAGUCAGAAUUUAAAAAAUUAAUCAAAAAUGUUCUAAUGACCAAAUAUAUAUCUAGGAGUAUUCUUUUUUUUUUUUUGUUAGAACAUCAUUUGUUAUACAAGGUAAUAGUUAUUGUACAUCUACAAGAUUAUUCGUUAUUGCAUUUAUAGUUGCUCAUAGUUUCAACUUUUUACUUUUUAGCUUUAUUUUAUUUUUUAUUGUUGUUGUACGCUUAAUAAGUAGGAUAGCAUAAGAGUAAUAUUAGAACAAAAAUUUUAUCUUUCUUGCAUUUCCUUCAAAGGGGCUAAAAUGUAUGAAAAAUAUGAAUCCAAGAUAGGUAUGUGAGAUUUUAAAAAUUGAAAGAGAUCUAAGUGAUAUUAUGAGAAAUGUCAUGCGAGGUUUCUGAAAUUACCCAAAAAAAAUCAUCCAAAUGAACCUUCUUGUUGUUGCAAAAUCUUUGCUUCGGAAUCUUAGUGCCAUAUUUCCAUCUUCUUUAACUCUCCGUCUAUCCACCAAAAAAAAAAAAAGAAGCAAUUUUGGUAGCGAGCUACUUUGAAUAAGAUCGUUGAAUAAGAUCGUGAAAUAAUUGCAUGUAGAAAUUUGACAAGAAGUGAAAGCAAUCAAACUUGCAAUACGUCAACAUACAUUUUUAUAUGAACACGUAUUCUAGUAUUCCAUGAGCCAUUCUGUCUUGCCUUUCGUUCUGCUAGGAAAUGGCCAAAUCCUCCUAAUAUAUUGUUACUUCCCAAAAAAAUCCGCCAAAUAUGGCUUUGUCGGCCAUGUAGCACGACGGGGAGGUCCAGAAUAUUUUUUUAAAAAAAAAUGGCAGAGGGUCGUCGCGCCCGCUGGCCUUUUUAACCACACUGUCGCGCCAACGUGAUGAAACGAACCUGGCAGCUAUGCGACGAGCCUUUUUUUUUUUUCAAAUGUUUUGUAAAAAAUGAGUAGGUUCCGUUAAGUUUUUUUUUUUUUUUGAUAAGGCGGUUUUGGUUUCUUAAGUUUUAGCAUGUUUAGGAUUUACAAUAUAUUAUUUAGGGUUUAGGAUUUGUUAAGUUUGUCGAUAAAAGGGUUUGGAUAUGGCCAUUGUAGUUAAUAAAGAAUUUAUUAAGUUUGUUAAUAUAGUCGAUAACUUACUUAAAAAUUAAAUUAAACAUAAUUGUAUUAAAGAAAAAAAUGAGUACAUGUGUAAAACCCACGAUUUUUGGGCUCAUUUUAUCUUGCCCAAUUUAAUAAAAUGGUAAUUUUAUUAUGGGUAAAAGUAAAAGUAAUUGCAGGUUAGGUUAAAUGGUUAAUUAAGGGGUAAGAUGAGAUAAAAUAGGGCGAAAGUUUACCAGAGUUAAAACUCCUAUUUAAACUACCUACUAGUGGGUGGUUAUUGGGGUUUAGCAUACUUAUCAAAACAACAAAGAAAAAAAAAUAACUACAACGUUACCUUUCUUUCGUCUGCCACCUUAGAGCUGUUGGAAUAUAUGCCCUAAAACAAUGUAUUUGUUUUUAUUUUAUACAUUCCUUAUUAUAUGUUUUGUAUUUUAAUAACUUCUUAUUUAUCUGUUAAAUAUUAGAUACAACCGAUAAAGUCCUUAUAAUAUUACUAAUGUGAUGAUAGCCACAAGAGUUGGUGACUAUGAGAUAUCAAUCGCAUUUAUAGUAAUAUUAUUAAAAUUUCCUAGUUUUUGUACUAAUGAAAUAGGACAUCUUUAGUACGGUAAAACUAGUACACAGUUAGCCUCUAAUUAAUGUAAUUAGUGGUUGUUCUCAUCAACUAUGGUAUGAAGAUACUUAGGCUAAUAUGUAGAUGAUUUGAAAAGUACAAAUGCAUUGGAGUGAUCCGUUUAGAGAUCCCGUUAGGAUAUCUAUCUAGUGCCAAUGGUGUAUCUCUAGUGAAAAUUUGUGUAAGUGAUCCUACGACUUGAGAUCACCAUAGAAUCUUGAGUGGGAAUCACUACAUUUUGACUCUAAUUACUUGUUAUUCUUUGAGAGUGCCUUAAAGUGUAGAAGUUGGAUGUAGUGUGAAGCACGUAAAGAAAAUGGGUGAUCAAGAUAGGAUUUACCACUCUGAUAGAAGGAGUUGAUAUCCGGAUGGCCACUAGUGAGAAAUUAACCCUAAAGUCAACUGUUAGGUAAAUUGAAGAAUGUCUUCAAUUUAACCUAAUUAAGGGUAAAUUUCGGGAACUAGAAAAUUUAAUUAGUCAUCAGGGAAUUGGCACUUAUUCCUUAUUCCUGACUAAUUGGAUAUCUUUGCUAAAAGGAUAAUAAUUACACGGUAAUUUUUCACGGAAAGGUUAGGUCAAGUUCCCUUGACUAAUUCCGAAUAAUUGGGCAAUCACGAUGUGUUGCUAGACACCGCUCGUGAUUUAUAAUUAUGGAUUAAUUAUUUAUUAUAAGUUAUGAUAAAAUAAAGUCAUUUAUUUUAUCUAAUUAUUAAACCAUAAUUAUUACCAAUGCAUUCGGGACCUAUUGGGUCACACGCAAUAGAGAUUUAAUCCUGGAUUGAAACUAUGUGAAUUAUCGGGUUUAAUUUUAAAAGAAAAUUAAUCCCAGGCCUAUUUGAGUAGAUAAGAGUAAAUGGUUAUCUCUUAUUUAUCAGAUACUGAUAGAUAGAGUCUUGGGUGAUGAGAAGUCUUAUGGCUUUGAUUUUGAAUCAGACAAGAAGACUUAUCAUUCUAUAUCAUCAUAUAUCUCUCUCAUCAUAGAGCUCUCGGGUUUUUCCAAUUGAUUUUUUGGGGGCUGAUAUACAGAUACUAAAAAUCGAAGUUUUGUGAUUGUCACACACAAAAGAGAGAAAAAUAUACAUUUAAAAAGAGUAAAAAGGCUAGCACCUUUUUCUCUUCAAUACAUAGUUCGUGAGACGAUCUAGGGUUGCUCUAGCGUGGAUAUCAGUAGAGGCAGAACGAUUGGACUGCUCAAGGGCUGACCAUCCUCAAAUUCCGCUGCGUAGUAUCCCUAAAACCCAACAGUGGUAUUAGAGCCAUCCCUAAGAAUUUUACGUAUGAUUUUAAGCAAUUUUGGAUUCAUGGAUUAAUAUUACUGGUUGGAUUUAAUUAAUAUGCGGAAUUAUGGAAUAAUUGUUUUUGGUUUUUCAAAACAAAAAAAAAAGGGUUUUUCAUGAAAGCUUUUGAAAACUGCGUUAUGCGCACGAAGCUUUGGAAGCUGCGGACAUCAUAAGCACCUGUUUUUUUUUCUUCUUUGGUGGAUUUGCGUCACCCAUGGUCAUAGUUGAUCAUUUGCAAAAGUUGCAGGAUGAUCAUUGAACAAAAAGAAAAAAAAAACCGACAUAGCAAGUUUCAUUUGCAAACUUGCGGCUGCUGCGAUGUUGCGGCUGCAAGGGCUGCCGCCAGCUGCUGCUGCCAUGUGAGGCCAUGGUGGCUUUCCUUGGUGGCAGUGGGAGAUUGUACGCCUGGUGGUGGUUGCUGGGUAGAAGAGCUAUGAGCUCUCUGGGACAAAAGCGCAGCAAAUUUGCUGCAGACAUCGGCAAGGGCACAGCAGCCUCCUCACGGUUGCUGCCCAUGACCUCCGAUGGCUGCUACCAGGAGCCGCUGCCACUGGUGGUCAGUGGAGACUCCAGUGGUGGUGGCUGUUGCGGUGGUAGCUCCGCUAUCCAGCAAACAGGCGACCAAGAGCAGCAGCAAUCAGGCACGGGAAUACUAUGUACCUUGGUGUUGUAGCCGAGUGAUUGCUGCCAGCGAUCUUCCGCUUGCUGCCGCUUGCUGCCGCUGCUAUGUGAGGCCAUGGGAGGCUUCCUUGGUGGUGGUGGAAAGUUGCUAUAGCUCUUGGUGGUUGCUAGGUAAGCAAACUGUGAGAACCCUGAAAAAUGGAUAUAUAAACUAGUGCAUAUUUCAUUUGCAUUUCUUUUAUUCUUUGAUAAUUUUUAGUAUUACUUUUAAUUGUUCGCAAUUAAGUACGUAAUAAUAGGUUUACGAAAAAAUAAUAUAAUUUUCCUAAGUUAUGAAAUUUCUUGAUUUUAUUUGAUUAAAUUAAUAUCUUUAGGGUUAGAUUAAUUUGUCGCCUUAACAUAAAAGGAUAGAAUACUUAAUUCCUUUAUGCUAAAGUAAUGAUACUUGAGUCAAUAGACUUACGAUCUCAAAAUAAAUUAUUUAAUUCUUAUGAUUAAUUUCAAUUAGUUGCUAAUGUUAAAUGUUGAUAGGAAUUUCCGCGUUAAGAUAAAAACCAAUGAAUUUUAGAUAAAUAUGAUUCUAAUAUAUUAAACAUGCUUAAGGCGUGAAAAUUCGAUAAAAAUGGUUUAUGUAUAUUAGGAUAUAAUUAGGCGUUUGAAUCACGCUUGGGAAUAAUUUUUAGAAUUAAGUUGAAAUUGAGAAAUUAAGUUGAAGUUAGGGAGCAAAGUGAAAAGACCAAAACGCCCUUACAUUUCCAUGCAAACCAAACGAAACUUCUGACCACAAGUCUAAUCGCCGCAGCUAUUACCCAUUUCUGUACGCAACCAAUUCUUAUACGCAAUCCUUUCCUUAAACCGCGGCACCACAAUACCAUCCUCUCUAUAUCACAAUCUAAAACCGCAAUUCCAAUUUCUUCUCUGCACAAGCAAACCGCAAACCACUUCCUUUCAUGAUACCGAGACACCACCCUUCACCAAACCUCAUUUCCUUCUCUGCACAACUCCACCGAAACCACUGCAAUUCCUCUCCACAACCGCACCUCACCUCUUCCUCUGCCUUAGACCGAGAGCAUCCGAGAGAGAGAACAACCUGGUGAGCUGCAUCCGUGAGCUUGGGAGGGGGAAACGUGAGCUGCCAGAAUUUUUUUUUUUGGUUCUGCCGUGAGCUGGAGUGAAACCAGGGAGAAGAUUUUCAGGAAGCUUCACCAUUCUGCAUCUUCAUCUCCGCCAACUCCAACCAACCGAACUCAAAUCCACCAGCUACAACCAAUCUCAGCCGCAACUUAGGAGCCAGGAACCACCGACUGCACUUGAAGCCGAGAGCAAGGAAGAAAUUUCUAGAAAUUUUCGUGUGAGAGAUUAGCUGCUAUCUAAGGUAAUUUCUGGACUAAUUAAGUUGAUUGUGAGUUGAGCAAGCUACAUCAGAGCUUGCAUGUAUGGAUUAUGCAGUCGGAUGCUGAAAUCAAACCACUAGAAAAAUUUCUGUUUUGAUAAAAUGUUGCUGCCGAGAAUUUGAGGUGAUAAUGCAACUCCAUUUGUGUUUUUCUGUGGCAAUCUGAACACCUAAGCAUCUUUAGCUGAGUGAAAACUUGAAGAUUAAGACCAUGCAUGUUGAAUUGUGCAUUCGGAUGAUGUGUUAAAGCAAAGAAAAAAAAAAUUCUGUUUUGGUUUAAAAAAUUUCUGCCGAGGAGCUGGCUUGAAAUUGUAGUCUUAUUUCUGACUUCCUGCAACAAUCUGAGUUUGAUUAAUUGUUUAACUAAUCAAAAACAAGAAGUUUAAGUCAUCUAAGAACUUGCAUGUGGGUGAUAAGCAGCCGGAUGAGAGCUUUAAGAAAUUAAGUUCGGUUAUGUGCAUGUUUUGGAGCUGCCGAGAGCUUAGCUUGAUUAUUGCAGCCUGUGUUGGUUCAAUUUUGUUGUUUAAGCUUAUAACCAUAAUUAGAUAGUUAAUUACAAGUUAAUUAGGCUCUGCAUGUAGCUAAUUAGUUAGUUUAAACCAGAAAAAUAAAAUCAAAGUGUAAUCUACCCCAUGCAUGUUCAUCCGAGCCAAGCAGGAAAAUUUUUAGAAAAUUUUGAUGUUAAUGGUUGUUGUUUGAACUCGAUUUCUGAACUGAAAAUGUUUAUUUUCUAGCUAAGUAAGUGCAUGAGGGAGUUGGGGGUUUAAAAACAUGUUUUAACCCAGAAAAUAAAAUGAAAACAGGACGUCUCUUCAUGCAUGUCAUCCGUGGCUGAUGGGCGAAAUUUCUGGAUUUUUCUAGAUGAUUUUAGUUGCUGAAUGAAUCUGGUUUUGAAGUGGAAAUUUUUAAUAGCUAGCUAAGUGUUUAAAUACAAGUGAAAAAUUGAAAUUUCAGAUUUUCGGAUGUCCCUGACCAGUCUCAAUAAAAUGUUUAUAUCUUGGUGUAGGAAAAUCCGUUUAAGGCGCCGUCAGUGGCAUUUGAAACUAGAAUCAUAGGCCUUUGUCUUGUAGAAAUGUCGUAUUUUUCCUCCAUGUGUACUGCUGUCUGGGAAUCCUUGAAGUAGACUGUUUUGGUAUGAAUGUCCUGUUUUCUUCGUGAAACUAAAUUUUGAUUUGGAUUGAACUUGUAGCUUACUCGUGGUUUAAAUUCUUGAUUAAAUUGUGGUUGGAUGUGAUUGAUGUUGUCAAGGGCUAAUGAUUGAUGAAACCCUUGGCCAUUGGAAUGAUUUUAUAAGUAUUACUGGAUGAUGGAAUUCAAUUGCUGGAAUGUCUUGGAGGCCUUACUUUUAUUUUUAUUUGUUCAUGAUGAGCUUGCUGAAACCAAGUGCUAAUGAUUGAUGAAGCCUUGGUCAUUCAUUUUAUUUUUAUCAGAAAUGCAUUUGUUGAAAUCUAGGGCUAAUGAUUGACGAAACCCUAGUAAUUUGCUAUGUGAUUUUUGCCAUAUUUUGAUCCAUAAUAUGAUUUCGAAACGGGAUCGGAGCUGUGGAAAUUGUAUCGACCUUGCGAACUCGAGUAACUGUGAUCAAAUUAAUCAAAAAAUAUUUUCCAGCUAGUAUUAGAUUAUAAACUCAAUAUCUAGUGUUUCGCCUAAAACUUUCCAAACCGAUAAUUUCCUUUAGCUCAAACUAGCCUUGAUAGCUAUAGUAAAUAAAUCCUAUAGCUUUUGAAAACCCUAAGUCUUAUUCCUUUUCUUUUCAUUAAGUAUUGUUCUUAGCUAGUUAACUAUAGGAAAAGUUCCAAAAUACGAGUUUUACUAAUUUUAGUGAAAAGCCUGGGAAACUUGUUCGGCAAGAAACCCUAUUUUAGGAAAAAUAGUUUUUAGGGAUAAUUUUUGCAAAGGCCGUAACUUUAAAGAAAUGUUCAAAGUAACUUUCUAACAUUGAUAUUAAGAGGUUUGUCGAAUUAUUUCAAGAAAAUAAUACUAGUUACCCUUUUAUAAGAGAAGUAACUCAAGAAAAACUAUAAGAAACAUCUCUUCUACUUUUGUCAAGUUUCAAUCUAAAGAGAUUCUUGAUUUUUCUAAGGGAAAGUAAAUUAAUAGUAUAUUAGAUAUACUUCAAUGUCUAUAAGCUUAAAAACUGAGUAGAAACUCAUAGUUUCAAAUUUUGGUUUUUAGGAUAUUUCGAGGACGCGGAAUUCGAUUUCCAACUUGAUAUCUGAACUCCACUUUUGGUGAGUGUCCCUGCUUGUUCUAUUCCUACUUGAUUAAGGUGCUUUCUUGACUUGAAAUGUGAUACGUGCAAAACUAGUUUUUGAUCCAUCGAAAUGAGCAGUGUGUACUUUAUCGCACUAGCCGUUCGAGUGGUGACUUGCGUGAAUCAUUUUCUCGUGAAUCCAUGAAUCUAAAUGUAGUUACGUCGUUGGGUGAAUCCCUCGACGCGUGAAUCCAACUACCAUGAAUCUAAAUGUAGUUACGUCGUUGGGUGAAUCCCUCGACGCGUGAAUCUAACUACAAUAACGUCGUUGGGUGAAUCCCUCGACCAAUCAACUACGGGUAUAUCUCGAGUAUACUGCGUCCUUAGUCGGUGAGCGGGCCCGGGACAGGGGUAUGAAUGGUGACGGGUUAGGUAUCAAAAUAAGACGCUCUACAUGGAUUAUAAGUAGUGAAAGUUGACGGAGGGUCAACUACGAUAAAUGGUGAUCAAGCGAGGAAAAAUGGCUCCUGACAGCCCAUGUAUCCUACCUUGUGCUGUUAUACGCUUUCCUAACUGUUUAAAUUUGCCAAGUUAUUAAUCACUGUUUGGUAUUAUGUGAUUGCAUGUUUUGGGGCACCACUGAGUUUUAGCUCACCCCACGUUUAUUGUUUUCCUUAACAGGUUCUGGAAACUGAAAGCUGGACACUUACUUAUGUUUUUCUUUUUGGAUUGUAUUUGAAUACUAUGACUUAUUCUGUGGGCUGUAAUGUGUUAUCUGGGAUAAUGUAUUUUCCUUUUUGGAUUGCCACUUGAAACUGAAAAAUGUGUAAACCCUAAUUCGAUUACUUGGCUUGUAAGUUUGUAUUAUGGAUUUAUGUAUUUAUCUACCUGAUUUGGUACGACUUUAUACUUUGGUACGUAGCACGUAGGACGUUUAAGGGCCUCGACUGGUUUAUUUUUAUCACUGCUAUCUCUGAAGUUAAUGUGGCUUUAAGAAAGAUCUUAUUCGGGAAAAAUUAUUUUGUAAUAGAUUAGGAUAUUUUUCGAAAGGAUUUGGGUUAGAAUGCUUGCGUGAGUCCUGGCGAAAGUUGGGCAGACGCGCCAACCCUUUGGUUCGCCUCCGGGGGAAGUGGGGUCGCCACAGAUGGUAUCAAAACCUAGGUUAGAAAAGUUAUUUGAAAGACAUAUUAGGUGUGCUAGAAACCCUAAUGCUCUCUAGGAUUUAGAAUUGAGACCAUUAGAAAUACGUUAAGUAAUAUACGAUCUGGUUAGCUAUUUAAGUUCUAACCUUUAAGUGUUGAUUAUUUUGCAGGUAUGGAGAAUGGUAAUGGGCAUGCUAAUGGUAGUAGCGAGGCUAAUGGACACGUAGAGCCGCUAAGAUCCAUUUCCUAUAGACCUCGAGGAGGAGGAGACCGAGUUCGAUACUCCCCAACUGAUAGGCACCCUAGAUGCCAGUGUAGGGCCACGUACGCGUAUCCCAACGCGUUGGUGUUAUCUCUUGAUGAUGAGCGCCGCCACUUGUGGGACGCUAACCACACCUUGACCCAGGAUGUGGAGGAGCUGAGUAUCAUGGUGGAUACCCAGUUCGACCGCAUAGCCGAUUUGUUGAUUAGGCUAACUGCUGAGCAUAACAUGCUAGAGGUUGCUCGUUUGGAGAUAGAGCGACAGAGGUCUAGAGUGACCCGACUAGCUGAGGGGAUCAGAGAUAGGAGUGCUGGCAUCAGGGCUGAUGCUUCUAUGCUUAUGGAUGAGGCCACUAGUUACCUUCAGGAUAAUGAACAGGCAGGCGCCGAGGAGGAUCCGGAGGAGGAUCCGGCUGAGGACAUUGCUCCUGAUAGCCCUGCUGAGGGUUAGAUUGAGAUUGACUUGAUAGUAUUAGAUAGGUAGGAUCAGAACAGGGACAUUAGUCAAGUCAUCAAAUUUUGUCUAGGUGAAUGACUUGCUUCCGAGGCACCAUAUCCCUACUUUUUGUUUAAGGGAUUAUCUGUAUGUAUUUUUGCUAACUUAUGUGCCUUACUUUUGGAAAUGUUCCAACUUGUUAAUUGUAUGACUGUUCCACGGAAAUAUAUGUUAAGUGUUUCAAUUUCUUUUCCUCUAUUUCCAUGUUGUUUUUAAUCACAUAUCGAAUCAUAACAAUUAAAUAUAAAUAAAAUUUUGCCUAAUUGUCUUACCCUUCAGUAAUAGGCAUAAUUAGGUCAUGGAUCGCCAAAUGGUAUGAAGGAGCCGUGGGAGACUCACUAGACAACACUCGGAAGCAGGUGGUGAUAGGGAACCCGAGGUCAAUCAAGACCAAGGGCAAGAGGGAGUGGCCGGAGAUCGAGUGGCCACCGCAAUUAACCGUAUCACUGAUGUUUUGGAGCGCUUGACUGAACAUCAAGCCUCGGGGCCAGUGCACCGCCAAGGAGGCCCAGUCGAUUCCGAGGAUCGGGCACUGGAGAGGUUUCUGAAGUUUGGACCUCCUAAGUUCUACGGAGGACCCGAACCUGAGAUAGCUGAGGGAUGGUGGGAGAGAAUCUCCGACAUCUUCGCAGCUUUAAACUACGUGGAAGAGCGGCAGGUGACUUUUGCUGCAUUCCAGUUUGAGGGAGCUGCUCGCUCCUGAUGGAAUCUGAUUAGGACUAACUGGGACAGGAAUCAUACUCCAAGGACUUGGGCAAACUUCACAAGGGAGUUCAAUGCCAAAUUUCUUCCACCUCUCAUCCAAGAAAAGAGGGAGGACGACUUCAUAAAAUGUAAGUAAGGGGCGAUGAGUGUCGCCGAAUAUGAAGUCCAGUUCACAAACCUAUCCCGUUUUGCUCCUGAAUUGGUAACCACGGAGCAAAGGCGAGUCAGAAGGUUUGUGCAGGGUCUGAAUGUAGAAAUACAGGAAGGGUUAGCUUCCGUGAGGAUAGAUACCUUUGCAGAUGCCGUCGAGAAAGCCCAGAGAGUUGAAGUAGCAAGGGCUCAAGUGAAAUCUUUUCAGGCCAAGAAAAGAUUUGCUCCUAACAGUAGUCGGGAGCCGACGUAUGGAAAUGCUCCACCGGCCAAAGUGGGCCGAGAAACCAUUGGAGUGAAUAGUCCUGGAGCACCACGAGGCGCCCAAGCAAGAGGAAACGGGGCCAGGAAUGCAGGGGGAAUAAAUAAUGGAAACAGAGUGGGACCGAUUGGAAGGGGACAACCUAGAAAUACCUCGCAAGGAGGCCGAGCAAUAGUUCCCCAAGUGAAUUGUGCAUAUUGUAAGAAAUCUGGUCAUGCUAUGGAUGGCUGCUGGAAGAAGCAAGGGAGGUGCUUGAAAUGCGGAAGUAGCGAGCACCAAAUUGCUGGAUGUCCAAAAAUGCAGGAAGGGGGUAAUCCAAACGCUAGACCAAACACUUCUGGAGGGAGUCGGCCAACAGUUCCUGCCAGGGUGUAUGCUAUAGAUGACCAACCUGUACCUGAUUUCUCGGAAGUCGUGGAAGGUACUCUCCCCAUUUUCCAUCGAUUAGCUAAAGUGUUAAUUGACCCUGGUGCAACUCAUUCAUUCGUAAAUCCAUCAUUUAUGUCUGGAAUAGAUGUGAGACCUGUUAAAUUACCCUUCGAUCUUGAAGUUAGGACACCAAUGAGUGAUAAGAAGAUAAUCGCUAGCUUAGCCUUUAAGAAUUGUGAAUUCUGGAUUGGAGAGCGUAAAAUGCUUGUGGAUCUAAUCAAUCUGGACAUAAAAGAGUACGAUGUUAUCAUAGGAAUGGAUUUUCUAGGCCAAUAUCAUGCUAAGCUGGAUUGUCGAGCAAAAGUGGUAGAAUUCUGUAUACCUGGAGAAGCAACUCUGAGGUUAGAUGUUAAGGGUAGGUUAGCAUCAUCCGCUAUGAUCUCAGGUAUACGGGCAAGGAAAAUGUUGUCAAAAGGAGCUCAAGGUUUCUUAGCUUUCAUGAUUAAUGCUCCCAGUGAUCAAGUGAAGUUUGAAGAUGUACCAGUGGUACAAGAAUUUUCGGAUGUUUUUCCGGAAGAGCUUAAGACUCUACCGCCGGAAAGAGAAGUGGAAUUUAAGAUUGACUUGGUGCCUGGAACGGCUCCGAUUUCUAAAUCCGUACCGGAUGGCUCCUGCUGAGAUGAAGGAGUUGAAAAUUCAGUUGCAAGACCUCUUGGAGAAAGAUUUUGUCAAGGAGAGUGAUUCACCGUGGGGAGCACCCGUUCUAUUUGUUAAGAAAAAGGAUGGAAGUUUGAGCUUAUGUAUCGAUUACCGAGGGUUAAAUGAGGUUACAAUUAAGAAUAAAUACCCUCUACCGUUGAUAGAUAGUUUGUUCGACCAAUUGCAAGGGUCAGUAGUUUUCUCUAAGCUGGAUUUGAGGCAAGGGUAUUAUUAGUUAAAGAUUAAGAAGGAGGAUAUACCCAAGACUGCUUUUAGUACGAAAUAUGGACAUUUUGAGUUCUCAGUCAUGCCUUUUGGUUUAACUAAUGCACCAGCGGCAUUCAUGGAUUUAAUGCAGAGAGUCUUUAAGAAGUAUCUGGAUCAGUUUGUAGUGGUUUUCAUCGAUGAUAUCUUGAUAUACUCAAAGACUCGAGAGGAACAUGUUAAGCACUUGGAGAUAGUCUUGCAAAUAUUAAGGGAGCAGAAGCUGUAUGCCAAAUUCAGCAAGUGUGAGUUCUGGCUGGAUGAAAUAUCUUUUCUAGGGCAUAAAGUUUCCAAGGAGGGAAUUACCGUGGAUCCGGCAAAAGUUGAGGCCGUAAUGAAUUGGAAGCAGCCAGAAAGCCCAACUGAAGUUAGAAGUUUCUUGGGAUUAGCAGGGUACUAUAGGCGAUUUAUCAAGGAUUUUUCGAAGAUUACUGGACCCAUGACCGAGCUAACCAAGAAAGGGAAUAGGUUCACUUGGACUCCGAAGUGCGAGUUAGGUUUUCAGGAAUUAAAGAAGCGUUUAACAUCCACUCCUGUUUUGGUGUUACCUGAUGGAGGUGAAGGUUAUGCCGUGUACUCCGAUGCUUCGGGAGAAGGUCUAGGAUGUGUUUUAAUGCAAAAUGGUAAAGUGAUUGCCUACGCUUCCAGGAGACUGAAGCCUCACGAACAAAACUACCCAACUCAUGACCUAGAGUUAGCAGCAGUGAUUUUCGCCUUAAAGAAAUGGAGACACUACUUGUAUGGCGUGACUUUUGAGGUUUAUACGGACCAUAAGAGUCUUAAGUAUUUGUUCUCCCAGAAGGAAUUAAAUUUGAGAUAAAGGCGAUGGGUAGCAUUUCUGGAAGAUUAUGACUGUUCAAUUAACUACCACCCAGGAAAAGCUAAUGUGGUAGCUGACGCUCUAAGUAGAAAGGCCCAAGUCGCAGGGUUAAUGAUUAAAGAGUGGGACAUGCUGGAAGAAAUAAGUGGUUGGAACCCUCGCUUGGAGAAAUUGAAGAUAUUACUUGGGAACUUAUCGUUAAAAUCACCAUUACUAAAGCGUAUUAAGGAGGCCCAGAAAACGGACCCUAUGAUUCAAAAGAAUUUGGAGAAAAUGCAAAAAGGGAAAACCCUAGAUUUUAAAUUAGGGUCUGAAGGUGUAUUGAGGUUCCGAGAUCGAAUUGUGAUUCCGGCAAAUGAAGAGAUAAGAAAAGAAAUUUUGGAAGAAUCACAUCGAUCGAAGUAUACCAUACAUCCAGGUGUGACCAAGAUGUAUCAUGAUGUGAAGGGAUUGUAUUGGUGGGAAGGUUUGAAAAAGGAAGUGGCAGAGUUUGUUCAGAGGUGCUUGAUCUGUCAACAAGUAAAAGCUGAGUAUCAGAAACCCUCUGGUUUAUUGCAACCGUUGGAAAUCCCUGAAUGGAAAUGGGAACAUAUCACAAUGGAUUUUGUAACGGGAUUGCCUAGAAGCCAAAAAGGAUUUGAUGCAAUUUGGGUAAUAGUUGACCGACUCACUAAGUCUGCACAUUUCCUAUCCGUAAGCAUGAGCUUUUCUUUGGAAAAACUGGUCAAGUUAUACACAGAAGAGAUCCUAAGAUUACAUGGUAUUCCUGUAAGUACCGUGUCUGAUUGAGACCCAAGGAGUUUUUGGGGACCAAGUUGAAAUUUAGUACGGCUUACCAUCCCCAAACCGACGGGCAGUCGGAAAGAACAAUUCAAACUUUGGAGGAUCUGCUGAGGUCGUGUAUAUUGGAUUUUGGAGGUAAAUGGAGUAAUUAUAUGACCCUAGUAGAAUUUGCAUAUAACAACAGUUAUCAAGCCUCGAUUCAAAUGGCACCUUAUGAAGCUUUGUAUGGGAGAAGGUGUUGAUCUCCGAUUCAUUGAGAUGAAAUAGAAGAAAAGAAGUGAUAGUGCAGUUAUUGGGCAUAUUUUGCAGUGUUAUUUUGGCCUAAUUUUGGCUAUUUACGGUGCUAAGUAUUGAGAUUUAACUCAUAUCUCACAUUCGUAUGAAUUAUAGGUGAUCGGCAUUAAAAAUGAUCUCGUGGGGUAGAUUUCCAGAAGACUUGUCGUCCCAGGGCGUGACCACGCCUUGGAAGGUGGACGAAACCGAAAGACGGACCGUGGUCCAUGUGGACCAGGCACAUGGGAUCAAAACUCCAAAAGGGAAUUGGCUUUUGUAGAAUCAAUUGCACCAGACGUUUCCUUCUUUGACUCUUCUUGGACGGCGGCUAUAAAAAGAAAAGGACAAAGCAAGAUUGGGCAUCAUCUACUUUUUAGCCUUAGGUUCUCUCUUUCUAUUUUUUGGGGAAGAUUGGUCAGACGGUUUUCUUUUGGUUUUUCUUUUGUUCCUUCUGCGGCUCUGGGUCAGACAUUGGAGACUUUCUCCGUUGCUGUAGCUUUUGCUUUUGGCUUCUGUACAAUUUUUCCUAUUCGACUUUUGCUUCUACUUUCGCUCCAGGGGUACGAACACGAAACCCAACAAAGGGAAGCGAAGCUUUUUCAGCAGUUCCUACGUUAAUUCAUCUUUUUCAAUUCUUCGGCAAUUAAUUGAAUGAAUUCAAUUAAGUCACGCGGGAUUGAUACGAUGAGGAGCGGCUAAUUUUCUCCUCUACCCAAAGGUUGACGCGAGGGCGCGAUCCAUAAAAUCUGUGAGAUCUAAUCGAAUCUUCAUUAUUUCUUCUAAUUUAUUGCUAUUCGUGCAUUUUCUGAAUUAAUUGUUCAUGGGUAUUUGAUUAAUUGAAUAUCAACGGCCGGGUAUUUGAUUUAAUUUAAUAGCCUACUGCCACGUUAAUUAAAUAGAAUCCGUAAUUGUUCAUUUAAUUGACACCUCGUGGCAACCACCAUAAUUGGUUUUAUGAUGGGGAAACGCAAGAUCUAGCUUAAAUAAACCCUCUUAGCGUGUUUAUUGGUUAGGGUUGGGUUCUUCUAACUUUAAUACAAUUGGGUAAUUAAAUUCCUACGGUCGUACUUAGGGUUGUUAUCUGGUUAGGGAAGCAGUCAAUGGUCGUACCUUGACUAUCGAAAAGGUAAGGAAGAAUUGGAUGUCAGAGUUUAUUGAUAACUAUAACCAACCUAGUGAUAAAUGGGUGAAAUAUCUUUGCAUCGAUGAUCAUUUAAUUGGACCGUGCCUGAGCAGUUGAUCCUUUGGGUGGAACUUUGUUAAUUGCUAUUUUUAGUGAAUUGUGCUUUGUGAGUUAGUUUUGAAUUUUGUUUGUUUUAUUUUAUUUUAUUUUUUAUUUGCCUCCCAUUGAAAAUCCCCCAAUUUCGUUCUACUAAUUUGGAAAGAAAUAAUUUCCUACCUGCUCCCUGUGGAAUCGACCCUACUUGCCAUUGUACGCAAAAUUAGUAUUUUUAUAGACAAAUCCGGUAUAUCGGAUCAAGCAAACUCUUCGGGAACAGGGUGAAUCAAGUAACCCAUUGCACACCUAGGGUCCCUGCUCCAGUACUUGGAUUUGUUCUAUAAUUAUUUAAUUAACGUGGUAAUUAGGACUUUUUAGUAAUUAUUAUUGCACAGGUUCGGCACCUGUCAAUUUUUGGCGCCGUUGCCGGGGAGUUGGCGUUUGGAUUAUUUGUUUCUUUUCCAAUUCAAUUUUUAUUUUUAUUUUUAUUUUAUUCUGUUCUUCUUGGUAUUUUUGCUAAUUUAUGCCCCGUUCUUCUCGCACAGGUGAAUUAGUAUACGACCCUGAGGUUGAGAAGGCAGCGCGUAGGCGGAGGCAAGAGACCAAGAGGCAAAAAAGAGGGCACUUAUUUACUGCAAACGAGUCAGCGGAAGACGAAGUAAGCAUGGCCAACACCCAAACAUUGAGGGAGCUGGCUGCCCCGGAGCUGACUCACCAGCCGUUAUGCAUCACAUUCCCCACUUUGGCUGAUAAUACUGCUUUCGAACUGAAGUCGGGGUUGAUUCACCUCCUACCUUCUUUCCAUGGUCUCUCUGACGAAGAACCCCACAAGCACGUAAAGGAGUUCGAGGUGGUUUGCUCUAGUAUGAAACCUCUUGGGGUCACUGAAGAGCAAAUUAGACUGAGAGCCUUUCCGUUCUCUCUCAAGGAUGCAGCCAAAGAUUGGUUGUACUACCUACCAGCAUGUAGUAUUACCACAUGGGCGCAGCUGAAAAAGAAAUUCUUGGAAAAAUUCUUCCCUGCAUUCCGAGCUGCGAGUUUGAGGAAGGAGAUCUGCGGCAUUAAGCAAUAUCCCGGUGAGUUCUUGUAUGAAUACUGGGAAAGGUUUAACAAGUUGUGCACUAGAUGCCCGCAGCUUCAAAUUAGUGAGCAACUGUUAAUCCAAUACUUCUAUGAAGGGCUCCAACCAACAGAUAGGAGUAUCAUUGAUGCUGCGAGUGGGGGAGCACUUGCAAACAAGACACCGAGGGAAGCGUGGGAGCUCAUCGAAGCCAUGGCAGAGAACUCCCAGCAAUUUGGCUUACGUGAGAGCAACCCUCCCCGUAGAGUCAACGAGGUGGAGACGUCAUCCCUCCAGCAGCAGAUAUCGGAGCUAACAUCCGUUGUUAGACAAUUAGUGAUGGGAAAUGUGCCCCAAGUAAAGGUCUGUGAAAUCUGCACAAACAUGGGCCACCAUACUGACUCAUGCCCUAUAUUGCAAGAGGAUGGGGCUGAGCAAGUGAACAUGGCUGGAGGCGUGCCCGCAUCUCGUAGGCAAUACGAUCCGUAUUCCAACACGUACAAUCCAGGUUGGAGAGAUCACCCCAAUCUCAGUUAUGGUAGUAGGCCACAAAAUGCAUUCUCCAAUCGGCCUCCAGGAUUUCAGCAACCGUGGCAACAUAAGUCUCAACUCUCGUUCUCAAGUUCAGGGAGUUCUUUGGAAGAAAUUGUCAAGAGUUUGGCCAACACUACCACUCAACUUGUCACGACCACCACUCAGUUCCAACAUGACACCAAAGCAGGCAUGAAAGACAUGGAGACUCGCAUGAGUCAAAUGGCAACUGCCAUUAAUCGUCUGGAGUCUCACGUCUAUGGAAAAUUGCCAUCGCAACCUGAGGUAAACCCCAGAAAUGUAAGUGCCAUGACAUUAAGGAGUGGCAAGGAGGUGGAGGGAUCUAAGUUGACGAUUUCAAAAAGCAAAAGUGAUGAGAAGAUAGAAAAGGGAAUUGAAGAGGAAGGGCGUAUUCGGAAAGAGUCUAAGGUAACAUCUAUUCCUUCGAUCCCUAUUAAAUCUAAUCUAGCUCCUUUUCCUUGCAGGUUGGAAAAGACAAAGAGGGCAGAAAAGGAAAAAGAAAUCCUGGAUGUGUUUCGCAAAGUUCAAGUAAACAUCCCCCUAUUGGACGCGAUCAAGCAGGUACCCAAGUACGCAAAGUUCUUGAAAGACUUGUGCGUUAACAAAAGAAAGUUAAGGGGUGAUGAAAGAGUGAUGGUAGGAGAGAAUGUAUCAGCUGUACUUCAAAGGAAACUCCCACCCAAAUGCGGAGAUCCAGGUAUAUUUGCUAUCCCCUGUAAGAUUGGUCAUUCUAGUAUCAAAAAUGCCAUGAUAGAUUUAGGAGAUUCUAUUAAUGUGAUGCCUAAAUCAAUCUAUGAUUCCCUAAAUUUAGGAUUUUUAAAAGAAACGGGGAUAAUAAUUCAAUUGGCUGAUCGUACAUGUGCUUAUCCGGAUGGGAUAGUUGAGAAUGUUUUAGUGCAAGUAGAUGGAUUAAUUUUUCCUGUUGAUUUUUAUGUGCUUUACAUGGAUGAUAGAAGUGCCCCAAAUCCAUCACCCAUUAUAUUAGGAAGACCAUUUUUGAGUACUGCCCAGACUAAAAUUGAUGUUAGUAAGGGUACUCUCACGAUGGAAUUUGAUGGAGAAAUAGUCCAUUUUAAUAUUUUUGAUACAAUGAAACAUCCUGUUAACUCUCAUUCUGUGCUUGCUAUAUAUACCACUGAUCCCUCUGUGCAAGAAUUCUCUAAGUUUGCUUGUAGGGGUAAAUUCAAGGUUGCUGCGAACAAGUCCUAUAGGAUGAAAGCAAUUCAUGAGGUAAAAAUGGAGAGAAAAUUUAGGAAAAAAGUUGCACUCAAUGGCCAUGUGGAUCCUGGAGGAGGGCCACCAAUUACAAGAAAAAUUCAAUUACAUCCAGACUAAAGAGUGGUGCUGUGUCUAGCCAAAGACAUUAAAGAAAGGCGCUGCUUGGGAGGCAACCCAAGGCUUCUUUUGUUUUAGUUUUCUUAUAUUUUUGAAGUUUUUGUUAAGUGUUAGUGUCAUUUAGUGGGUUGUUAUUUUGUGACAGAAAGUUGGCAGUUAAACAUGCCCAUGCUAGGUUAUCACACCUAAGGAAUGGAGUUUUGGAAUUGACGGUCAGACGACUAUAACUUCUAGGGCGUGCCCACCACCUUGUGCACGCAGCCGCCUCACCCCCCUCCGCCUUAGUAUCUCAUUUUCCUUCCCCAGAGCCAGGGAAGUUUCUCUUCUUUCCUCCUAUUACUUUAUUUUGUCUCUUCUACAUUGAGGACAAUGUAGGUCUUAAGUGUGGGGGGAGUGGCUUCCAUUGGUUACUUGGUUCUUUUUCAUUGGUUACUUGGUUCUUUUUCAUUAGUUACUCGAAAAAAAAAAGAAAAAAAAACAUGGGUUGAAUAAAAAAAAAUGAAAAAUGAAAAACAUUGUAGUUAGUCGCCUCUUUGAUUAUUUCUAUGCUUGUUAGUGUUGGGGCAUGUUGCUGUGAUGAAUGACACAAUCAAAGUGAGUGGUUAUGUGGUCAAGUAUGCUAGCUAUGCAUUUUAUUUCCCUUGGCAAUGUCGUAGAAUGUUGAAUAUGCUGGAAUUGAUCCAAUCUUGUAACUUUUGGGGAGCUUUUGAGUCUUGCUUGAGCAUAUUAUUCAUGUUUGCUCUAUUUUAUUUGAUUGAGUGGGUAUCACACAUGGUAUUGGCAUUCUAGAACUUGCUAGUUUAUACAUGUCAAGGCCACAUUUUUGUUGAAUUGGAUGCAUUUGAAAUGAUAAGGGCAUUUAGGAUUUAACCUUCUUUAGCUAUCUAAAAAAAUCAAGCCCUCAUCUUAUCUCCCAAUAGUGAACCAAUUUGAGCUUUUAUCCUUCGUUUCUGGUUGUUAUCCGUGUUUGUUAACCCAAGCCCUCUUUAAACUUUCUUGUUUACCCAUGUGUUGUCAAGAGAUGCCUGAAUUCCAUCAUUUGUGCAAAGCAAACAAAAUUGGGGUUGCAAGUGCUGUUAGAUUAGGAGCUAUAUGAUGCUAUCCUUGUAUAAAGAAGGGAAAAUUGGAAAAAGGCCACUGACCAGAGGACUUUGGCUUACAGGGCGUGCCUACGCCUUACAGGACUUUCUCCUUAAAAAAAAAAAAAAAUCCUGAAGAGACCUCGUGACCAGAGGACUAUGGGGUACAAGGCGUGCCCACGCCUUGCGAGCAGUAUUCAAUCAAAAAAAAAAAAAGAGAGAGAGAAAGAGAAAAAAUUGGGGACACUUGUACAAAGGGUACAGCAAAUGAAAACUGCCUUGUUUGUGAAACUCCUCCGGUGAAGCACUGUGGUUAUUGGUGGGUUUCGGACAUUCUCUUGACACUUUACCCCCUAUCUAUACCUUCUUAACCCGCCUUUCACCUGAGCCCCAUUACAACCUUAUUAAAGUCCCUUUGAUUUAUGUGUUUAGUUCACUUUUAAGUGGUGGAGAUGUGAUGAAUGUGCAAGCCUAUGGUAAUGGCAUUCCGUGAUGUUGAUUUGAGCGUUCCUAGUAUUCAUAUAUAUUCUUUGAAUUACAACAGGUCCGGUGUGCUCUAUUUUUGGUGAUAUUGUCAGGGACACUAGAUGCUUGUGCUAGUAUAGACUACUGCAUGACCUCCGCUCUCUUGGUUGUACUUCUGAGUUUUGAAAUGCUUGAGGGCAAGCAUUGUCUAGGUGUGGGGGGAUUUGUAGAUCCAACAGCGAUACCUUGGAUAGAAGAGACCCAGGAAAAAGUGAAACUAAUUAGGGAAAGGCUUCAAACCGCUCAGAGUAGACAAAAGAACUACGCCGACACAAGGAGGAAAGAUUUGGAAUUCGAAGUAGGAGACAAAGUCUUCCUAAGAAUUAAACCCUUGAAGGGCGGAAUAGUGCCUAAGAAAGGUAAGAAGCUAAAGCCAAGGUAUAUCGGACCCUUCGAAAUUUUGAAACGAGUUGGGAAUGUAGCAUAUCAGCUGAAAUUACCCGCAAAAUGUAGUUACGUCGUUGGGUGAAUCCCUCGACGCGUGAAUCCAACUACCAUGAAUCUAAAUGUAGUUACGUCGUUGGGUGAAUCUCUCGACGCGUGAAUCUAACUACAAUAACGUCGUUGGGUGAAUCCCUCGACCAAUCAACUACGGGUAUAUCUCGAGUAUACUGCGUCCUUAGUCGGUGAGCGGGCCCGGGACAGGGGUAUGAAUGGUGACGGGUUAGGUAUCAAAAUAAGACGCUCUACAUGGAUUAUAAGUAGUGAGAGUUGACGGAGGGUCAACUACGAUAAAUGGUGAUCAAGCGAGGAAAAAUGGCUCCUGAGAGCCCAUGUAUCCUACCUUGUGCUGUUAUACGCUUUCCUAACUGUUUAAAUUUGCCAAGUUAUUAAUCGCUGUUUGGUAUUAUGUGAUUGCAUGUUUUGGGGCACCACUGAGUUUUAGCUCACCCCACGUUUAUUGUUUUCCUUAACAGGUUCUGGAAACUGAAAGCUGGACACUUACUUAUGUUUUUCUUUUUGGAUUGUAUUUGAAUACUAUGACUUAUUCUGUGGGCUGUAAUGUGUUAUCUGGGAUAAUGUAUUUUCCUUUUUGGAUUGCCACUUGAAACUGGAAAAUGUGUAAACCCUAAUUCGAUUACUUGGCUUGUAAGUUUGUAUUAUGGAUUUAUGUAUUUAUCUACCUGGUUUGGUAUGACUUUAUACUUUGGUACGUAGCACGUAGGACGUUUAAGGGUCUCGACUGGUUAUUUUUAUCACUGCUAUCUCUGAAGUUAAUGUGGCUUUAAGGAAGAUCUUAUUCGGGAAAAAUUGUUUUGUAAUAGAUUAGGAUAUUUUUCGAAAGGAUUUGGGUUAGAAUGCUUGCGUGAGUCCUGGCGAGAGUUGGGCAGACGGCCCGCCAACCCUUUGGUUCGCCUCAGGGGGAAGUGGGGUCGCCACACAAACCAAGAGUUUUUAAGGCAAGAGAAUGCAUCAAAACUGCUGCAAAUUGCAGCAGCAACCUAUGCAAGGAAAAGUUGCAGCAGGCUGCUGCUGUAGCUGAGCUCCAUUGUUGCGACCACCUGGGAGCUACUGCUGGGAGCCGUUGCCACUGGUGAUAAGUGCAGAACCCAGUAAUGGUGACAGUAGAAAUGGUGGCCAGUGGUGGUAGCCAGUGAUGCUAGAAAACGAUUGCAAGAGUGGUUUAAGAAACUAAAAUUUUUUUUCCUAAAACUUGAAGUUUUGAACUUUUGGCAAUCUUCUGAAUUAAAUCCCAUUUUAAUUGUUAAAAUGAGUUAUGGAAUCAUUUGUUUCCUAUAUUAUUAGGUUGGGAAUUAAUUUAGCACUAAUUUGAUUAAUUUGAAUUAUUUUCCCAUUUUUUCCUCAAAUUAGUUGAGGAUAAAGUUGACCUAAUAAAAUUUAAUUUUACCAAUAUUUCUUGCGUAUGCAUGGACCCAAAAUUUGUUUGGGACCUUAGGAAUUAAAUCCAAUUAAUCCAUGAAUUGAGAUUGCUUAUUUUACAUGCUUUUCUUUUAUUUAAAGUUGUUUAAAUCGUGAAAAUGCAUGGUGGAUGGUUGUGGAUAUAGUACGCAAUAUAAUUGUGGUAUUUUGGAUGGUUACAAUCAUUCUAGGUUUGAAUGGUUGUAAUUAAUUUUAAAAUAGGGCCUGCGUGUCCUGCCUUUCUUAUUUUAUAAUUGUAAUUUCUUUUCUCAUCUAAAUUCCCCCCGAAUGUAACUCGGGGUUUCUUCUAUACUAUUUGUAAUGUACAAUAGAUAGGAAUAGAUGAUAGGAAUUUAUAUAAUUUAUACAGAAAUUGUAACUUUGAAAAGAAGAAAGGAGGCAUACUACAACGAAGGAGUUCGUCUCGGUAUUAAAGAUUUUAGUCUCAUGCUAAUUUUCCUAAUGGCCGGGGAAAUUAGUUUAGGAAUAUCCACAACCAUCCACGAUUUAAAUUCAUGUUUAUAAGUUUGAUAUGGUUAUAUGCAUGUUUAUUGAUGAGACCAAAUGAGCAAUUUUUUCAAAAAUUUUUAAAAUAUUUUUGGAAAAAGAGACAAAUCCCUCAACUAUAAUAUUAAAUCAAUAAAAUGCCUUCCAUCAUUAUAGUAUAAAACUAGAGUAGUUAUUAAGUGCUAGCUUGUUGGGAUUCACCCAAGGCUGCCUUACUUACUACGUGUUUUUUCUAUGAGAAAUGUUCUCAAGAAUGAUGGGUUUGAUUUAGCUAAAAUUAUGAUUUGUUGGGAUUCACUCAAAAUCAUUAAUUUUAGAGGCAAGUGUUGGGUUGAUUCAUAGAGAUUUAAAGUCAAGAGUUGACACCCAACUGAUCUAGGAAUUACAAUAAGUUGUAAUUGGUAAAAGUACCUACCUUUCAUAAUUAUUUUCGAUUUGUUGGGACACACUCAAGGUCGAAAUAAAUUAAGAUAGGAUCCUAGCCAAUAUGGAAUUUUAGAAAUUCCCGAUUCAAUUUUAGAGGGUAAUUGAUUUGAAAAAAUAGUGGAAAUAAAAUCAUAAUUUUGAAGUUUUUAUGAUUUUAUUAAACAAAACAUUUUUCUAACAAAUUCUAUCUUUCAUUUUGUUGUAGAAUGAGUAACAAUUUGAGCCUUCGUACUAUUCUUACUGAUUGCAAACUCAAUGACACGAACUUUCUUGAUUGGCAUCGUAAUGUCUUUAUCGUUCUCACUCAUGAGAAAAUUGAGUAUGUACUUGAUGGUCCAAUGCCUCAAGAGCCUGAACCUACUGCAACUGCUGCUGUUAGAAAUGCUUAUAAGAAACAUAAGGAUGACAAUAGGGAAGCUUCAUGUAUCAUGAUAGCUUCCAUGACUCCUCAGCUUCAGCAGCAGCACAUGAACAUGGGGGCGUAUGACAUUGUACAACACCUGAGAGAGUUGUUUGAACAACAAUCAAGGACGGUUAGAUAUGAUACCUCUAAAGAAUUGUUCAGGUGCAAGAUGGCGAGGGAGCACCUGUUGCUCCGCAUGUCUUAAAAAUAAUUGGGCUAAUUGAAAAAUUGGCCGAAUUAGACUUUAAGAUGGAUCAGGAGCUGAAUGUUGAUUUAGUGCUCCAAUCUCUACCAGAUUCUUUCUCACAGUUUGUUAUGAACUAUCAGAUGAAUAAUCUGCAGCACACUUUGCCUCAAUUGUUGAAUGUGCUGAAAACUGCUGAGAAAGAAAUCAAAAAGGGAAAAGGCUCUACUGGUGUGCUUGUCGUUACUUCCUCUAAGAAGAGGAAGAGACAAGAAAAGGGAUUUAAGAAAUCCAAAAACAAGCCCACCCAAAAGCCCAAAAAGGCAAAGGCGGACCAGUCCAAAGCAACCUGCUUCCAUUGUAAUCAAACUGGGCAUUGGAAAAGGAACUGCAAGUCAUACUUGGAGAGCCUGAAGCAAAAGAAGCUUCCUGAAGCUUCAUCAUCAGGUACAUAUAUGAUUGAGAUUAAUGUGUCUACUUCUAAAUCAGACUCUUGGGUAUUAGAUACCGGAUGUGGUUCUCACAUUUGCACAUCUAUGCAGGGUCUAAGGGACAGUAGAAAGUUGGGAAAAGGAGAAGUCACCCUACGUGUGGGCAAUGGAGCAAAAGUUGUUGCUUUAGCUGUAGGGACUUAUUAUAUCAUUUUACCCAGUGGAUUGAUUUUAGAAUUAUUAAAUUGUUAUUGUGUUCCAGCACUUACUACAAACAUCAUUUCUAUUUCUUGUUUGGAUUUAAAUGGGUUUCGGAUAACCCAGGAGAAUAAAUGUUGUUCUUUUUCUAAAAAUGGUGUGUUUUAUGGUUCUGGAAGUUGGAAUAACGGUUUAUAUAUUCUAGAUCUUGAUCAUCAAAUUCUCAAUGUGAGUGAAAAAAGAAUGAGAACAGAUAAACUAAAUAAAACCUACCUCUAGCACUGUAGGCUUGGACAUGUAGAUGAAAAACGCAUCUCCAAGUUAUACCAACAUGGAUACUUGGAUUCAUUUGAUUAUGAAUCAUAUGACACGUGCGAAGCCUGUUUACUUGGCAAAAUGACCAAAAUGCCCUUCACUGGAAAAGGGGAACGAGCUAGUGAUUUACUUGGACUAGUACAUACUGAUGUAUGCAGCCCAAUGUCGAUCACUGCUAGAGGAGGUUUUUCAUAUUUCAUCACCUUCACAGAUGACCAUUCGAUAUAUGGUUACGUGUAUUUAAUGAAAUACAAAUCUGAAUCCUUUGAAAAGUUUAAGGAAUUCAAGAAUGAAGUAGAAAAACAAACCAAUAAAAGUAUUAAGAUACUACGAUCUGAUCGUGGUGGAAAAUACUUAAAUGACGAGUUUGGAGUUUAUUUAAAGGAUAAUGGAAUAGUUCCACAAUGGACUCCUCCAGGUACACCACAGUUAAAUGGUGUAUCUGAAAGGAGAAACCGAACCUUAUUGGAUAUGGUUCGUUCUAUGAUGAGCCACUCAAGUGCCCCAAAAUCGUUUUGGGGAUUUGCAUUAGAUGCAGCCUCUUAUACUCUUAAUAGAGUACCCACUAAAGUUGUCGACUCCACACCAUAUGAGAUAUGAAAAGGAAAGAAACCAAAUCUGUCUUAUAUGAAGGUUUGGGGCUGCCCAGCUUAUGUGAAGAGGGCAGAGUCAGACAAGCUUGAACCUAGAUCUGACAAAUGUUUGUUUGUAGGGUAUCCAAGAGAGUCUAUAGGAUACUAUUUCUACAAUCCAAUUGAACAAAAAGUGUUUGUCUCAAAACAUGCUAUUUUUCUAGAGAAAGAAUACAUUCUAGAAAGAAACAGUGGGAGUAGAAUAGAUCUUGAAGAAAUUCAGGAUCAUCCAACAAACAUUGAACGAUCUAAUGAAGAACAGCUUCAACCACAUAAUGAUGGGGUAGAUACUGAAGCUGUUAAUACACAAGGGCUUCGUAGGUCAGUAAGAACACGCUCAACUCCCAAGAAAUACCAAUUUCUUGUGAGUCAUAGCAAUGAUGUUCUAGUCAUUCAAGAUGACGAACCUACUACCUACCAAGAGGCAAUAAGUAAUCCAGACUCCUCUAAAUGGUUAGAAGCCAUGAAUUCCGAAAUAAAUUCCAUGUAUGACAAUAAGGUGUGGACCUUAGUUGAUCCACCUGAAGGGAUAAAACCUGUAGGGUGUAAAUGGAUCUUCAAGAAGAAGACUAACAUGGAUGGUAAUGUGGUUACCUAUAAAGCUAGACUGGUAGCCAAAAGCUACAAGCAGAAAGAGGGAAUCGAUUACGAUGAAACUUUCUCACCAGUAGCUAUGCUUAAAUCCAUUCGGAUAUUGCUUGCCAUAGCAGCAUAUCAUGACUAUGAGAUUUGGCAGAUGGAUGUAAAGACCGCGUUCCUUAACGGGACAUUGCAUGAGAAUGCGUAUAUGACACAACCUGAAGGUUUUACAUCUACAAAUCCUAGUCAAAUAUGUAAGUUACAAAAGUCUAUUUAUGGACUUAAGCAAGCAUCUAGGAGUUAGAACAUCCGAUUUGAUGAGACGAUCAAAGAGUUUGGAUUUCUCAAGAAUCCGGAUGAACCUUGUGUGUAUAAGAAAGUUAGUGGGAGUUCGAUUGUUUUCCUUAUUUUAUAUGUAGAUGACAUAUUAAUAAUGGGAAACAAUAUACCGAUGUUACAAUCGGUAAAGGGUUGGUUGUCGAAGAACUUUUCCAUGAAAGAUUUAGGAGAAGCGGCCUAUAUAUUAGGCAUUAAGAUCUAUAGGGAUAGAUCUAAAAGGCUACUGGGUCUUUCACAAUCUACAUACAUAGAGAAAGUGCUAAAAAGGUUUAGCAUGGAUCAGUCUAAGAGGGGUAAUUUACCUAUGACUCAUGGUAUAAGCCUUUCUAAAAACAUGUGUCCAAAGACACAAGUUGAGACUGAAAAGAUGCACAAUGUUCCAUAUGCUUCAGCAAUUGGAUCAAUUAUGUAUGCUAUGUUAUGUACAAGACCUGAUGUCUCCUAUGCUCUGAGUGUCACAAGCAGAUUUCAAGCUAAUCCAGGCGAGGGUCAUUGGAUAGCCGUUAAGAACAUUCUUAAGUACUUAAGAAGGACCAAAGAUUUGUUCUUAAUAUAUGGAAAGGGUGAGUUAGAGCUCAAAGGCUAUAUUGAUGCGAGUUUUCAAUCAGAUAAGGAUGAUUGUAAAUCACAGUCAGGUUUCAUUUUUACUCUUAAUGGAGAUGCUAUCUGUUGGAAGAGUUCUAAACAAGACACCACAGCAGAUUCUACAACAGAGGCUGAGUACAUUGCGGCCGCGGAAGCAGCUAAGGAAGCAGUUUGGAUCAAGAAGUUCGUAACUGAACUUGGUGUGGUUCCAACCAUUGUUAAUCCGGUCACUUUGUACUGUGAUAACAAUGGAGCUAUAGCUCAAGCCAAGGAACCUAGGUCUCAUCAGCGAUCCAAACAUGUGCUUAGGAGAUUUCACUUGAUUAGAGAAAUCAUUGCUAGGAAUGAUGUAAAGAUAGAGAGAGUCUCCACAGAGGAUAACAUAGCUGAUCCUCUUACUAAAGUUCUUCCUCAAAAGAAGCAUGAUAGUCAUGUAUUAUCCUACGGGAUGAAAAACAUGGAUAAUGUGUUUUAGUGCAAGUGGGAGAUUGUUGGAAUGUAUGCCCUAAAACAAUGUAUUUAUUUUUAUUUUAUACAUUCCUUAUUAUAUGUUUUGUAUUUUAAUAACUUCUUAUUUAUCUGUUAAAUAUUAGAUACAACCGAUAAAGUCCUUAUAAUAUUACUAAUGUGAUGAUAGCCACAAGAGUUAGUGACUAUGAGAUAUCAAUCGCAUUUAUAGUAAUAUUAUUAAAAUUUCCUAGUUUUUGUACUAAUGAAAUAGGACAUCUUUAAUACGGUAAAACUGGUACACAGUUAGCCUCUAAUUAAUGUAAUUAGUGGUUGUUCUCAUCAACUAUGGUAUGAAGAUACUUAGGCUAAUGUGUAGAUGAUUUGAAAAGUAUAAAUGCAUUGGAGUGAUCCGUUUAGAGAUCCCGUUAGGAUAUCUAUCUAGUGCCAAUGGUGUAUCUCUAGUGAAAAAUUGUGUAAGUGAUCCUACGACUUGAGAUCACCAUAGAAUCUUGAGUGGGAAUCACUACAUUUUGACUCUAAUUACUUGUUACUCUUUGAGAGUGCCUUAAAGUGUAGAAGUUGGAUGUAGUGUGAAGCACGUAAAGAAAAUGGGUGAUCAAGAUAGGAUUUACCACUCUGAUAGAAGGAGUUGAUAUCCGGAUGGCCACUAAUGAGAAAUUAACCCUAAAGUCGACUGUUAGGUAAAUUGAAGAAUGUCUUCAAUUUAACCUAAUUAAGGGUAAAUUUCGGGAACUAGAAAAUUUAAUUAGUCAUCAGGGAAUUGGCACUUAUUCCUUAUUCCUGACUAAUUGGAUAUCUUUGGUAAAAGGAUAAUAAUUACACGGUAAUUUUUCACGGAAAGGUUAGGUCAAGUUCCCUUGACUAAUUCCGAAUAAUUGGGCAAUCACGAUGUGUUGCUAGACACCGCUCGUGAUUUAUAAUUAUGGAUUAAUUAUUUAUUAUAAGUUAUGAUAAAAUAAAGUCGUUUAUUUUAUCUAAUUAUUACCAAUGCAUUCGGGACCUAUUGGGUCACACGCAAUAGAGAUUUAAUCCUGGAUUGAAACUAUGUGAAUUAUCGGGUUUAAUUUUAAAAGAAAAUUAAUCCCAGGCCUAUUUGAGUAGAUAAGAGUAAAUGGUUAUCUCUUAUUUAUCAGAUAAUGAUAGAUAGAGUCUUGGGUGAUGAGAAGUCUUAUGGUUUUGAUUUUGAAUCAGACAAGAAGACUUAUCAUUCUAUAUCAUCAUAUAUCUCUCUCAUCAUAGAGCUCUCGGGUUUUUCCAAUUGAUUUUUUGGGGGCUGAUAUACAGAUACUAAAAACCGAAGUUUUGUGAUUGUCACACACAAAAGAGAGAAAAAUAUACGUUUGAAAAGAGUAAAAAGGCUAGCACCUUUUUCUCUUCAAUACAUAGUUCGUGAGACGAUCCAGGGUUGCUCUAGCGUGGAUAUCAGUAGAGGCAGGACGAUUGGACUGCUCAAGGGCUGACCAUCCUCAAAUUCCGCUGCGUAGUAUCCCUAAAACCCAACAAGAGCAAAAGCCGUCAGAGAGUAGAGAAGGAGAAACAGGCGACACAGUCAAUCGAUAAGAUGACUAGACCCCUAAACCUGUAAGUCUCAAAUUCACGUGAAACUUCUCUUUUAAAUUCUAGUAGUCGGAUUAAUUAUUCUAAAGAUUUUACGGACACGUUUUAUGUUAUAUUUAUAUAGAUACAUAUGCUGGUAUAUGAGAUUUAAGAGGAUUCGUAUCUGGAUUAGUAGGAUUAAGGUACUAAAUUUUAUUAUGGGAUGAAUAGGGUUUACCCAAAUCGAUUGGAAAGUUAUUAAGAGGAAAAAAAAAAGGAGAAGAAAAGAACUCACCGUUGCUGUUCUCUGCCGUUGUUGAAGCCAAGCUUCAGCGAUGAAAAAAAAAAGAAAAAAAAAAAAGAAGACAAAGGUCGCUCGCAAGUGGGGCAACCUUGGUACAGAGGAAAGGUUGGCUUUUCGGGCAAACCCAAGACCCGAAAAAAAAAUUAUGAUGUCGCUAGCAAGUGCUGGCGACAAUAGAAUAAGAUUAUGGUUGGCCUAAAUUGAAGAUUUGGGUCUGGCGACCAUGGUCAGACAUGGUUGGCUUUUGGCCAGCCAUGGGUCCAACCCAAGGACGAAAAACUGCGAAUUUAAAUUUGGACCAACUAUAGUAUAAAAUUUAGUAAAUGUUUAAUAAAUAAAUUUUAAAUAUAACUAGUUCAUUUUAUUUUUAUAAUUUAUCAUGGGUAUUAAAAUUCAGGACCCCAAUUUAAAGUAAUUGUUAAAAUUGAAGUAUUGGUCAUGUAAAACUUAUAUUUAAUUAAUUACGUCUAAGAUAUUUAAAGAAAAAUCUAGGAUAUCUUAAUUUAGUCUUAUGAGGUUAAUGUAGACGAGGUGAGAUAAAUUCUAAAUGGUUAAACGAAACAUUUAAAAUAAUAAUAAUAAUAAUAAUAAUAAUAGUAAAUAAUAAUUAAUAAAAAAUAAUAGUAAGGAUAAUAACAAUAUGGACAUGGAGAAAAUAAAUUUAGGAUAUAAACGAAGAUAAAAAUAUAAUACGAGUGGAAUAAACUAAGACAAUAAUAAUUAUAAUAAGUCAAUAUAUAUAUAUAGAUAUAUAUAUAUAUAUAUAAAUGUAUACGUAAAUAAUAAUAACACCUAUACACGCAUAAGAGUGGAAAUAAAGGGAAAAGUAAUAGUAACUAUCUAAUAUAUAUAAGUGGUAAUAGAAUAAAUUAGCGACAAUGAGGAUGAUAUUAAUAAUAAUGAAUAAUCAUAAAUAAUAAAUAAAUAUAGUAAGAUAGUAGUGAGGAUAAUAAAUAGGAUUGUGAAUAAUUAUUUUCUGUCAAAUUGGGAAAGUUUACAAAAUGAACACUUUCCAAAUUAAGAAACUUUCUAAAAAUAGAAAUUUUCCAAAAAUGAAAAUCGUCCAAUUUGAGGGAAAUGCUAUUAGGGUCCAUAUAAUGGUUUAGAUAUGAAUCCUGUACUUACUUAGAGGUUGUAUAUUUAUGUAUCUAUAGGAAGUAACAACUAAUUAAGGAACCUAUGCAUUUGAUAGGUACGAUACAAGGAUCUAAGGUAGUUCCACUCGAGCAGCCAAACAGAGGUAGGUGGUACUUACCCUUCUGAGAUUUCAAAUGUGUAAAAUGAAAUUCUUGUUUUCAAUAUUAGUUUGUUGUGCUGACUCGAAAGGUGUUUGAUUAAAUGCUUUACUUGGAUAUUUAUGAAAGCUAUAUUUUACUAUACAAAAUGGACCAUGUGACUUAUUUGAAAUGUUUUGAUAUGUUCUUAUAUACAAAAUGGGCUGAAUCUUUUAUGGAAGCAAAGAUUUAUGUAUAUGAUGUAUGAAAUGAGUUUUGACAAGUAAAGUUCAGAGCAGUCAUAGAAUAGACGGUAGGGGCUAUAGUCCUAUCUAACCGCCAUGGUAGCCUGGUAUAAAGGCCAGCCGAUUGACCGUGGACAAAGUCAUGGUAGCCUGGUAUAAAGUCCAGUCGAUUGACCCAAGAAUGAAAUGAGAUCAAUCAAUAGUCAUGAAAUCUAUUGGUCGCCCACCUAGAAAGGGUCUAAUUUCUAGGCUGAGUACUCAGUAGCCGGUCAUUGCAUGUACUUGUUAUGAGCUGAUCUGAUGGAAUGAUUUAUGAACUGAUUUGAAAUGAGACUUAUGAACUGAUAUGAGUUGAUUUAUGGAUGGAUAUGAAGAGAUUUGUGACAUUUUUUUUUACUGCUGAUUGCUUUAUAAAUGACGUUACUUUCAAAAUUACGGAUGUGAAUGAUAUGCAAACGAUUUGAGUUGUACUUAUAUUUAUAUAUGUAUCUAUAAAAUUAAGAGUGCAUGGUCCAACAGAGGGAUAAAUAUUACCUACUGAGCGAUGUAUCGCUCAACCCACUUCUUACCAUUUUUGCAGAUUCUGAAGAGUAUGAAUUGGUUUACGUAGAAGACCCUGGGAUGACAUUUAUUAGUUUUAGAUGGAUAGAAGUUGGCAGGCUGGCUACGUCCAGUUGUUGGUCUUAUUUACCUUUGUUUCCGCUGUUUUAAUUAGAGAAUAAAUAUAUGAUUAUUCGCACACUUCCUUUUAUAUGUAAUUCGUACCGCACCUUAUUUAGUUGAAUUAUUUAGCACUGUCAAAGUUAUAUCAGCUAAUGUAGCCUUGUAUUCCUGAGUGGGACUUGGGAGUACGGCGGGUGUCACGUGACGGGCACGUACGGGCUCGGGGUGUGACAACAUGAAUCACAGUUUUUGUAUUUUAGAAUUUGUAUAGAAUGCAAUAGUGUAAAAAAAUUAAUAAUAUAUUAAAAAAUUAAUAGUUUUUUAUAGAAUGCACACAUAGUGAAAGUACUCUUACAAGUCGUUAUUUGGUAUACGAUGAUACUUGAUACUUGUACUAAAUGAUUAAACCAGUUAAAGUGGUCAUAAAUUGACUUGUACCUCUACGUUUAAUAAAUUAAUGGAUCCUUUUUAUCCAAUUGUAGAAUUUCAUCAAACAAUGUGUACUUUUGUAUUUUGAAAAUAUGUAACGUUAUUAAACUUUAAAAUAAUUAAACAGGAAAAGCAGGACAGUUAAUUAAAUGUCAAGAUAGUAUGCAAUGGACAUUUUAGAAUUUAUAUAAAAUGCAAUACUGUAAAAAGUUUAAUAACAUAUUGAAAAAUUAAUAGUUAUUUAUUGAACGUACAUACAGUAAAAGUACUUUCAUAGAUCGUUAUUUGGUAUACGAUGAUAUUUGGCCGAACAAUGAUAAAUCCAUAGGCCAAAAAAUUGAUGAACAAGUUGAGUACUAUGGUUUCCAUCUUUCUCUGUAGUCAUUUUCAAGAUCUUUGUCAUGCAGCGUUAUAUUAUUGCGAAAGAAAGUAUUCUCUUAAAAUGGACAUUUUACAAUGUGCAACUCAUGCGAGAAUCAGGAGCCGUGACAGCCGUCUUACACGGAUCAUUCACAUUUCCGACUUAUUAGUAUUGGACCAUUGGCAGGCUGUGUCGGACGAAGGAAAUCACAUGUCAGAUUUGCGGCUGGAAGGCUAAGGAAGCUGUAGGUCCUGAAGCAAAAUUAGAUGGUCCCCAAAAAUUGCCAUACAACAACAAAUCUUUUUAAAGGUUUUUUUUUAACUAAAUAAAAUAUUCCCUCUUCAAUUAGUUUUCUUUUUCCAAAUUUCAGUUAUGUGAGUAAAUGAAAGCUUUUACAACCAUUAAUUCUUUUAAAAUAUUUUAAAGCGUAACUGCAUGUACACAUUCUAUAUUCAUUUUUCUCUUUUUCAGUUUUUAUACUCCAUCUAGAUACAAAAAAGGAUGUCUAAUCAUUAUUUCGUAAAAAAGGAAAAAAAAGCUAUGUAUAUUUUUUCUUUAUGAUUAAUCAAUUAUAAAUUGGUAAAGUUGUAAUCAAUUCCAUCCAUUAUCUAACUUGCAAGAAAGGAAAAGAUAUCUUCUAGAUACAAAGUUCAAAUUGAAUUUUUAGUUCACAUGAUGUGUCGAUGGAUAUUCGUUUGUCCGUUUUCUGUUAAAGAAACUUUACUUAUUACAAUCUUUUCUUUACACUCCUCCAAAAUAGUAUGAAAUAUUACCAUAAUUCUUGACAUGUCAAGGAUUAUUGGAAAGUAAUCAUUAAAUAGCAUAUGAGUUAAUUAUUCUUAAUAUCUUUCAAAGUAUGUUUUAUACAUUCAUUAAAUUUAUUGUUUUAGUUCAUUUAUAUCAACUAUAUGUUAUGGUGAGAGAUGUUUGUUUGACAUGAUAUAAACCUAAUAAGAAAAAGAAUUCAAAUUGACAAUAUGUCUUUAUCACUAGAUGCCUCCUCAGAUAUUCUCAAAAACUUCCAUACUCUAACUAUAUAUCUUUAUUUUAACAUAAUACUACUUCUUUAACAAUUACUAGCAAUUCUUUUUCUAAUUUGAACUACUUCCUUUCCAUCUUUGAUACACUUAAAUCAGUGGAUUAAAAAUUAUAAAAUUAUAAAAUGAUCUCUAAUUUUUUAAUAUUUAUAUAAUAUACCCUGCGGGUCGGAUAUAUGUUGGUUUUUAUUUUUCUGAUCCGUAUCCGUAUCCAUUUUUUAUGGGUACCCGACCCUCAUCUACCUUGCUAAGAAAAAUCGGAUCGGAUCGGGCUUAUCAGAUUUUCGAGUAGGCAGGUUUUUUCACCCACCCCUAAUAAACCUAAUAAGAAAAGAAUUCAAUUUGAAAACACACGUAAGACAAUAUAUAUAGGUCCAUGUACAUAAACCAAAGACCAAAAUUAUAUCAACUCAGUAAGCACAUUUAAUAAUAUUCCCUGGAGUCUUAAAAUUAAGCAUAAGUUAAACAUUUUAUCUGGAAAUGUCUCCUAAUAAUCUUAUACGUGAAUGAAAUAAUUAGGCAGGGAACUGGGAAACGGAAAGACUUGAGCAUAUGCUCUUUUUCUGUGAAAUUGCACAACAAAUAUGGUAAGUAGCACCAACCCAGUGGGAUGGCCUAGGAAAUAGAAGCAACCUCUGCCAUUGAUGAGGGGAGUUGAUGGAAGAAAACGCAUUGCUUUGAACUGUAAACUUGCGCAGAUUUGCAAAGAAAGGAGGUUGUGCAAGUGUCAAUUCAGUGGCCAUGACACCACUUGGACGGUUGGACCAUUCAGUACUGACAGAGCCAUGUUAAGUCAAGGGCGGAGCCAUGUUAGAGAUCAAUAAUCAGAGGCUUACAAAAUUUCGUAAUUUUUCAAUUUAGCUCACAUUUGCACUGACAAAUUUUGUAAAAAUUUUCUUUUGCUCUAACAUUGCCCCUUAAAACAGCUAACGUAUUUGAAAAGUAGAAUGGACCAGCUAAAUAACCAAGAUGCCAAUGAUCACAAUAAUUUGCACAGUGAGUUCUUGCUAGUAGUUAUUGAGUGACUUCCACGCCUUUGCUCAUUAUAAAUACCGGCCCCCUCCACAUUUCGAACACACUCAACCAUCUUCCUCCUUGUGCUACAAUCUGCCAUCUUCUGCCACCUCCACCACCCCCACUGCUCCCACAAAAUGGAAAGCUUUUCUCCCAACUGGGCUGCGUGUGCACUCGUGUGGGUUGCAACGGUGGUUAUUAUCGCCCACCUCUCAAAGCAUUUCCAUCGGAAAAAACUCAACCUCCCACCAGGUCCAAGGCAAUGGCCAAUAAUUGGAAACUUAAACCUCAUUGGCACCCUUCCUCAUCGCUCACUCCAUCAACUCUCCCUAACAUAUGGCCCCCUAAUGCAC
rnacentral:lncRNA from 1 species